rnacentral:lncRNA from 1 species
UACAAACUUUCUUUAUAAACAAUUUUUGGUGGAAAAUCAAGACGAAAUUAGUUACUGGUAUGAGCCCUACAACCGUCCAAGCAUAAUGACUUUAAAACUCAACCCCUCAGGCCUACUCACACGUCAAAUAUGGAACGAGAACAGCAAUGAAUGGGAUUGGGACGUGUUGUUCUCAUUCCCAGAUGAAUAUUGUGGUAAAUAUGGAUACUGUGGUGCUAAUACUAUUUGCAGCCCCGACCAGAAACCUAUAUGUGAGUGCUUGGAGGGAUUCAAACUCAAAUCAAAAGUCAACCAGACAGGGCCUAUAAAAUGUGAGAGGAGUCAUUCUUCAGAAUGCAUAAGGGGAGACCAGUUUAUAAAGCUUGAUAACAUUAGAGCGCCCGACUUCAUAGAGGUUUCUCUUAACCAGAGUAUGAAUCUGCAGCAAUGCGCGGCUGAAUGCUUGAAAAACUGCACUUGUAGAGCUUAUGCUAAUUCCAAUGUAACAGAAGGCAGCGGCUGUUUAAUGUGGUUUGGGGACCUGCUUGAUGCCAGUAGGCCAAGAAGAAACUUCACCGGACAGUCUGUCUACCUACGAGUACCCGCUUCAGAAACAGGCACAAUUUUUGCUUUCCUGAAAUUGAUGUUGUAAAAAUUUUUCAAGUUGAAUCAAAAUGUAUUUAAGCCAACAUGUUUGAGGAAUUAAAUGUUAGAGAAACAGAUGAACAAAACUAAAACUAGGGGUGAUUUAAGUAAUUUAAUUUAUUUGGCUCAGCUACCUAGGAUUUUAUUUACUUUCUAUUGAAUUUCUUUGACAACAUAUAUGUGUCUGGAUGUAGGAAAAAGGAAGCUACUCUGGAUACUUGUAAUACUUGUUCUUCCACUGGUACUUCUUCCUUCCUUUUACAUAUUUUGUCGACGGAGGAGAAACUGCAAAGAGAAAGGUAAUUUUUUUCAUAUCACUUACUGGUAUGUUGUACGAUAUGGCAUGUGAUAGAAGAAGUAUACUCACAGUUUUAAAAGUUGUCGUCUUACAGAAACAGAGAAUAUGGAAACAAACCAGGAUCUGUUGGCAUUUGACAUAAAUAUGGGCAUUACAACAAGAACAAAUGAAUUCGGUGAAGCAAAUGGAGACGGCAAAGAUAAGGGCAGGGAUUCUUGGUUGCCAUUAUUCAGCUUGGCCAGCGUGGCUGCUGCUACUGAAAACUUUUCUAUGCAAUGUAAGCUUGGAGAAGGUGGUUUUGGCUCUGUUUACAAGGUAGAAUUGUUGAUACCUGAAAUGUCCUUAGUGAAGUACUGCUGGUGUAAAACAUUGACAAUAUUUAGAAUGCAGGGUCGAUUACUUAAUGGACAAGAAGUUGCAGUUAAAAGGCUCUCAAGUCAGUCAGGGCAAGGACUCAAAGAGUUUAAAAAUGAGAUAAUGCUUAUAGCAAAACUUCAACACAGGAACCUUGUUAGACUUUUGGGUUGCUGUGUAGAGCAUGGCGAAAAGAUUUUGAUCCUCGAGUACAUGCCUAACAAAAGCUUGGAUGUUUUCCUUUUUGGUAUGUGAUUUAUAUUCCCAAGAAUUUACAUUUUCAUUACUUUGCAAUGCUAUGUCAGAUUUUAUCAUCAGCAUUUUUUUUAAACUUGUAUCAUUUUGGUAUUACAACAGAUCCAACCAAAAAGCACUUCUUAGGUUGGCAAGCACGUGUUAGAAUUAUUGAAGGAAUUGCUCAAGGGUUAUUAUAUCUUCAUCAGUAUUCUAGAUUUAGAAUUAUUCACAGAGAUCUUAAUGGCUAGUAAUGUUCUCUUAGACAGGGACAUAAACCCCAAAAUCUCAGAUUUUGGCCUAGCAAGAAUGUUUGGUGGUGAUGAAUUGCAGGGAAAUACUAAACAGAUUGUUGGAACCUAGUAAGUAAAUUUCUAUUGCCGAAAAAUGUUGUUUGCUUGUCCCGUUUUCUUAUAUUAUUUAAUAUUUGUUAAAACAAUGAAAUUUCAGUGGUUACAUGUCACCUGAGUAUGCCCUGGAUGGUCUCUUCUCUAUUAAAUCAGAUGUGUUUAGCUUUGGAAUUUUGAUGUUGGAAACGUUGAGUGGCAAGAAAAACACAGGCGUCUACAAUGCUGAUUCCUUUAAUCUUCCCGGCUAUGUAAGUAACAAGUCGUUUCACUUUUAUUUAAUCUUUAGUGAAUGAAUUUUGGAAGUUAAGAAUUGCCCCUGUCAAUUAAACUAAUAUGAUCUUGACUUCCUUUAGGCUUGGGAUCUAUGGAAAGAUGAUAAGUUUCAUGAACUAAUAGAUCCAGUAAUAUUGCAAGAUGAAAUAUCGUUGCCAAUGCUGGUGAGAUACAUUAAUGUAGCUCUUCUAUGUGUUCAAGAAAAUGCAGCGGACAGACCAACCAUGUCAGAUAUUGUCUCAAUAAUUAACAAUGAACAUCUUGAAUUACCUUCACCCAAGGAACCUGCUUUUACCAAAGGUAUAAAUGUGAAGAAUUCAUCUCAUUCAAAUAGUGGGGUGUCUAAACUUUGUUCAGUGAAUGAUGUAACUGUUUCACUGGUUUAUUCUCGAUAGGAAAUGGCUGAGGAGAGGAAAGGUUCCUUUUCAUCAAUCUUCCACAACUGUUUAAUGUGCUAUAAUUUGUAUAUUUAUAGCUAAAUGUUUUUUAAGUUGAUGAUUCUAAACUGCCUGCAUUGUUUAAUGGAAAUGUCACGUCAUAUUAAAAUUUAAAAUUAAUAAAUUAAUAAUAUUGGGACCAUGAAAAAUCUUUUAAUUUAGUGAAUAUUAAUAUAUCAAUACAUUAAUAAUAAUUAUUUAAUAAAAAUAAUAUCACAUUAAUUUUUAUGGAGAAUAGAGGUAGUAUAAUUAAGGAAUUUUGGUAGCUUUUGUGUUUUUAUUUGAAAUUUGAAUGAGUUUGAAUGCUAUUGAAGUUUGAAUAAGUUUUAAAUACCUGUAUUUUGAAUGAUAUGUUAAUUUUUAUUUUUAUUUUUUUGAUGUUUGAUUGUAAGUCAUAAAUUAUUUGUUUUAUAAACUCAACAUAUCUUAAAUUUAGUAUUUUUACAUUUAUAUUCUUAAAAGAGUUAUAUAUAUUUUGGAGUAUGUUUAUAUAUUUACUGUGUUAUCUAGUAUAAUAGCAUUAUUUACAUAUCGUAAAUAUUUAUAAAGUAAGCAUUAGAUAUAUAGAUAAAAAUAAAUAAUGAAAAAUUAACUUUGAUGGCAAAUCGCCUUGGUCCAACCAAGAAUUUAACAUAAUAUUUGUACGUAAAAAAUUGUUACUUAAUAAUAAAUUAAUUUCUAUAAAAUUAAAAUUGAAUGUCUGUUAGUUAUUUAGUUUUCAUUGGGCCAAGUAAAAGUUGAGACCAAGAUAAUUCUAAUAUGACAUGUAAAUUAUGAAUAUCAUUUUGGUGAGAACGAAAAAGGUAUCAUUUUUUAUUUUUUUUGGAAGUAAAUACACUUAUGAGGAUAUUUAUGAGAAAACAAAUAAUCUAUCAUUCUUACAUAUGGUCAUUUUGAUAACAGUUAGAAUUUUUUUAUUGAUAUGAAAAUAUCUUACAAUAAGACUUUAGAGACAAAAAAAAAAAAAAAAAAAAAAGGACAAGCCAAAAUAUCAAAAUAUUUUAAAAUAAGCCAAAUUAAAACAAACAAGACAUUAGUGAUUCUAUAAAGUUGUAUGACACAAUUCUUAUUUAAUCUUGAUUGACUAAAUCAAUUACCUGAUAAUUAUUUGGCUACAUUGUAUGGUUGGAUCACGAUUACAUGGUAACUCAUCAGAGCAGGCUUUUUUGAAGGCAAUUUAUUAAGCUAUCUCUCUCUUAUAUCUCUUAACAUAGCACAUAGAAUACAACAAUGUUUUCACAUUGAAAGCUGUAAAAAAAAUGCAACAAAGAUUAAUGAAAAUUAUGUCAGGACAAUAAAGAAAAUCAUAAAGAUAUGAUAUGUAUUUAGUUUCAAAUUUGUUAAUUAUUAAUUUAUGUAUUAAUUGGGUCCUAUAGAAAAAUAAGAUUUAAAAAAAAAUUUAUUAUCAAAUAAAUUUAUCAAAUUGUUAAUUUAUCACAUUGACCUCAAGUUAGGAUUGACAAAAUUUAUUAUCUAAUGAAAGUUAACAAAGUAUUAACUUAAGAUCUCAUUAACUUUGUAGCCUAAUCGCCCUGCUCUUUUUUUGAGAUUUGAAGCCAAAUUGUCCAUAGUUUAAUACAGUUAACAAUCAUUCUUUACGCUAUGUCAGUUUUCCAAAGAAACAUUUUGGAUUUUUCCCAAUAUAUAUAUAUAUAUAUAUAUAUAGAGAGAGAGAGAGAGAGAGAGAGAGAGAGAGAGAGAGAUUUGUGAAAAAUCCAUUAGGGAUGGCAAAAAUCUCCACUGGAACGGGAACCCUUAAGGAUUUUUCUAAUUUGGAUAGGGUAUGAGAAUGAUUUUAUACCCAAUUUCUUAUUCAGGGAAAGGACAAUGACGAUUUUUCACCUAAUUUAUUUUUGGGACAUGGACGGGGAUGAGCAAGAAUUAGGCAUGGAAAUAAAAUCUGGAUCCAGCCCGCAUCCGCAAGGAUCCGAACGAUUUGGAUCUGGAAAAUCCGAAUCUAUAUAUUAAAAAAUAUAUAUUUUAGAAAAUUGAGAUCCGCAUAGAUCUGGACUUGCAUCAGGAAAAUCGGAUAUCUGAAUAUGGUAAAUUUUAUUUUAAAUUAAAAAAAUAUAUUAAAACUAAAUUAAAAAUUAAAUUUAUUUGAGGAUUUAUGAUGAUGUUGUAUGUUAUUCAUGUUGAAUUACUAAUUGUUGAAUCAUGAUUGAAUUUUAUUUGAUAUUAUUAGGUAAAUUAUUGAAUUUUAACUUAAAUUAAAAAUAUAAACUAAAAAUUGAAAAUUAAAUUUUAUUUGUGAAUAUAAGAUAUUGUUGUAUGUUAUUCUUGUUGAAUUAUUAAUUGUUGACUUAUGAUUGAAUUUAUUUGAUAUUAUUAGGUAAAUUAUUGAAAUUUAAAUUAUAUAUUAAAUUAUUGAAUUUUGAUUUUCGCGGAUCCGAUAUCUGGAAUAUUCACACGCAUCCGUUGCGGAUAUUACCCGCAUCCAGAUCCACAUUUUUUUACGGAUCUAGAUAGAGAAAUGUAAAUGUGUAUCCAGAUCCGGAUGCACCCACAUCCGAAUUUGGAUUUAGAUUUUGCCAACCUUAGCUAGAAUGCCCAUCCCCUCCUCAAUUCCCCAUUUCCCUAUUUUAAUUUUUAAUUUUAAUUUUUUAAAAUAUUAAUGAAUAAAUAAUAAAAUUUAAAUCAUAAAAUAUUAAAUAUUAAUAUAAAUAAAAAAUAUUAAAAUAUUUAUACAAAUAUUAAUUUGGACCUAUGUUUAUUAAAAUAAUGUAACGGAAUGUGUUUAAACAAUAGACGAGGUGUCAUUAUUUUACUUUUGCCGUCCCAUAUUCUACUUCCGCUAUCUCACUAAGUCAUAAAACAAUUUCAGUGAAUAUAAGGGCCGUAAUUAAAAUUUUACCUUUAAGAAACCUUUCAGCCUCUAACAAAGCAAAGUAUGGACCGUAAUGGAAACUUCCCCGAGUUGACUCAUACAACGAAGGUGGCUCCAGAUCGCUUUAAAUCCAUCUUGAACACCAGCCCUUUGGAGAAGACUAUGGUAUGGCCAACUUGUUUGUCGUUUGCAAUAAAGAAACAUAAUUAAUUUUUAACAGCCUUUCGAAAUGGUAUGUGACUGCAAUUAAAGAAAGAUAUCCAUCACUUUCUGUGAUAAAAAAUUCAGCAGUUGUAGAUUGGUAAGCCUUAUUUGCAAUUAAGAUUGGAUAAUUGUAACUUAAAAGGUACGGCACUAAAGUAUUAGUUAAACAUUAAAUAUAAUAUAACUCAGCGGUAGAGUGACACCUUAACGUGGUGGAAGUCAUCAGUUCGAGCCUGAUUAUCCCUAAACCCAAUAGGAGUUGUGAGUUUUUCUAUUUUGACUUGCCACCGCUGUGAUCAAAUAAGAAUGGGAAUGAAUAAGAGGCUUGUGGGGUUGACGUGAAGGGGUAGGGCUGGCUAUAUUUCUGGCAGCGAACUCCAGGCGAAUAUGAAGCGCAUGGAUACAAGUUAUGCCUUGGAAUGAAAGACAAUUCAGAAUCAGCUUUGUCUAUGAACAAGAAAGCUAAUAGUAGUAACUCAGUACCAAACAAGCCGUAGUACCAUUGUGUGCCCGAAGUAUUGAAGGAAGAGCAAUUACCUAAACCUGAAUGGAAAAAAGUGAAAUAUGCCAAGAAAGCACUAUGCCAUCUCUCGAAUUUAUUGUUCAAAUCCAUGAAAAUGGGUUAGAAAUGGGCUAUUUAUAGCCAAAUCAAGCAGUAAGCACUUGAGCAGUGGGUACUUGAGUCCACAUAUGUGUGUGAUUACAAGAUCAAGCUGUGUGUGCAAGUAAAGAGAGGUGUACGUGAUUGGCGUGUGUGUGCAUACAAAUGAAUCACAUGAGAUGUGCAUGUGGUGGAAAUCCAUUCAGCUUUCGCAGUACUCCCCUUAUUCCUUAGAUAUCCAUCAUUUCAUACGAAUUGCAAUUGACCAAAAAUUCAAUAGUACAAAAUCCAAGCAAAAAAAAAAUUUACAAUUUAAUAAAUCAUAAAGUAGGGUUGGACGUGGUUCAAAAUUGCCUCAUUAAAAGUCUUUACUAAUAAAACUCAAUAGAAAAACUUGAUCAAAGAAAAAAAAAGAAUACAACGCACAUGUUUCAUUUUAACUUUAAAAAUUCUUCUAUUAUCUGAUGAGCGCUCCCCCUGAUGAUAACAUAUAUCAACUCAAUAAUUUGUUCAAAUGUUACAUAGUCAAUAGCUUAUUUUCAUUUGUUGAUGCAGGCAAAUCUUUCAUAAAUUAUGUUGAUGCAGAAAUCCGGUCGUCUAUAAGGCUGACCAGGUUGUCUCAUCAAUGCUUAGGCUAACUCUUGUUGGUGCACGACACUUCUCGUUCCUUCCCCAAUUAAGUGAAUCCAAUAACUUCAAUCAACCUCUCUCCUUUCCAGUAACCUGCACUCAUAGAAACAGAGCAGGGGUGCCAGUGGUUUUUCCUGCGAAAACCCUCCGAUGCUUAAGUCAGUAUGUGGGGUUUCGGAAAAAAAAUUGGAUUUUAGAUCAGUGCAAGAUAAUGAUUGUUGAGUGAAAGAAAAUUUUUUAGAAGGUUUUUAUGGAAAUGAAGUCUAAAUUCAAAAUGAUAGAGUUUCCCCCAGUUUUUUAUUUUUUGUCCCCCUCUUCUAUCUUUUUCUCAGGUUUUAUAGGCAGCCGCUCCUUGCGUCUAGAACAUUCUCCCAUGUCCUCCAUACUCGGGCGAUCAUGGACCCCCAUAAACUGCGAGAACCGUGCGUAGGUUAUCGUGCCUCCCCCCAAACGGUUUGGACGUGGCGAAACUGUUGCGUUGAUGCAGGAUCGUGCCUGUUUUUUAAGUAACAGUUCUCCGGUCGGCCUUCAGCUGUACCCCUGAGAGUGUCUGGCACCAGGAUAUCUGCUCAUGAUUUAUUAAGUCGAGGAGAUUCCUCCUCAGCCAAUUAAUGAGGACAUGUGUGGCUGGUGCUCUUUUAAUCACCAAACACCAGUCCCCCUAGUUUCUAGUGUUGCGAGUGAAACGAGCUAAAACUAGAAAUUAGGAGCCGAAUAUGGUCAUACUGUGGGUUUGGGUAUUGAUAACUUUAAGAAAUGAGAGUUAUUAUGGCAAUGCUAGACUUAAAUCAAGAUCACUUAGAGAGUAAAUGAUGUGUUUUUAUUGCAUUUUUGUUACGUUUUACAUAAACAUUCAUUUUAGUUUAGUCUUAAUAAGUUUUGCUUGAUUUAAAGUAAUUUGUGCUCAAAUCACGUGCAUAAUUGUAGGUGUCCAGAAGCCUAUAAUUCAUGGAAGGGAUGUUGAUGCAGUAGGCUGGCAAAAAGGAAGAAGAAUAUGGCCACAAAAGAAGAGAAACAAAAUCUGGAGCAGUAGAGAGCUGUAGCCGUUGCUGGAGCAACUAUUGCUGUAGCAAUCCUAAAACAACGACAGAGAAAACUUAGCGCGGGAUAUCUGCAGAAUUACGAUAUGCAGUUUCCUAAUUUGACUCAUGCACACCCUUGGCUUUUGUUUACCCUAGUUUUCAGUUAUAAAAAUGGCUGCGCAUCACAUAAAACGGCGACAAGGAAUUAACAUGAGAAAAAUCGAGAGGAAAAGAAGAAAACAAUCAGAAUUCAAGGGAACCAAUUCUACAUCAGUGAAUGAUCCAACAGAGUUAUUUGGAUUCAAUCUUCAUCGUUCUCUACUUGUUCUUUUUUUUACUCUUUGAUUGAACCGAUGUAUUUCAUGACCAAUAUUUUGCUAUUUGUUUUUCUUUUUCAAAGUAUGAACUAAAUUUGAUUGUAGUUGAGUGACAAACAAUCUAAAUGAGUUUUUGACUGUUCUUAUGAGUUGCUAUACGAUUGCUGUGGCAUUUUACUUUAGUAGCUUUUAUUAUAAUCGUUAUUUCGGUUGACCACCCAUUUAAUGGUUUAAGUUAAGACAGAGCCGCAAAAAGGCUUGUCUUAGUGGAUAUUAUUAGAGUAAUACUUGAUUUUAAUUUAAGUUUCCUGGAUUAAGUUUUUCUUGAAUCCCAUAAGGGCUAUACUUAAAGUUAAGAUUUGUGAAGAACUAGACAUAGGCAUUCACCUUGUAGGGUAGAGAGAGUAGAUGUUCAUAAUGUCAUACAUUAGGUAGAAUAACAACUGGUCAUUGUUAGGAUCCUUAAGGGCUUGAGAAGUCCAACGCGCGAAAUCUCAGGAUGCAAAAUAAUUCCGCCCAGUGAUGUAGGAAUUGUUGUAGCAACUAGUGCUAAUUUGAUGAAAAGCAGUCAACUCAUGAAGAAAGUUUGAUCAUUCAGCUACUUCAUUCUCAUUCGAUUCUUUUACGCAAUUUAUCUAAUCUAUUUCAUUACUGUAAUUAUUUGUUUUAUUUUCUUACAAUUGUUAGUUUCGGUAAUAAUCAACUUUAACUAGGUUCAUCUUAAAAUAAAGGUAAACUACACUAUUGUGAUUGCUGUAACAUUUCUAGUAACAUCAAUCCCUGUGGAGACAAUCUACAAUAUUCAUCAUUUUAUUACUUAUUGUGUAUACUUGCACAUUGGCAUCAAUAACAAUUGAAUAAAAAUUAACCAACAAGUUUUUGGCGCCAUUGCCGGAGAUUGAUUGUUUAUUUUUGAAGUGUGAAGUAAAUCUUGAUAGUGCCAACUUGAUCUAAUUUGUUCUAUUUAUUGACAUAUCAAAACUUGCAUGUGCAAAGACAGAUCUGUUGUAUUAUAAUUUGAUCCUGAGAUUGAAAGGACUGUAAGGAGAUUGCGAAGAGAACAAAGAAAUUCAAAAAUUGUUUCAGACAUGGAUAAUCUACAGGAUGUGGGAAACUUGGACCCUCAGGGGCCACUACAACCUGUCAACAUUCAAGAGAGGCAGAAUGAGCAUGUUAAUCAGAGACAGCCAGGCAAUAACAAUAUUAUUUACAUGGAAGAUGACAGAGACAGGGCUAUAAGAGAUUAUGUUGUGUUAACUCCUCAAGUUGUACAUUUUGGAAUAGUUAGACCUGAAGUGGAAGCCUCAAACUUUGAAUUUAAGCCAGUGAUGUUUCAAAUAUUGCAAACAGUGGGUCAAUUCAAUGAACUACCAACUGAAGAUCCUCACCUCCAUCUUAAGUUGUUUUUGGAAGUGAGUAAUGCUUUUAAAAUUGUUGCAGCAAUACAAGAUGCUUUAAGACUAAGGCUUUUUCCUUACUCCUUAAGAGAUCGAACAAGAGCAUGGUUGAACUCAUUACCAUCUGAUUCCAUCACUACAUGAAAUGAAUUGGCUGAUAAAUUCUUAAUGAAAUAUUUUCCACCAACCAAAAAUGCAAAAUUGCAGAAUGAGAUCACUUCCUUUCAUCAACUUGAAGAUGAGAGUUUGUAUGAGGCUUGAGAGAGAUUUAAAGAACUUCUCAGAAGGUGUCCUCAUCAUGGCAUUCCUUGUUGCUUACAGUUGGAAACCUUCUACAAUGGGUUGAAUCCAAGUACGAGAUUGAUGGUUGAUGUUUUAGCAAAUGGAGCUUUAUUAUCUAAAUCUUACACUGAAACUUAUGAAAUUUUGGAGAGAAUUGCCAACAAUAAUUAUCAGUGGCCAUCAACUAGACAGACGACAGCAAGAGGAGCAACGGGGUACAUAAUAUAGAUGCAAUUACAACUUAUUAGCACAAGCAACCUCAUUGACUAAUAUGGUUAAAGCUAUGACUUCUGCUCCAGCAGCAGUAAAGCAAGUUGCUGAAUUGUCUUGCGUGUAUUGUGGUGAAGAGCAUAUAUUUGACAAUUGUCCUAGGAAUCCAGUAUCAGUAAACUAUGUGGGUAAUUUCGACAGCCUCAAAACAACCUGUACUCAAAUACUUACAACCGUGGAUGAAAGUAACACCUAAACUUCUCAUGGAGCAAUCAGAAUCAAAAUGCUCCAGCACUGAGUGGACAAAACAGAAAUACUCAACCACCUAGUUUUCAUCAGCAGAAUCAAGGGCAAAAACACACCAGCCAUGAUCCACUUACUUCAUUGGAAACACUGAUUAAGGAAUACAUUGCGAAGAAUGAAGCAAUUGUGCAAAGUCAAGCUGUAUCUCUAAGAAACCUGGCAAACCAAAUUGGACAGCUUGCCACAGCAAUGAGUAGCAGAUCUUAGGGAAGCUUGCCCAGCAACACAGAAGAUCCAAGAAGAGAAAUUGGUACCUCCUGAGGCUACCCAGCAAUUUAGGCAUCCACCUUAUUUCCCAUAGAGAUUCCAGAAACAAAAACAAGACAAGCAGUUUAGUAAGUUCUUGGAAGUGCUGAAGCAAUUACACGUCAACAUACCUUUUGUGGAAGAAUUUGAGCAAAUGCCUAAUUAUGUGAAAUUUCUAAAAGACAUCUUGGCAAGAAAGAGAAGGUUGGGAGAAUUUGAAACUGUUGCUUUAACACAGGAAAGCAGUCACAUGCUCCAAAGUAAGAUUCCUAAAAAAUUGAAGGAUCUAGAAAGCUUCACAAUACCAUAUUCCAUUGGAACUAAGUACAAUGGCAGAGCACUCUGUGAUUUGGGAGCCAGUAUUAAUUUGAUGCCAUUAUCUGUAUUUAAGCAGUUGGGAGUAGGAGAAUGCAGGCCAACAACAGUGACUCUGCAAUUAGCUGACAUAUCUCAUGCAUAUCCUGAAGGAAAAAUUGAGGAUGUACUAGUGAAGGUUGAAAAAUUCAUCUUUCAAGUAGACUUCAUUGUAUUAGACUUUGAGGCUGAUAAAGAGGUACCCAUUAUACUUGGAAGAGCUUUCCUAGCAACAGGGAAUACUCUGAUAGAUGCGUAAAAAGGAGAGCUAACAAUGAGGGUGAAUGACCAACAAGUCACAUUCAAUGUAUUAGAGGCUAUGAAGAACCCUAAUGAGGCAGAAGAUUGCAAUUUCCUAAGUGUUGUGAAUUUUAUUGUAGCAGACAGAAUCGACAGAUGCUACAAUAAUGAGGUCAUCAAAGUUGCCACCUUUGAGAGCUUUGAAGAAAAAGUUGUUGCAGCAAACCAGAUAGAUUGGAUGGAAGAAAGGCAAUCUAAUAGACAUAACAGAUUUCUUGAACAUCUAAAUCUUUCAGACAGGGAAGUAAAGAUAACUUUACCAUCUAUUGAAUCACCUCCUUUUCUUGAAUUAAAAUUGUUGCCCUCACAUUUGAAAUAUACUUAUCUUGGUCAAAAUAACACACUCCCUAUAAUCAUUUCAUCUACUUUGGAUGCAGGUCAAGAACGGAGCCUAGUAGAUGUGCUUGGGAAAUACAGAAAAAUAAUUGGAUGGACCAUGACAAACAUCAAAGGGAUCAGCCCAUCCAUAUGCAUGCAUAAAAUUCUAUUAGAAGACUGCUACAACAACUCAAUAGAGCAAUAGAGAAGGUUAAACCCUAUUAUGAAGGAAGUUAUGAAGAAAGAAAUCAUUAAAUAGUUGGAUGCUGGGAUCAUAUACCCGAUAUCAGACAGUUCAUAGGUAAGCCCAAUUCAAUGUGUUCUAAAGAAUGGAGGAAUAACAAUGAUAACAAAUGAGAAGAAUGAACUUGUUCCUACAAGAACAGUGACUGGAUAGAGGGUAUGUAUGGAUUACAUGAAGCUCAACAAAGCCACUCGAAAGGAUCACUUCCCACUUCCAUUCAUAGAUCAAAUGUUGGACAGAUUUGCUGGAAAACAAUACUAUUGUUUCCUAGAUGGGUAUUUAGGUUACAACCAAAUUGCUAUAGCUUUAGAGGACCGGGAAAAGACUACAUUUACUUGUCCUUAUGGAACUUUUGCCUUCAGAAGGAUGCCCUUUGGUUUGUACAAUGCUCCAGCAACUUUUCAGAGAUGUAUGAUGUCUAUUUUUUCAGAUAUGGUGUCGCAAACAUUGGAAGUCUUUAUGAAUGAUUUCUCAGUCUUUGGAGAGACAUAUACUGAUUGUUUACACAACUUGGAAUAAGUUCUUAAAAGAUGUGAGAUAACUAACUUAGUACUCAAUUGGGAAAAAUGCCACUUCACGGUGCAAGAAGGCAUAAUGUUGGGUUAUAAGGUGUCCAAGAAUGGCAUAGAGGUAGAUAAAACAAAGAUAGAAGUGAUAGAUAAAUUGCUACCUCCCGCUUCAAUCAAAGGGAUUAGAAGUUUUUUGGGUUAUGCUGGAUUUUACAGAAGAUUCAUAAAAGAUUUUUCCAAGGUAGCUAAACCAUUAUGCUUAUUGCUAGAACAUGACAAGCCUUUUCAUUUUGAUAAAGACUAUCUUCAAGCCAUUCGGGAAUUAAAGAAAGUUUUGAUCACUGCAUCAGUGGUUAUAUCACCAGAUUGGACUAUACUAUUUGAACUGAUGUGUGAUGCCAGUGACCAUUCUAUUGGGGCAGUGUUGGGGCAGAGGAAGGAUAAGAUUUUCCACUCUAUAUAUUAUAUUAGCAAAACUCUUACUCCAACUCAAAUUCAUUACACUACUAUAGAGAAAGAGUUGCUAGUAGUAGUAUUUGCUUUCAAUAAAUUCAAAGCUUACUUGGUGGGUACUAAAGUGACAGUGUACACAGACCAUGCAGCCAUCAAGUACCUAGUCUCAAAGAAGGAUGCUAAAUCGAGAUUAAUAAGAUGUAUCUUAUUGCUUUAGGAGUUUGAUUUGGAAAUUAAAGGUAGAAAGGGAACUGAGAAUCAAGUAGCAGACCAUCUGUCUAGGCUAGAAGCAGACGCAAGCACAUUGACAAAAAAAGACAUCACUGAAACUUUUCCUGAUAAACAACUGUUAGUAAUACAGCAAGCACAGAUGCUAUAGCAAUCAGGAUCUCCAUGGUUUACAGAUUUUACUAACUACUUAGUAAGUGGAUUGCUACUACCUGAGUUGAAGUUUUAGCAGAAAAAUAAAUUUCUUCAUGAUGUUAGAAGCUACCAGUGGGAUGAUCCAUAUUUGUAUAAGUUAUGUUCAGAUCAAGUAAUACGAAGAUGUGCUUCAGAGGAAGAAAUUCCUCAUAUACUAGAAUCCUGCCAUGCUGCAGCAUAUGAAGGACAUUUUGGUGGUCACAGAACAGCUGCUAAGGUUCUGCAAUCAGGUUAUUACUGGCCUUCCAUUUUUAAAGAUGCUUAUGAGUUUGCUAAAUAUUGUGACAGGUGUCAAAGGACAGGAAACAUAACUCAAAGACAUGAAAUGUCAUUGACGAACAUUCUGGAAGUGGAGAUUUUUUAUGUAUGAGGAAUAGACUUCAUGGGUCCUUUUCCACCAUCUUUUGGGAACUUAUAUAUCCUGGUUACUGUGGAUUAUGUAUCCAAAUGGGUAGAAGCUGCAACAUUACCUAUCAAUGAUGCUAGAGUAGUAAUGAACUUCCUUCAGAAAAAUAUUUUUUCCAGGUUUGGCACUCCACGAGCAAUUAUUAGUGAUGAGGGUACUCAUUUCUGCAACAAAGUAUUUGCUAUAGUUUUGGUGAAAUAUUGAGUCAAGCAUAAAAUAACAACUGCAUAUCACCCACAAUCCAAUGGCCAGGCAGAAGUGUCUAAUAAGAAGAUUAAGAAAAUCUUAGAAAAAGUAGUGAACCCAUCAAGAAAGGAUUGGUCCUUGCACCUAUAUGACUCCCUAUGGGCUUACAGAAUAGCAUACAAAACACAACUUGGCAUGUCUCCCUAUCGAAUUGUGUAUGGGAAAGCUUGUCACUUGCCACUCGAGCUAGAGUACAAAGCAUACUGGGCACUGAAGCAAUUAAAUUGGGAUAUACAUGCUGCAGCAGAGCAAAGGAAACUUCAACUAUGUGAGCUUGAUGAAUUGUGUAUGUUCUCAUAUGAAAAUGUAAGAAUUUAUAAAGAGAGAACAAAACACUGGCAUGACAAACAUAUCCAACAUAGGAAAUUAAUCUCUAGUCAACUAGCGCUGCUCCAUAAUACGAAGUUAAGACUAUUUCCAGGGAAACUGAAAUUUUGAUGGUCUGGACCCUUCAAGCUGCUUAGAAUCUACCCUCAUGGGGCUGUUGAUUUCCUAGAUGAAAAGAUAGGCUAGGAAUUCAAAGUCAAUGGGUACAGAGUUAGGCAUUACAUGCAUUCAGCUGCAGAUUGUUCAAAGGAGGUCUUACUCUUUAGAGAACCAAGUUUAUGAGCACUCAAGUAAGGUCAGGCUGAAGGACCUUAAAUCAAGUGCUCAAUGAGAGGCAACCCAUUGAGGAGGCAGCCACUUCAAUUGAAAUGGAUCCUCCUUGGUUUUGUUAAAUACUUUUCAUCUUAUUUUAUUUUUUUAUUAUUAUUUAUUGUUAUUUAUUUUUAUUUCCCUUAUUUAGGAUUGUUUAACUCUUUUUUUUUUUCUUGUUUUGUUAUGAAAAAAAAAAGAGAGAAAUGUGUGUGAUAGAUGGACUCAAUACUAACAAUUGGAGCUGUAAUGUUAACAUAUGGCAGAAGCAAGCUACAUGUCAGCAGUUAUUUGAGGAGAGUUGUAACCUUUGCUAGAGCAUACAAUUGGGUGCUGUAGCAACCAAUAUUACCGUUAAAGUAACUUAAUCAUGGAGCCUCUCACUUACCGUUGGAGAUAAUAUGUGACAGAUGGGUGGAUGGAUUUGGAUAGAAAUUGAGAAAGAAGAUCUCUUAAAUUAAUGCAUUAAUUUCUCUUGCCUAUUUUUAUAGGAUAUAUGUAAUGAAUUUAAAAAAAUAUUCUUCCCUAAUUUAUCUCUUUUUUACCGAAUUUGUUUUCAUUUUAUUCCACCUAUAUAAGGGCGUCACUGUGCAUAUUGACCUCUAACACUAUUUUCUCUCCCCUUCACAGUUACAACUUUAGUACUCCAUAACCUCUUCUUCUCAUUUUACUCUUGGGCAUAUUACCAUCGAAUUCUUACUGCUACAAUAAUGCCAAGGUACAAAAGAACAGCCAGCCGACUAAAAAAUCCCUCACGAUUCCAAAGUUACCAUAGAAAAAUAUGAAGAAUUCAUUGAACCGCGAAAGAUUCUGGAGGAAAAAGGGUUUCAGUCCCAACUCAACCCACAAGAAUUGUGCAAUCAUUAUACAAUGUUGCAGCAAAGCGCGGGUGGCUAAAGUUUUGUAACUACCCUCGAGACGUUGUGUUGCCAUUAGUGAAAGAAUUUUACGCCAAUUUGGUACGCCCUGGUCAGGACAAUAUUUAGGUAAGAAACUCGCUUGUUCCAUUAAAUUCUCGAGUUAUAAAUGCUUUCUAUAAUUUACCUGCUGAAAUUAAUUGCGAGUAUGCCAAGUUGCUUGACAAAUUAACCCCGCAAAGAUGGAACAAAAUUUUCACAACACUUACAGUAGAGGGUGCAUCUUGGGCUAAUAAGGAAGGGCGUGUAAUUAAUAGGAUAGAUUUAAAACCCAUUGCUAAGGUGUGGGUGAAAUUUCUAAAAUCCAGACUUAUGCCAACCGCCCACACCACUAUUGUUUCACAAGAAAGGUUGGUAUUGUUGUAUGUUAUUGUUAGAGGGCUUUCCAUAGAUGUGGGAAGCAUUAUCGAAAAAGAAAUUCGGGAUUGUGCCAUGAAAAACCACAAAGCAGCUGCCUUGCUAUUUCCUUUACUCAUCACCAGCAUCUGUGUAGUAUCGCAAGUUCGUCUUGAUGCAAAAGAUGAGCAUAUCAAGAAUGAUGGUGCCCUUACUGCACGCGCCAUCGAGAGAAUUGCUGGUGAAGUUACUGGAGCCCCAUCUGAACCAGCUGUUGUAACAUGGGCAAGACGAGUUAUUAGGUUAGAACAGAGAAUCCAAGCACUGAGCACCAGCAUCAAUCAAUGUGCUGAAGCUCAGCAGAGGGAAAACAAUCGGUUUUGGAGCUAUUUGCAGCACUUGGACAACCACCUACACUAAUUUGCUGUAUAUAUGAAACGUAACCACCGAGAUUUUUCUGAUUCAUUGCUCCAGCAAUAUAAUUUUGGUACUCCCACUACAAAGGCUCCAACAGCAGUUAGUGAAAAGACUACUGACACAUAUGAACCAAAAGAGGAAGCUACAGCAGAACCACAAGCAGAUGUUGAAUUCGAUGUUGAUGACCAGUCAGACCAGCUAGAAGAAGAGGAUGUUAAGUUUGCAACUGACAGUUCCCCAACAGAGGCAGAGAAAGAGCCUGAGAAAGAACUCGAGGAGCCCCCAGUCAGGAUCUCUUCCAAGACCAGAAAAAAUCACAUCAUACAAAAAGAGGAUGAUGAACCAGCAGAAAAGCCUCUGAUUCCAGUCCUUUCUAGAAAGGGCAAAGAGAAAGUAAUCACCCCUCUUGCCUCUAACAAUGAAGCAGAGCAAAUUGAUGCAGAGCUGGAAGCUGCAUCAGCCAGAGUCACUCGUACACCCACAAAGACAAAGCAGUUCCUUGAUAUUAUUGCCGCCAUCACAACUGAGGGACAUGCAGCUAAAGCCCCAGCUCCAACCCCUCUACAGCAAACUCCCAGAAAGCCUAUUCGUGCUAGUCCUAAAGGACCCAAUAAAAGAAAGAGGGGCACUUCUGAAGGCAUUGCUGCAGCAGCCUCACUAGAACAAAAAAUGACCAGAUUUGUUUCAACCAAGCAGGCUGCCCACACCUCCCACCAGCCCAUUGUAGAAAAAGAAAAAGACGUUGCCAGCUGCCUCACCAUAAGAAUCCCCUAAGGAAAGGCUGCGAAGUGCAUCUAAAAAGCGCUGAAUUCACUACACAAUGUUGUAGUAGUGUCUAAACAACAGGGGAGUACCCCCUUCCUGCUAGUCAUUUUAAUUAUUUCUGAAAAACUUUUCUUUCAUUAAGUUUUUAUUUUCUGAUUCAUUCUAUAUGUCCUUUUAUUUAGUGUAUGCAUGUCUGGUUAUGUGGUUUUUUUGUGCACUUAUGAAGACACAGCACCACUUAAGUUUGGGGGGUUGUGUUUCUGAAUGUGUAUGUUUACGCUUAUGCUGUGUGAAGCUCUAUUAUCUAAUAUUUUUGUAUGGAUUUGAAAACCUAAUGAAGAUAAAAUGAGUGUUAUUCAGUAUUUAUGAGAAAGCCAAGUAGAGAUAGUUGUAGAUGGAGGUUCAAAUUCUGUCAUGACACUUAACUAUGCUCAUUAUAAAAUAAAUUUAGCUCCAAUGGCUCAAGUUGCUAAUUAACCAGGGCUGAGUAUGUACUCCAUAUGCAGACUUGAGUCCAAAGGCAACAAGAGUUACGAGCAAUGCUGUAGCAAAAUAAAAAAAAAAAAAAAAGGCCCUCUGUAUAGGAUAUUGAGUAGUCAGGUCUGUUUAUGAGCCCCAUGUUCAGCCUUGAGUUAAAAGAUAUCUUUAGAUAAGACUAUGCUACGAAUAUUGCUACAACAACUCUGAUUUGUGCAUUGAUUGAGUAACUGGGUGUCAUCAUUACAAGUGAUCGACAUUCACAUAAAAAAUAAAUGUUGCAGUGAAGAGGGUUGUUAAAAAAAAGAGCACUUAAUUUUUGUUUUUGUUAUAACACAGUGUGAGUAUGUGUGAUUUCUGCUACCCUAUAUGUGAAUAUAUUUGUGUUCUACCUCUGAAUUAUAUACAAUAUCUUUGUAAUGUUGUAGCACCUCUGGAACUUAAUCAAAGUGGCACACACACACUUUGGAUAGAAUGAAGCUUAAGUCUAGAACUGAACUGUUAUGGUUAUUUUGCAUGAUUGAGAUUGUGAUCUGAGGGUGGAAGAAUCCUUGCAAAUUUGAUGACAGAGCAAAGUUAUUUGUUGCAUGAUUGUGUGCAUGAAGUGUUAGUAUGUUGUCAUUACUUGAGGACAUGUAACAAUUUAAGUUUUGGGGUGUGAUAGCUCUAUGAAAUGAGAGUUAUUAUGGAAAUUCUAGACUCAAAUCAAGAUCACUUAGAGAGUAAAUGAUGUGUUUUUAUUGCAUUUUUGUUAUCGCUCUCUGAACUUCUGUUUGUUCUUGGAAAUUGCAUAAACAUUCAUUUUAAUUUAGUCUUAAUAAGUUUUGCUUAAUUUAAAGUAAUUUGUGCUCAAAUCACGUGCAUAAUUGUAGGUUUCCAGAAGCCUAUAAUUCAUGGAAGGGAUGCUGAUGCAGUAGGCUGGCAAAAAGGAGGAAGAAUAUGGCCACAAAAGAAGAGAAACAAAAUCUAGAGCAGUGGAGAGUUGUAGCCGUUGCUAGAGCAACCAUUGCUGUAGUAAUCCUGGAACAACGACAAAGAAAACUUAGUACAGGAUAUCUGCAGAAUUGCAAUCUACAGUUUCCUAACCUGACUCAUGCGCGCCCUAGGCUUUUGUUUACCCUAGUUUUCAGUUAUAAAAAGGGGCGCGCAUCACAUAAAACAACGGCAAGGAAUUAACAUGGGAAAAAUCGAGAGGAAAAGAAUAAAACAAUUAGAAUUCAAGGGAACCAAUUAUGCAUCAGUGAAGAAUUCAACAGAGUUAUUUGGAUUCAAUCUUCAUCGUUCUCUACUUGUUCUUUUUUUAACUCUUUGAUUGAUCCGAUGUAUUUCAUGACCAAUAUUUUGCUAUUUGUUUUUCUUUUUCAAAGUAUGAACUAAAUUUGAUUGUAGUUGAGUGACAAACAAUCUAAAUAGGUUUUUUAUUGUUCUUAUGAGUUGCUAUACGAUUGCUGUGGCAUUUUACUCUAGUAGCUUUUAUUAUAAUCGUUAUUUCGGUUGACCACUCAUUUAAUGGUUCAAGUUAAGAUAAAGUCGCAAAAGGGCCUGUCUUAGAGGAUAUUAUUAGAGUAAUACUUGAUCUUAAUUUAAGUUUCCUAGAUUAAGUUUUUCUUGAAUCCCAUAAGGGCUAUACUUGAAGUUAAGAUUUGUGAAGAACUAGACAUAGGCAUUCACUUUGUAGGGUAGAGAGAGUAGAUGUUCAUAAUGCCAUACCUUAUAUAGAAUAAAAACUGGUCAUUGUUAGGAUCCUUAAGGGCAUGAGAAGUCCAACACGCGACAGCUGAGGAUGCAAAAUAAUUCCGCCCAGUGAUGUAGGAAUUGCUGUAGCAACUCGUGCUAAUUUGAUGAAAAGCAGUCAACCCAUGAAGAGAGUUUGAUCAUUCAGCUACUGCAUUCUCAUUCGAUUCUUUUACACAAUUUAUCUAAUCUAUUUCAUUACUACAAUUAUUUUUUUUUAUUUUCUUACAAUGGUUAGUUUCGGUAAUAAUCAACUUUAUCUAGGUUCAUCUUGAAAUAAAGGUAAACUGCACUAUUGUGAUUGCUGUAGCAUUUCUAGUAACAUCAGUCCCUGUGGAGACGGUCUAGAAUUUCAUCACUUUAUUACUUAUUGUGUACACUUGCACAUUGGCAUCAAUAGCAAUUGAGUAAAAAUUAACCAACAGGUAUCCAGUUCUAAUCUUGAUUUGACAGAGUUGAGGUGGCGUUCUUUGCUCAGGUGAUUUCUGGCUGCGAGACAAUAAUAUUGACUAGAUACCAAUAUUUCCAAGUAUACCACCGACCUGACUUUUUUUCAUAUCAUUUUAAAUGUCAGUGACGUGGCACUCUCUACACCCUAUAUUUGAAAUUUGAAAUGGCGGUUUACCUGCCCUUGAGAUGCGUCAAUUGAAUUGACACUCGCGUUACUUAAACGUUUCGUUUCUCUCUCCUUUAUAAAAUCCAUAAAUCAAAGAUUUUAUUAAACUUGUUCCUCCGUUUCCUACUGAAAAUUGAUUCUUAAUCCAAGAUUAAGUGUCUUCUCUGCGCUGGAGACUCUCAUUCUUCCACCGUUUUCGCUGCGAUAAUGACACUAUCUACACUAAACCAUCCCAGGCAUCGCUCUCUAAACCCACCUCUUGUUGUUGUUGCGUUAGUCUUGUACUAUGCUUUCUUGUUCGAUUAUUUGGAUUUUUUUUUUACAAAAAAAUUCCUCCAUGUCGAAACGAAAAGGAAAAAUAAUUAAGAAUGAAAGUAAUGAGGAAAUAGAUUCUUACCCCUUUCUAUUAAAAGAAACUCCCCUCGGUCCCCAGAUUCCCUCUAGUGAUGUAGGCCCCUAUAGUAGUAAGAACACUAUGAGACAACCACAAUUAGAAAUUACCCCACCACCUUCUGCCCACGAACCCAAUGGGGGUAACGAUGAGCAAGCAUCGGGCUCUAGCGAAAGUCGUAGCUCUAGUGGGGCGGAAAGUCUCGAGGAAGAGAAUGAUAAUGAGGAGAGUAGCCCGGAGUCGAGCCGACCAGCCAAAAAAAGGAACCUUGGUCAUAGGGUAGAAGCUGGUUCUUAUCCUAUUAACUUUCUGAGGUGUAGCACUACACAAAAUGAUUUGUUCAAACUGAGGAACCUUUAUUGUAUUCCUGACGACAUCCAUCUCGUCAUCCCCGGAAAAGGUGAUAUCCCCAGUCGGCCUCCUAGGGGCUAUGUGACCUUGCACUUGGAGUGGUUCAAACUAGGAGUUAGAUUGCCCCUUCAACUCUAUUUUGCCAAGGUGUUAAGUGACCUGCAUUUGGCCCUUGGUCAACUAAACCCAAAUGGAUGGAGGGUACUCUUAAGUUUGUUCGUGUUAUGGGAUAGGUGCGGAGUCGAAGAACCCACCAUUGAGGAAAUAAAAAACUUAUAUCAACUGAGGAACAACCAAAAAGAUGCAGGUUGAUACUACUUCAUGUCAAGCUCUACGAAAGGGAAACCCCUCACAGACUUUCCUUCCUCAUGUAAAAAUUGGAAGAGUAAAUUCUUUUUUGUUAAGAGAAACUGGGGUCCCGUGAUUCAGUUGCCUAGUAGUGGUAUUCACGUCCCUACGCGUUUUUGCACCCUAGAUUAUUUGUUUCUCUUCAUACCUCAUGCCUUUGGUCGUCAUUCACCUUUCCUCUUACCUUUGACUAUAUUUUUCAGAUUCUUGGGGCCUAAUUUAUAAUAUCAAGGAGGAAUUGUUGCUCCAAGUCCAGACCGCUCUGGUCAACGCUUGUUCGUGCAAAGACCUUUUGACGUCAACGAGUCUCGUCGAGUCCCAUUUAGUUGACGUAGCUCCUAGAUGGAUAACAAUAUCCUCAGCACCAUGACAAGAAAACGUGAUCGGGGUUUGGGUGACUCUAGCAAUGCCCCCACCCCAUAAAAGAAAAGCAAGGUCACCCCGACCAGGACACCUCCCCCAGCUCUGCCUCCUCCUCCAAUUGGAAAGGUUGGAGGCGAAAACUCUGGUGAAAAGAGUCCCGAGGGUGCCGCCCCUCCUAUGGAUCGAACUUCAUCACCUCCGCCCUAGGACCAGAGCGAUUACUUGGGCAUAUACUAGAGGGAGUACUCCAAAGUAAUGGGGUCGAAGUUGAUUAAAGAGCUGGAGGGUAUGACUCUUACCGAGCUAUGCGGGUCCUUUUAGAAGAUCGCUUUUCAGCUUGCUACAGCAGCCUUUUGCUAUAAGUUUAAGACUUCGCGCCAUGAGAAGAAGCGGCAAGCGGAGGUCCAAGACCUGAAGAAAAAAGUGGAGUCUGCUGAUCGUUUAAAGGAGAAGAUGCUCGAGUUACACAAGUAGGUUUUUGACCUCGAAGAGAAAGUUGCUCUUACUGAAUCCAAGUCUACUUAGCUUGAUAGCUAGCUGGCAGACUUAAAAUCUGAUCUCGAUGUUGCUCAAAGUGAACGAGACACUCAGAAAACAGCGUAUGAAGAAUAAAUCAAGUAUUUGGAAUCGCUGAUAGCUGAGUUGAAAGAUAAGGCCAGGGACGUGGAAGAUCGGAUAGAUGCAGAGUACAACUUUGGGCUUGCCUUUAGCUACAAAUGUAUUAUGUCCGCCCUUAAGAAGGAAUAUUUGGAGCUAAAUAUGGACAAGUUAGAGGCAAAUGUGAACGAAUACAUGGCCGAGCAGAGUCAGUGCGACAAGGGCCAAGAAGGGACUCCUUCGGGUGUUAAAGAGCAGGAAAAAGAGGUGGGGGACAAGGCACCAAACACAAAUGUGGAGGCGGUCCCUACUCCAUCUAGGGUCACUAAUCCCUCCUCGACUAAAGCUAUGGAUUCCUCCCCUGCUGAGGUAGUAGAGCCUCCUUCUCAAGACCCAUGAAUUUCUCUUUAUGUUUAAAUCGCAGACUUUUUACUUGGUUAUAUACCUUGGAUCAUUAAUGAACUUUUGGCUUCUUCUUUCUAUUCUAAUACUUUGCUGCUCUGUCUUUUAAAUGUUCACUUGUUUGAUCUGCUCAUGAAUCCUAAAACUUUUAUUGGCCCUGUUGUUUGUUUAGUGGGCUUUGUAUGCUCAUCUUCGUUCGAAGGUGCAUAUAUUUUGUAAAUCUUGUCUGCACGUCUUCACAUAGUAGAGUAGAUGUUCGCAAACUUUUGCUUUAGAGUAAUUUUUGCAAAUUUUUCCUGUUCAUCCUCAUGUGACAGAACAAGUUUUCGCAAACAUUUGCCUUCAUGCAAUUUUUACGAAUUUUAUUUGCUCGUCCUCAUGCGACAGAGCAUAUUUUGGUAACUUUUGCCUUAGGGUAAUUUUUGCGAAUUUUUCCUGCUCGUCCUCAUGCGACAGAGCAGGUUUUGGCAAACAUUUGCCUUCAUCUCGCCUUGGGUAGACUAUGAGACUAUUGAGACUUUGUUUGCCUUCGAACUGCUUUGGUAAGGUGUCUUUGAAUGGAAUUCAUUAUCUCAUAAUUAGUGAAUGCUUGAUUAAUUAGAGAAAAUAGAACAUAUAAGCAAGUGGUAACUUCUUAUUACAUCUAGCGGAAACAACUAAACUGGAAAAUUCUAUAAAAAUAGCUUACUUACUGGAAGUAUUUCUUCAAAUGCUCUGCAUUCCACGAUCUCUUCACUUCUCGUUCGUCUAGGUAAGCUAGCUUGUAAGCUCCUAGACCAGUUGCUCGUAUUACCCUAUACGGGCCUUUCCAGUUAGGGCAAAAAACAUCUUGGUUAGGAUCUCUCGUACUUUGAUUUACUUUCUUGAGCACCCAAUCUUCUACUUGGAAUCGCUUUACGCACACAUUCUGAUUAUAGUAGCGCAUGAUCCUCUACUGAUACUGGAUCACCUUCCGUGAGGCUUUUUCUCUUUUCUCCUCUAAUAGAUCCAGAUUCAUACACAUCUACUCAUCGUUCUGCUCCUCAUUGAAAUAUUCUGUUCGAUGCGUCCCAACUCUAAUUUUUGCUAGCACUAUAGCCUCAUGGCCGAAGGCUAAGGAAAAUGAGGAUUCUCCGGUUGCAGUUUUGUGAGUUGUCCGAUAAGUCCAUAGUACACCCAACAGCUCAUCAACCAACGCCCCCUUCUUCUCCCCCAACCUUGUUUUCAGGAUCUUUUUUAUGACUUUAUUGAUUGUCUCCACCUGCCCAUUUGAUUAGAGAUGUGCUAGAGAGCAUAACUUCAGCUCAGCACCCAAAAUUUUGCCAGAAUUCUCUAAAGUUAUGGUUGUUAAAUUGUCUCCCAUUAUCCGUUAUGAGUACGUAAGGGAUUCCAUAUCUGCAUAUGAUAUUUUUCUAGAUGAACCCGGUUGUUUUCUUCAGCGUAAUCUAGCUUAAAUCCUCAAUUUCUACCCACUUUGUGAAGUAAUCUAUGGCUACAAUAGCAUGCGUAGCAGCUCCUCAUCCUUUGGGCAAGAGACCAAUCAGGUCAAUCCCCCACUGUGCAAAAGGCCAUGGAGAGGACAUAACAACAAGUUUCUCUUAAGGCUGAGUAGGAAUAUCUAAGAAACUUUGGCAGAUUCUAUAAUUUUUAGUCAUUUCUCUCGCAUCCGGGUGCAUGGUCGGCCAAAAAUAUCCCUGCCUUAACGCUUUAAAUGCCAAAGUUCUUGCUCCAGAAUGGUUGUCACAUAUUCAUUAGUGUAUCUCUCGUAGCACGUAGUUUGCCUCCGCAUCGUCCAAGCAUUACAGAAGGGGAAGGUGAACCCUCGUCGAUAAAGUAUCCUAUCGAGCAACGUAUAUCUAGCCACUUGACAUUUCAAUUUUCUCGCUUACUUCUUAUCCACCGGUAGGCUUCCAUCACGAAUAUAUGAAAUGAUCGGAUCUAUCCAGGAUGCUCGAGCAUCCACCCCCAUUACUUUCGAUUAUUGGCCGAUGCUUGGUCAAGUUUUGACCUCUACUAGAACCGACUUGGGCAGUUUUGGGUCCGCAGUUGCAGCCAUUCUAGCCAACAUGUCUACUUGGUAAUUUUCUAUCCUGGCAAUCUAGUAUAUCUUCACCUCCUGGAACACUCCGACCAUUUGCUUAGCCUUCUUCAAUUAAAGCUUCAUCUUCUCGCCUCUCACUUGGAAAUGUUCAUUAAGCUGAUUACAAACCAGCUGGGAAUUUGCUUGGAUUUUGACUCUUUCUGCCCGUAACGAAUGCGCCAGCUUAAGCCUAGUGAUGAAGGCUUCGUACUCUGCCUAGUUAUUCGUCUCCUAAAAUUUAAAUUUCAUAGCAUAAGAAACUUCAACCCCAUCUGGACUGCGUAUCACUAUUCUUGCUCCAGGUCCCUGCUCACUGCAUGGCCCGUCAACCUUUAUCAACCAAAAACCUAUCGGCUCUGUAUCUCUAGCUGAUUGCUCUUUGUGAGUCUUUUCUCCUGACUCUGUACAUUCUGCCACAAAGUCGGCCAAGCCUUGUGCUUUAGUAGCCCCUCAGGGUCGAUAAGUUACGUUAAACUCACUCAUUUCCACUGACCAUUUGACUAAGAGGCACAUACAUCCGGUUUCAAGAGUGUUUGUCGAAGAGGUUGGUAUUCAUCACAAUUACUGGGUGUGCCUGAAAGUAUGGCCUCAGCUUGCGCGCCGCGGUUAUUAGAGCCAGUGGCCAUUUCUCCAUCGUCAGGUAUCUGGUCUCUGCGUCCACCAAGGCCUUGCUAGUAUAAUACAUUGGAUGUUGCAUUCCUUCUUCUUUUGUCACCAACACUGAACUGGUAGCCUAUUUCAAAACAACUAAGUACAGGUGCAAUAUGUCACCCUCUUUUGGUGUUUGCAGUAAUGGAGUUUAGGCGAGAUAUUUCUUCAACUACCCGAAUGCCUCCUCACAUUUUGCCGUCCACUCCAUUUUUCUGCCAUUUCUCAUAAUCUGGAAAAAGGAGUGGCAUUUAUCUGUUGCCCUCAAGAUGAAUCGGUUCAGGGCUACUAGUUUUCCCGUAAGGCUCUACACCUUCUUAAUUUCCUGAGAAGAUCUCAUUUAUGUUAUUGCCCAUAUCUUCUUCGGGUUGGCUUCAAUUCCUUGAUGGCUCACCAUGAAUCCCAAGAACUUUCCCGAGCACAAUCUGAAUGCAUACUUCUCCGGAUUAAGUUUUAUAAUAUAUCUAUUCAGCAACUCAAAGGUUUCCUCUAAGCGCAGUAUAUGUUCUGCUAGUUUUUUAGACUUCGUAAUCAUGUCAUCCACGUACAUCUACAUAGUACGUCUGAUCAGAGGCUUAAAGAUUCUAUUCACCAAUCUUUGAUAUGUGGCCCCUGUAUUUUUUAGACCGAAUGGCAUUACCUUGUAACAAAACAAACUCAUGUUAGUAAUAAAUGUGGUGCUCUCCUCAUCCUGCUCGUCCAUAGGUAUUUGGUCGUAUCCAGAGAAUGCAUCCAUGAAGCUGAGCAGGCUGUGGCCAGCCGUCGAGUCAACUAACUGGUCUAUCUUAUGCAAAGGGAAGCUAUCUUUCAGACACGCUUUGUUGAGGUCCGUGAAGUCUACGCACAUUCUCCACUUUCUAUUUGCUUUCUUCACAAGCACUACAUUGAAAAUCCACUCCGGAUACAAGGCUUCCCUAAUAAACUCAUAACAGUUUCUCCACCUCAAUAUUUAUGGCCUUAUACAUUUCCUGGUUGAAGCACCUCCUCUUUUGUUUCACUGGCGUGGCCCCUUUUUGAAUUGCUAGCUUAUGACAAGCAAUCUUGGGAUCAAUUCCCGUCAUAUCUACGUGUGACCAGGUGAACACACCAGCAUGGGAUCUUAAACACUGUAUCAGCUCAUCUUUUAAGCCUUGGUUUAAAUUGGAUCCAAUCUUGACGGUCUUGCUCGAAUCAUCCUGCUUCAUUAUCACUUUUUUCUAAGUUUUCAACUGGUUCUUGCCGACCCACUACAAGAAAAAGUACCUACUAUGACAGGCAAAAACUAUCAUAGUACGGGGUGGAUGACAGUUGUUCAUACCGUCAUUGUAGCCAGCGUCAAGAAUUGAUGGCAGAAUAAUAUCAAUCAUAACCUAUGAUAGAUAUAAUCAGUCACACAACCAUCACAACUUUAAUUAGAGGGAAAUAUAAUAAUUUUGAAUUUGGGUUGCCUUUUUUGAAUUUCGCGCUCUAUUUUUUGAAUUUUUGUAGGAAAUGUUAAAUUUACAGUGAAAAUGGAAAUUGUAAUUAAUUGAUUUUUUUCAAUAAAUUGGAAAAUUGAAAUUAUAAUUAAUAAAAAUAACUAUUUUGUUUGUACCAUGAAAUUAUUAUCAUGUUAAUAAAAAUCUUGCAAUUGAUUUACAAAUUAAGAUUUCAUAAUUUAGCUAAUUAAUUAGAUUAUUAAAAUUAGUUGCAAUUAAAAAUUCAUUGACAAAGAAAACAAAAUAAAUAACAUUGACUAAUUAUUGAUAAUUGUGAACAAACAUAAUUUAUCCAAAUACAAGUGACAAGUCCAACAUAAAUAGGAGAGUAAAUUGACAACAUAAAAACUAAAUUCCUGAAACAUGUACAAGACUAAUGAACCAUGAUCAGUUCAUUUCCAGCAACACCAAGAAAGCCAACACACAGUUCAUUUUCAACAACACAAGAGGAAGCCAACAACACUGAUCAGACUAAGAAAAUCCAUUCUAGCAGCUUUGGUGAAGCAUACAACAAAUACCAAUCUAAGAAAAAGCUAAAUGUGCAAAGUUGCAUCAAUAUUCAGGACCUGUGUUUGCAUCAAAUAAAAAAGGUAGCGAACUCCAGCAGUACCCACCAUCUUCAUCAAAUUCCAACAUAGCAAGUGUAAGAAGCUAGGUAACUGCACAAGUAAAAUAUAACAAAUUCAAAGUCCGUGACAACUCAUAUAGAUUAGAAUACUAGGCAAAUAGAAUAAUAGCUAGCAAAGUUUGUAUUCAACGAACAAAAAUUUGGUAAAUUAAUUUGUUUCAUCAAUGAACUCACUAUAACAACAUAAUAGGUAAGGCUUACCUCACAUAGUAGCAAGUAAUUCGGAAACAUGGUUUGCCCACUCAAUACGAACUUCAUCUAAUUCAGCAUCAGAAUAAGUUGUCUUUCCAUUGAACUGUAAAAAAGUAUCCAUGAACUAUGUAAAUGAACUACAAAAACAAAACAUUAGUUGCCCAAAGUUACCUACCUAAAUCACAAGCUUUAACUUUGUUGCCUGUUAAAGCUUUCUGCCGCCUUCUCAAGUAUUAAACUCAGCCUUAGAAUUACCAAAAAGCCUACUCAAAACAUAAAAGAUCAAAGAAAUAAUAAUCAAUCACUACCAUUAAACAAAGUCAUAAGAGGUUAUUGAGAAAUCCAGGGGUUUUACCUAAAAACAAAAGGAAGCCCAUUGUCUUCUACCACUUUCUUUAGUUUCAACCAGAUUUUUACCCCCUACACCAGGUUCUAUACUCCCUAAAUCAUAAAAGGAGAAAAAUUUGUGGUUGGACUACAAUGGUGAGUCAAGAGUUCUGAGAUAGCAUUAGAAUAGCUCACAAUGGCUUCAAACUUACACCAACUAUAGAAAGGAGAGUAAAUUAACAUACAUAUAAAGCAAUUUAAGGUAGACUUAGAAUUUUGAUGGAUUUGAGGCUGCCAAGCUUGGAUAAUUUAACAUGCAAGAAUGGUUCUAAAGCCUUGGCAAGAUAUGUUUCAAAUUGACACUGAAACUAAAGAAAUUGAAGUUUAAUUGGUGAAAUCAGAAAAGCUUUUUAAACUUUGUAUCAGGUUCUGUUUCUUUUUCUCAAAUGGUGGAUAGUGGCAAUGUCUUUUGCCUCCAUUUCUUACACAUGAGAAUGACAAGUAAACAUAUUGUUUAAGUUAUUUAGUUAAGUAAUAAAGAAAAUAGGCAUUUAGAAAUGGCUAAAUAUAUAAUGAUUGGGCUUAAACUUAAGAGUUAAUAAAAUCACAAGUAAAGGAAUAUAGGAUGUUACAGUUAACAUAUGCACAUUCUACAUCAAACCACAAGACAAUGACAAGUGGUACUCUCUAGACUCACUUUUCAUCCCCUUCUAUCUGAUGGAUAAAUGUAUUAUCAAAAAAAAAAAUUGAAUUGGAUAAUGUAAUCAUCUGAUUUGUGCAUCAACCAUUUAACAAGUUAAUUUCUAAACCCAGAAAUUUGAAUAACUUGGAUUAAUGUAAGCUCAAGAAGUAUUAUGAACUUACAGUUCUAAUCAACACCCAACAGACAGCUACCUAAUCACUUACAAGUUUUCAUAUUUUCAGCUCAAACAAUGCACAGAUCAACUACAACAAUUGAAUUCUUAAGCUUGUAUUUUCUGUCAAUCUCUCAAUUGAUUAUUUCCCAAAGAAUGAAUCAAUGUUAAAAGUAGCACUGUGCCUGAGUUGUUAAACUAACAACUAAACAUAUAAUGACCAAAAGACAGGCUACAUAUUAGCAUAAAAAGAACAAAUAUUAAAGCUUCUGCUUACUUCAUGGUUCUUGCAUUCUUCAAGCUCUUCCUUAAGUUCUUCAAACCAUAUAUCAUCGCUACCAAAAACAACAACAGAUUCAAUUAAAAAUGAAUUGAAUUCACAAAAUAACCUUAUAAAAAGAACAAGAAUCUAGUUUAUCAAGAACCAACUCUUUUUUAAAAACGGCAUAAAUUUCUUGAUCUUUAUUCUAAAUGUCCAAUAGAGAUCAGACCUCAAAGUAAUUAAAAAAAUACUUCCACAUAUUUAUUCGCAUCUUCCUCAAAAGUCAAGUCCCCAACAAAUGCUCCUAAAUUGAAAAUAUUUUUUAAGUCUCAUUUUUAUACAAACAUACAAAUACAGAAAAUCAGCAAAAAUAAACAAAAAUUAAAGGUAAUGAUGAAUUUCAUACCAAUGAACUGAUGAUUUCACAGUAAAAAAAGAAUCAAUUCUUCAAUUAGGGCUUUGCUGGUGAAAUAGAUUGGUAUAAUAGAAAUUGUUAUGGUUUAUCAGCAAAUCCGAAGCAGGAGCAAUGACAAUGGCAGAUAUUGGGAUUUCAAAUAUCUCUGGCGCAAAGUAGAAAUUGCGUUCAAACGAAAGGGUGAAAUCUUUGACAAACGGAGGUUUCGGGCAUAACUCGAACAGCGAAUGAGUGAGAAUGGUAGAUGAACGGUGUUGAAAAUAGCGGUGAGAAUGGCAGUAAAUGAGAAUGGCUUUGAAUGAUUAUGGUUUGUUGUGGCCCUAUGGGUUUGUCGUGGGGUUCUUCGUUUUCUCUUAAUUUGUCGAAGUCUUUUGUGUGUUUUGAAUGUGAGAGUGAAUUUCUCACACUUUUUUUUAAAGAAUUUCUCACACUUAAAAAAUGAGUUACCUCUUUAAAACUCUGCAUCUUUAUGUUUUUUUUUUCAAAAGUCACAACUUUUAUUUAUAAUUAUAAGUUUUAUAUUCGAAAAGGAGACGAUGUCGUUUUGCUUGCAAAAGAAACAACUGUGUUUCCAUUUAAUAUUAAUUUUUGGUAAUAACAUAAUUUUUAAAAAUAUAGUCAAACCCGAAUGAUUGAAGUCAAAAUUAAAUAUCAAUCAUAAAUUCUUGAUAGUUAAAAAAUCUAUCAUGAGUCUAUCAUAAGUUUUUGAUAGACGAAAUUUAUAUCACAAUUAUGUCAUAAUUGCAUGAUAGAAAUAAAAUUUAACACAAAUUCGUCAUUGUAGGUCUCCAGAUAAAAAACUGUCACACUAGAAACUGUCGUUGUAGGUCUUUUUUCUUGUAGUGGUACCCUUCUUAAAAUCCCCCUGGUUAUCGAGCGUGGUGACUUGUAAAGUCUCCUUCGUAGCUAUGGCGUAACAGCUCUUAGCCAUCCUCUGGUCAUCAUUUACUAGGCCUACUACUCCAUUCGCUCUAUACUUUAACGCCAAGUAGUGGGUGGACACUACACACUGGCUUAUCCUCAUAAAUGGUCGCCCCAAUAUCAUCUGGUAAGAAUUAUUUUCUUCAACAACAACAAAGUCGAGCAUCAUGACUUUUUUGGAGGGUCUUGUGCCUAUAGCAACUGGCAGCUCGACAAUCCUCAUUGGAGUCAACUGUCCACCUUUAAAUCCCUUCAGGGAUGUAUUCAUGCGUUCCAACUUUAGAUUCGUAAUUCCCAUUUUAUCUAGGGUUGACUUAAAAGGUAUGUCGAUAAAACUGCUUGUGUCCACCAGUAUUCGCUAGAAUUCUUUGGCCGCCACACUCGCCUUGAUUACUAGGGCAUCCCCGUGGGGGUAUAAGACGCCCUCAUCACAUCGUUCGUCCACAUGAUGGGAACUUACCUCACCCUCACCCUCUUUACUACAAGUAAAUUGAAAAACACAUAUUUACUGGUCAAAGCAUACCUCUCAUAAUUCUUCCAUGCUCUGUUUGAGUUACCAGCAAGUGUCGGUCCCCCAGCGAUUACCGUAACGGCGGGCUGCUCACGCUCUAUAUCUCUUACACUUUAUGCUCCCACUACGUAUUGUGAAUCCGCGACGGGAAACGAACCGUUGACGUACUCAUCGAGGUAUCAAUUCCUCACAAGGUCUUCUACUUGGUUUUUAAAAUCACAACACUGGCUAAUGGUGUGCCCAUGGGUGCUAUGAAACUUGCAGAAUCUAUUUUUAUCCCGCUUGUAGGCUGGUUUGGCAACUAGGGUAGGGGAUACAAGAUGCCUCACCCUUCAAUCCUCUCGUAUAAUUCUUCUAGAGAGACCUUUAACAGAGUAUAUUGCUUGUAUACUAGACUCUGAUCAAUCAGUUGGACUGCUCGGCUGUCAUGAAAACUGUCAUGGGAUGGCAUUAAGGGUGGUUGGUUUGGUCAGUUGGCCCUGGGGUUCCUCGUAUGGAACAUCCUUGAGGUAUUGUAAUGAGGAUGGGUAGCCAUCUGGCGAAAUCCCUUGGUUGUUCUAGAAUAGAGCGCGUUGAGGUUGAGCUCUGCCGUGCUAGAAUUGCGAUGGCCUAUGAGUUAUAUGAUAUGGGUAAGGCCGAGCAGAUGCUACUCCGCCUGUUGAUGAUCCCCCACUACGUUUUCCUGACCCGCUCCCCCUUAUGCUCUUUUCUCAUUCCACCUCAGAUCCUCUAGCUGCUUGCUUUUUAUUCUUGCUGCCUUCUCCUCCUCAAUUUCAACAUCCCUUUUUGCCUGCUCAUACUCCAUUGAAUAAUUUUGAAUGGUGGGAUUCCUCAAAUGUACCACAACCGACCUAUCUUCACUCCAUUUUUUAACCCUUUCAAAGCAUGUGGAUGAUUGAAGGCCCCCAAGUCAAGUACGGUCCAAUGAUACAUUUUCACAAAAUCCCUAAGGGAUUUUUUUUCCUCUUGUUUCAUCCCCAUCAAUUCCAUCAUAUCGUUCUCUGAGGCUACUGCUCCACGGAAUUGCUCGGCCAAUUCUUGGCACAUUUGCUCGAAACUCCUUAUGUUUCCACGCGGUAACUUAUGGUACCAGUCCCGAUCUCGUCCCUCUAAUGUGCACCAGUGGGUCGCUUUUUCCGAAAUAUUUGAGGUUAGGAAAACGAAAAUCUCUUGGUAUCAUAGUGCCCAUGAUCUCCACCUACUCAUUGGUUUAAUGUUCGCCCCCUUGGGGGCUACUCCUCGUCAUGUCCAUAACUACUUGUUCACCUCUUAUCUGCUAGUCGCUCUAUUUGUGGUAGCUUUUUGUUCAACUCCCCAUAAACGGUGCCAAAAUAUUGAUGCAGAAAUCUAGUCGUUUGUAAGGAUGACCAGGUUGUCUCGUCAACGUUUAUGCUAACUAUGGUUGAUGCACGAAACUUCUCAUUCCUUCCUUAAUUAAGUGAAUCCAGUAACUUAAAUCAACCUCUCUCCUUCCCAAUAACCUGCACUCACAAAAAGAGAUCAAGGGUGCUGGUGGUUUUUCCGACGAAAAUCCUCCGAUGCUUAAGUCGGUAUGUGGGGUUUCGAAAAAAACGUUAGAUUUUAUAUCAAUGCAAGAUAAUGAUUGUUGAGUGAAAGAAAAGUUUUUAGAAGGUUUUUAUGGAAAUGAAUUCUGAAUUCAAAAUGAUAGAGUUUCUCCUUGUUUUCUGUUUUCUCGUCCCCCUCUUCUGUCUUUUUCCUGAGUUUUAUAGGCAGCUGCUCCUUGCGUCUAGAACAUUCUCCCACGUCCUCCAUACUCGGGCGAUCAUGGACCCCCAUACACUGCGAGAACCAUGCGUAGGUUAUCGUGCCCCCUCAAACGGUUUGGACGGGGCGAAAUUGUUGCGUUGAUGUAGGAUCGUGCCCGCUUUUUAAGUAACAGUUCUCCGGUUGGCCUUCAACUGUACCCCAUAGAGUGUCUGGCACUAGGAUAUCCACUCAUGAUUUAUUAAGUCGAUGAGAUUCCUCCUCAACCAGAUAAUGAGAACAUGCGUGGCUGGUGCUCUUUUAAUCACCCAAACAAAUUAUCCUGUAAAAUUAUCAUUAAAAAUAUUUCCAUUCAACAAAUAUAUCUUACAUGAUUAGUUAUAUCACCUGCAAAAACAACAAUAUCUAGAAUUUUCAUUAAUUUAUAGCAAUAACGAUAUAUGUCAAAUCAGUAUCUUCAAAUUGACAGAUAAAUUCCUGCAAAUAGAUUUGUAUAUUACAAAGCAUUAAUCAAAUAUGAUACUUAAUAUCACAAUAGGAUCAAAAGAGUAAAAUAGGGUAUUCGAGGGAAGUUUAUCCAUUCUAAAAGUCAUUUUUUCAAAAUUUAUGGAUAAAGAUACCAAUGAAAGUCUGCUCAAUUUGCAACCCGAUACAUUAUUUAGCUUGCCUAAACUAUUUAUUUCAUUUUAAGCCAUAUCAAGGUCUUGUGCCACAUGUAGAGCAUUUGCCUCUAUAGGAGGCAGUGUCACUGUAGGGGUACAAGUCUCAUCAAUGACCUUUUGCUCUAAAGGAACAAUUUAUGCAUAAACUGUCCCAGGAUAUUGUUGUGCAAAUUUUAUUGAACUCACAAGCGCACGAAUCUAUUGUAGAAUAGACUAAUGGUGACGAGUGUCGAUCCCACGAGGAGGUGGAUUUUAAUUAUGUGUAGAAUUAAUUUUGUAAAUGGGUGGUUGGAUUUGUGGUGGAAGUGAUUUAAAUUAUCCUAAAAUUGGAAUUGAAAUGGCGAGAAUAAAUUCUAAAAUUGGAAUUGCAAUGACGAGAAUAAAUUGAAGAGAAAUCUAUUGAAAUGACGUACUUGGGUAUCUGGAUCCGUAUCAACAUGCAUCAUGGGCUAAAUAUUCCUUAUUAAUACCAAUUAAAUCAUGAGGGGGGAAUCCACACCUCAUGAACCACGCUUUAAUCAAUAUGGUGCUAAGGGCUUAUCGUGCCAAAUAAUAAUAACCUUGUACUAGAGAGCCGGUGUAACCAAGGCGGUAUCUAGACAAGACUAUUAUUAUUUGUUGACGAAAAGUCAAAUCAUCCACAAAAAUUAGAGGGGAAAAGAAAAUAAAUUUACCAAAUAAAGCCCAUGACACAUGUUGAGACUUCACCUUCAACCCAAGCUUGAAAGGAAAUUAGCUACUCAUAAUUGAACUAGGGGCAAAAUGGGAAUUUAUUAAAAUACGAAGAAAAUACAAGAUGGAGAAGGAAUUAUAGAAAAUGGAUCCCAAAAAUGGAUUCAGAGAUAUCAAAUUGGGGGGGGGGGGGGGGGGGAGGCCCCCUUUUUAUAGAUACAUGGAGUAAAUCAUGGCCAUCAGAUUAAAAACAGUUUGGACGCUCAGGAUUGCGCCACGUCAUCAGUCAACAGUACACGGUUUGACCACGUGGAUGAACAGUAACACGGUUUGAACCCGGGUGAACAGUGACGCGGUUUGAUUGAAAAUAAUCAUGUGUGAUGCAUAUACCGUACGCGAGAUUUUUCGUCCACUGAUAUGCUGCCACUUCACCAUCAACAGUACAUAAGAAUUUUAGCCCAAUAGGAUCGUGACACCUCAUCAGUCAAUGCCACAUCAUCGGUCAAUGCCACGUCAUCGAUCCGUCUAUGUGAACAGUGUCAUGAACAGUAACGUAGACAGUACCGUACACGUGAAUAGUACCGUACAUGUGAAUAGUGCCAUUUUUCCUUUUAUGCUCCUCCUAAGGUUUUCGACCGUCCUGAGUUCAAAAGUGAUGUUCGUUUUGCCGUCUGAUCUCUCGUUUAUUAUGAAAUGACCAUGAUGCCCCUAAAAUACAUAAAGUACUUAAUUAAAAUCAAACACACAUAAUUAAAUUGUAAGAAACUUAAAUACAUAAAAGUAAGGGUUGUUAGUAAAACUUGAAAUGUAAAAUGAUGAUUUUCUCCUUUAUAAAUAUACAUUUUCUAAUACUCAACACACCCCCCAACCAGCUUAUUACUAGUCCCUAGCAAAUAAAGCGAAAACGAAAUUCAAAUCCAAAAUGAUUUUUUUUUUAAAUAGAAACACUCGUGUUUAUUCAAUCAGAUUAAUGAUAGCAAUCAAAUAAAAGUAUAAGCAUUAUCUCCAGUCUAAAGAAACAUCACACCCACAUCAACCAUCCACAUGAAUCAGCCAGUAGACUUUGUUAUAGCUACUUUCAAGAAUGAUAUGUCAAACCCCAAAAUCUCACUGGAAGUAGUGACACUCUCACAAAGAAAUUAAACCCAAUAAAAAUAGUCACUCCAAUGAAUGGUAAUUGAGAGAAAAUAAUAAAGAAGUGAUAUCACAUGCUCUCACCAAGAUGAAAGAAAUAUGCCCUCAGCUUAGAAAUAAUACGAUCUCAAGUCAAACAAAAAUGCUAGUCAACCCAUUUUAUUUAUCUCUUUUUCUUUUAUUAUUAUGCACCACUACAUCUUUUUAACCCAUAUAACUAGCUUUUACUUCAAACUAUAGUUCCCUAAAAUCAAGAAGGACUUUUAUUAGGACGUAACGUAGGCUAGGGACAUGGCUAACACAGAAGGGAAAUAAGGAAAACAAAGUGUAUGUUUGAGAAAAAUGCAGAGAUUUUUUUUUUUUUUUUGAAGUUGCAAGGUGUAUUUCACCUAUUGUUGUUAUUUUUAUUCAAUUGAAACAACAACUUUUGUUUUGUUGUUGUUUUUUUUUUUUUUUGCUUUUAUUUGGCAUAACUUCACUGAACAAAAUAAUUAUUUACAUUUUCUCAAACAUAAAUAGGUGAUGGAACUUAUAAGACAUCGGGUAAUACUCCAAAUCGGAGUGGGUCAAGAUAAUAAGUUGACAAAGAAAAGGUUUUUUUUUUUUUUUUAAAGGCUCAAAAGGGAUAACUAUGGAUAUUUAAUAAAAGGGAUGGCUAGAAAGGUUCAAACGGAUCAAAGAUGGCAUUUCCAUCGUCUUUUAGGGCUCUAAAUAAUUAUCCAUAUCUUCUAGUUAGAUAGGCCUCCAAAUGUAGCAACACAUUUUUUUUCUUUUUUAUUUAUUUAUUUAUUUUUAAGGGUUAACUCAAAAGAAUCUAGAGGUCGUAUAUAAAAUAAGAAACUGCUAAGCUGUAUAAAGAAUGGGCAAAAGGGUUACUCUCCAAGAAAAAUGAUAGGCUCUAAAACUCACUUGGCACUUAUUUAUGACAUGUUCAUUCCUUCAAGCAACUCAUAUUUGUCUCUGGCAGCAACAUGUAAAGUAGCAAACAUAGCGUAACAUCACUUAAGACCAAAGAUAAUAUAAAUACUAAAAUUUGAAAUUAAUCAUGUCAUCUAAUGUUAAAACAAAUCACACAAUUUUUUUUUUUUUUAAACAACAUUCUACCCCCUAACCUAUUCUAAACAUGAAAGGAAAAUAUGCAUGUAGAAAUGUGAAAAUGAUGUAGAAAAAUUAAUUAGAAAAAGAAAAAAAAAUUUUAACUAAGAAGAUGCGUUUCUAGAGGCACUACACUCCAUAUUCAGCCAUCUUCGACUCAAAAAUUUGAAAAUAUAUAUUUAUAAAGGAGAAAGAGGAAGAAAACGGUUUUUUUUUUUUUUAAACGAUGAAGAUGUGUUUCUAGAGUAACUACACUCCAUAUUCAGCCAUCUUCAACACAAAACGUUAGCAACAGUUAGUUUCUACAACAAAAAAUUAGUAAAAACUUAACAAAGAUUCCACAAUUGUCGACUAUUCCCUCCCCCCAACCAGAACAAAACAUUGUCCUCAAUGUUUUAAAGGAAAGAAGUAGAGUUUAGAAGACAUCACCUGGGUGGUGCAACACAUAAGAAAAUAUUUACAGGCGGAGAGUUAAAUCUAAUUUGUACUUCUUACUGCGGCUACUGUUACCAUCAUUAUUUGGGCGCUCCAACACAAAGGUCCAAGGGUCUGGCUCCGGUUUAUAAGCUUGUAACAGAUCAAGUAGCUCAUUAGCAGUGUGAGCACAAAUAAAAAAUUUUUUCACAUUAGAAGGAAUGGAAUAGUUUUUUAUUGCAUGGUUAAGAAAUGCGAUAAAGCCAUCGUAAAAGUUAUUGACAUUUAACAAACUGAUGGGUUUCUGGUGAAUGUGCAAAUGGGCCCAAGAUGCUAGUGUGAUAAGUGCCUCUAGUGUUGCAAGAUCUCCUGGAAGGAAAAUAAAAGCAUCAGCAUGAUUAAGCAUUUCAGUUAUUCUUUCUUGCAUACCUGAGACGACUAACUCUUCUCCAGUUGAUGAGUCAGAUGAACUGCCCAAUGGUUUUAGGACUCUUGGGAUGAUGCCUAACACUUGACUUCCUCUUAUAAAAGCUGCUUCUGAGACCAUUUUUGAUAACCCUCAGUUACCUCCUCCAUACACCAAGUGUAAUGUUCUCGCUGCUAUGCUUCGACCAAGAUCUAUGGCUGCCUCAACGAACUCUUUAUGUUUGCCAUAGGUAAAUCUAGAAAGCACACAAAUGUUCUUGAAUUGUCUAUUGGGAGUAGCUGCCAUUGGGAUACUUCUCAAAAAAAAUUUGUGAGUGUUUGACAAAAGAAAUCACAGUUAAGAGUCUUGGUGACAGUGGGUCACAACUGUGUAUGAGGUAGCAUGUCAGUGUCAAAUAACACGUAAAACACAUGGCUCGCGAGUCAAAAAGGAAACAGUAAAAAGAAAAAGAAAUAAUGAUAAAAUAAAAUUAUUAAAGACAAUAAUGCAAAAGAUAAAAUAACAGUGAAAUAAAAUAACAGUGAAGUAAAAGGAUAUUUACAGGUAGUUGCGAUUGUGGCUCAUAUCUUCCUCUGGUUUUAUGUCCAGAAACGGCUUGAACGCCCUCUAUGGGUCGCGGAUGGGCUUCCCAUCCAGUUUUCUUAUAAACUGGCAAACAGGGUCGUUUAUAGUCAGAUUCCCGAGACUAUAUCGUGCAUGCUCUUUUUGGAAUAAUGGCCAUAACUGGAGAAUCGCUCCUUGCACAUAUCCACUGGGAUGCGUUUCAAGAGACAGAAUGAUAUCAUCCAAUGACUCCUUAUUCAAGCCAUCCCUAAUUAAUUGAAUCUUAUCUUCCCUGUUAUUAGACACCAUUCCUAAAGAACAUGGGUUUUUAUCACAACUCAUUCUGGCACACUUAUGACAAGCAACAGAAAUACAAGAUGGAGAAGGAAUUAUAGAAAAUGGAUCCCAAAAAUGGAUUCAGAGAUAUCAAAUUGGGGGGGGGGGGGAGGCCCCCUUUUUAUAGAUACAUGGAGUAAACAUGGCCAUCGGAUUAAAAACAAUUUGGACGCUCAGGAUUGCGCCACGUCAUCAGUCAACAGUACGCGGUUUGACCACGCAGAUGAACAGUAACACGGUUUGAACCUGGGUGAACAGUGACGCGGUUUGGUUGAAAAUAAUCCUGUGUGAUGCAUGUACCGUACGCGAGAUUUUUCGUCCACUGAUAUGUUGCCAUGUCACCAUCAACAGUACAUAAGAAUUUUAGCCCAACAGGAUCGUGACACCUCAUCAGUCAAUGCCACAUCAUCGGUUAAUGGCACGUCAUCGAUCCGUCUAUGUGAACAGUGUCAUGAACAGUAACAUAGACAGUACCGUACACGUGAAUAGUACCGUACAUGUGAAUAGUGUCAUUUUUCCUUUUAUGCUCCUCCUAAGGUUUUCGACCGUCCUGAGUUCAAAAGUGAUGUUUGUUUUGUCGUUUGAUCUCUCGUUUAUUAUGAAAUGACCAUGAUGCCCCUAAAAUACAUAAAAUACUUAAUUAAAAUCAAACACACAUAAUUAAAUUGCAAGAAGCUUAAAUACAUAAAAGUAAGGGUUGUUAGUAAAAUUUGAAAUGUAAAAUGAUGAUUUUCUCCUUUAUAAAUAUACAUUUUCUAAUACUCAACAGAUAUUUUGCUUUAAGGGAACAACAACUCCAGUAUUAAUAAUUAGAUCCCGAAGGAGCAAUUUCAUGCAUAUACUUCACAGGAUAUAUAUUUUGCUCUAUAGAAGCAAUAACUUGAGCAUUAAUGUAAUCAGAUCCUGAAUGUGUAAUUUCAUGCAUCUACUAUCACAGGAUCCUGUUCAAUAAUCUUUCCUUUCAAGGAAUAAAAAUCCAAUAAACCAGCGUGUGGUAAACAAUUCAUCAGCUGCAAGAAGCUUAAAUACAUAAAAGUAAGGGUUGUUAGUAAAAUUUGAAAUGUAAAAUGAUGAUUUUCUCCUUUAUAAAUAUACAUUUUCUAAUACUCAACAGAUAUUUUGCUUUAAGGGAACAACAACUCCAGUAUUAAUAAUUAGAUCCCGAAGGAGCAAUUUCAUGCAUAUACUUCACAGGAUAUAUAUUUUGCUCUAUAGAAGCAAUAACUUGAGCAUUAAUGUAAUCAGUUCCUGAAUGUGUAAUUUCAUGCAUCUACUAUCACAGGAUCCUGUUCAAUAAUCUUUCCUUUCAAGGAAUAAAAAUCCAAUAAACCAGCGUGUGGUAAACAAUUCAUCAGCUGCAAUCCUAGCUAAUAGAUUGUUCAACAUGAACAAACACCUGGCUGGGUUCCUUUUAUAGCUACCAUACAUGACUUAGUUUCUCCGGAUGCAACUGUAGGAGCAUCAUGAAAGUUGACAACUAAAAUCAUUAGGCAACUUUUUCUCGCUCCUAAUGGAGGGAAAUUUUAUCUUAACAGAUGAUAAUAAAUUCUGGAAAAUCUUAUUAUAUAAUAUAUUACUAUAUGUCAAACUUAAUACAAAAUAGAUAUAAAUAUAAAAACUUAUAGAAAUUAAUAACUAGUUUUAAUUGGCAUGAAUGUCUCUGCCAUGGUCAAUGAAUAAACCUAAAACAUCCGGAUGUGUGCUAUCACCAGGAUCAACAUAAUUUGUCUCAACGGUCUUCCCUUUUCUUUUUAGGGAUGCUUGAUACUAGUCAACAACAUGUCUGGUGGAUGAUAAGAUCUCCAAAAAUGGCCUUCUAUCCCACACCUGUCACAUAUCUCUUUCUGUUCUUUUUCUUGGGCUUGUCCUUCAUCAUUAUUCUUUCACUUUUGAUAAGUUCUAUUGUAACCAUCAUGAGGUUGAUAGUAAUUGUGACUAUAACUAUGAUCACGGUAAAAAAAAUAAAAUAAAAUAAACUCAUUUUUUAUUAUCACUAUGACUGUGUAAAAUUUGAUUCACUUCAGGUAGUAGCUUCGUAUCAAUUCAAACAAUGGCUUCGUAAGAGCAUAAUCUGUUAUUGAGGUCCACGACUUCUAGAUGAAUUACUGAGGCACAUAGUUUUUAGUUGAAUUACUGACACAUGGCUUCUAGCUGAAUUACCAAGGCAGAAUCAAAGAUAAAUUAUUUUUAUCAAAAAUAUUGAGGGCUUUCAAUUCAGGCUUCAUUGGAUUUGCCAUCUUCAAUUAUUCUUUAAAGGCUUCAAAAUCUCAAUAUAUGGCUUCAGUACGUGCAAGAAUGUUCAAAUUUAUGGCUUCAUAUAAACAGGUUUUAGUAUUGAAGCUUUAAUGCUUCAAUCUGAAUUUUGUACGCUUCAAUUUUGAUUAUGCAGGCUUCAGUCUUGAUUUACGCUUUAGUCUUGUACGCUUCGGUCUUUACUUUUAAUAUCAGUAACAGAAAUAAAAAAGAAAUAUUAAUUAGCAAAUGAAAUAAUAAAAUGAGACAAUAUAAUACUUCGUCUAAUAUAGCGAUCUAGUGUUGAUAACGUGUUGUAAUAUUGUUGGGUACAGAGAGCAUUGAAGGAAGAACAAUUAACUAAAGCGGAAGAGAACAAAGUGAAAUAAGCCAAGUAGCACCAUGCAAUCUCACGAAUUUAUCUUUCAAAUCGAAGUCGUGAGGAUGGGUUACAAAUGGGCUAUUUAUAGCCGGAUCAAGCAGUAUGCACUUGAGUCCAUAGAUGUGUGUGAUUACAAGAUCAAGUGGUGUGUGCAAGCAAAGUGAGGUGUAUCUGAUUGGCGUUUGUGGGCAUACAAAUCAAUCCCAUGCGAUAUGCAUGCGGUGGAAAUCCACAUAGCUUUCACAACAGGAGCAAUAUUUGCUUAAAUUUUGGAAGUCAUUGGUCAAGAGUCCUGCUAAGUGUUCAUAAUAAAUCAUGGUUCGCUUAAUGCGGAUCUAGAAAAAUGAUUUAUUGGGGUUAAAUUAAAUAAUAACAAGAUGUGAAAUCUGAAAUUUGAAUUUAUAAAUUUUUUAAUAAUACAUUUACAAUUGUUCUCUACGUGGUUUCAUAUUUUGAAAAUAUUGUGCAAUAGACUCAUUACCAAUACUAUUAAAUACAUUUUUUCUACGAAAACAAUCAAAUUAUCAUUCAUCCAUUCAUCUUCCAUUUCAUUCCGAAGUACAUUUUUUAUGAAUUUCAUUACUGAAAAUGUUCUCUAUACUGUAGUUGUGGAAAUUGGAGGAACUAAUGCUAAUGUCACCAACAAAUAUACUAGCGGAUACACCUUAUCUUUUAGCAAGGUGGUCGAUUCCCUUCAAUCUUGCAAACUCAGUACUAGCAUGCAUAUACAUUAAGUAAGUUUAAAGUUGAGUUUUAAGCACCAUAAACUCUAUUGAAGAAAAUCCUUUGGAUAAAAUUGAGCAAGACGUGCUGGCUUGCCUUUAUUAAAUGCAGCAAAUGAAUCAUUUGGACUUGGACAUGCUAAACAAAGAAGCAAUUCCAUAUUAACGUCAUUGAAACAAUUAUUUAACUCUUAAAGCUGCAAAUCUAAAACAAUCAAAAAUAGCUCAACUUGAAAAUAAUGCAUGUUUGAGAUCUCGCAAGCCUUACAUUGUAAUCAAUCCCACAAUAAAAACACAUCAUUCAUGAUAGGGACAUCAAUAUCAUGCUUCAAACAAAAAGAAGAAAUCUCAUAAAGUAAUGAAUCCCACACAUCUCUCAUCAUUUGCAAGUUUUUCAUACAUAUUUCAACCAAUUUUAUGGCAUUUAGAAUAUCUUGAUCCUUUCUUUGAAGUGCUUGUGACAACGCAUUUGAAAGUGCCAGUAUAUCUCUCAUCAAAUAUAGACUAAACACGAAAUCAAAAGAUUAAAUGAACUAUACCAGACAAUUUGAUUAAAAUCUUUGUUCACUAGAGUUUGACUUAUCUUUUCCAAUUAUCUCAAGCAUACUAAUUAUGUAUGGAAACAAAGAGAUUAUAUGAAGUAACGUACCAUAAUGCGAGCCCCAACAUGUAUCACCAAAACAUUUCAAUGUAGUUUCAUGAUUUUGGCCUUGCCCACUUGGUACUUCAUCAUUUUCAAGUGCUUCACCAAGUAAAAGUAAUUGCUUCUCUUGAAGAAUAUCUCAAUGUUUACAUGAAGCCCCAACAACAUCGACAACAUUAGCAACUACAUUGAAGAACCAAUUAAUUGGAUCGUAUUUCUUUGCCACAUACACAAUAGCUAACUAUAAUUGAUAAGAAAAACAAUGUAUACAAUAAUUGCACUCAUUCUCAUUAACAAUAAGUGUUUUAAGACCAUUGAACUCGCCUUACAUGUUGGUAGCCCCAUCAUAACCUUAUUUGCACAACCUAGCAUACUUAAUCCAUGCUUAGAAAAUAAUUGGUCAAUAGCUUCCUUGAGCGAGAUAAUAGUGGCACUAGUAACAUGCUUAAGAACUAUAAAACGCUCAAUAACAUAUCCAUUCCUAUCUACCAUAUCACAAUACAAUAGCCAUCUGCUCCUUCAUAGAUGCAUUAUUGGUUCAUCAAUCAAAACAAAAAAACAAUGCAUUACAUAUGUCUCUAAUAAUAGCAUUGGUAGUUUCAGUAGAGCAAACCCUUACAAUAUCUUUUUGAAUUAAAAGCGCAAUACAUGUCUUUUCCAGGAGCAUUUUUCAAAGUAACUUUUUUUAUAUCUUCAUUGUGAUUAGCAAGAAAUCUUAAAUUUCAAAGAUAAUUUCCUUAGUUACUUGAAUUAUUAGGCUCAUCAUGACCAUGGAAUGCAGACCCUUGUUCUAAAAGAAGCCUAACAACAUCAAUGGAUGCGAAUAGGCAAGUUUGAUAAUCUUUUCAAUCUUGAUCAAAAUAUUUGUUGAAAAAUGUUUGGACAUGUUGCUUUUAUUCCAUUAAAUCUUCGCAAUAACUCUUGACUUUGUUGUGAGUACUAUUAGGACCUCUAAUAUGCUCUUCUAAUCUUUCUAGUUUCUUCCAAUAUGAGAAGCCAUUUUUUUGUAAAUGUCGCACCACUUGCUUGUUCACUAAUUUCUGGUCUAAAAAGAUAGCAACAUAAACAAUAUACAACAUUUUUGUGAUAUACUAUAUUCUAACCAAUUUUCGUAUUUAUUGAACCAAGCCGGAUUGAAUCGUCGCUGUUGUUGCCCAAAUUUAGACUUACAAAAAUUGUGGAAUUUAGGUUGGUAAGAACCCAUUUGUAAAUAUGCUCUACGAACUCCAUCUCGAACAUUAGGAUUGUAAGAAGAAAUUGGGGGAUGUUGUCCAAGAUCAAAAGGAAGUUUUGACAAUUCUAAGCCAUACUUAUUUCGUUUUCCUGAACCACUUUUAUCUCUUUGAAAAUGGCGGCAUCACUAGUCUUCUUUUAAAAUACUUUUCCAUAUCUGUUUCAAAAUUAUAUAUGUGAUUACUUGUAUAAAAAUAAAUUUAAUUACAAUUAAAAGAAAAGAUUGAGUGUAAAGUGUGUUCAUUGUAUAACUAAUAACUAUGGACAAAAUUACUAAGAAAUUGUAAAGGCUAGAAUUAGUCACUCAAGCAAUUGCAAUUUUAUAUAGAGAUCUAUUAAGAUAAGUUAAAAUUACCCUAAAAUUGACAUGUGAAAAGAAAUAAAAUACUAAAUUAUUAACUUAAUUCGAAGAAAAAAAUAUUAAGUGUAAAGUGUCAAAGGCCAACCCACGAUUUUCUCCAAAAUAUUCAGGCACUAAACCAGUCCACUAACAGUCAUGUAAUGCGUCCACCAACGAUCAUGCAGUACGUCCACGCACGAUCAUGUAGUGAAUCCACUAGAUCAAAACUGGGGUGGUGGUUUUAGCUACCUAUAAAAGCCCCAACCAAGUAAAUAAGAGUUUCUUCUUUUUCUUUUUCUCUCUCCCUCUCCUUCUGACUACUCAAUCUCUCUCCUUCAUUUUUUCUAGGGAGUUAACUAAAAGAUUUCUUAUUAAAAUAGCAAGCAAAGUUAAGCAAUAAGAGUUACGGUAAAAGUUUUUCCAACAAAGGCCCGAUUACUGACUUGAGUGUCGGAAGGGUCAUGUCGAAGAAACAUUCGACGCUCUAUCUAACCAUUUGUUGUGAAUGCAAGUGGACUUGUUAGGAGGUGCUCGUCGUUGAAAGAAGUCACGUGUUACGGUAAGGAGGUGCAAGCAGGAUCUGUCUCCCAUCAAAUAAAUUCAAGUGUUGAGGUGGUCAUCUCGUCUCAAUAUAACUUGACCAGAUUUCAACAUCAACACUUAUAUUUCUAUGUUACAGGAACAAUUGAUGCACCUCCUCUCUCAAGUAGUAAAAAGUGUCCACACUCCAAGGUCUAAAACCCAUGCUGUCUCGUUGUAUCAACUUGUAGUACCACCAUUUUUAAGAUUGAUCAAGUUUUUAAUUUUGCAUUGUUUGAAUAUUAAAGGCCAAGUUUUUAUUCCCUUUGUGAUACUUGUAUGUAUAUAUAUAUAUAUAUAUAUAUAUAUAUAUAUAUAUAUAUAUAUAUAUAUAUAUAUAUACAUAUAUAAACCUAGUAUGAAAAACAAAGAGAGGUAGAAAGAUUAAAAUUAGAAACUUAUGAAUCCAAAUUUUAUAGCAAAGAAGAAAGGGGCUUGAAAUGGGAGAGAAAAAGAGCAUGACCGAGGAAUUUCUUUUUCUUUUCUUUUCUUUUCAUUUUUUUAUAUUUUAAGUACUAUUGUAAGGGUUUAUUACGGAAGAAAAGCAAACAAAGAUUAUUUUAGGAAUUAAAAAAGAUAUAGAAGAAAGUUGGCUUUAAUAAGAUAUUAGAGGGGUGCAAAAAGUCCAACUCUUUUUUUUUUUUGUGCCUAUUUUUAAGGUCGUAUGAUAAAGAAGUAUACUGCCUAACAGAGGGUAACACGUAACUAAUUAAUUUUAAAAUAAAUAUAUGUGUAUGCAAAUUUUAUUUAGUGGAUUUUUAAUUUAUUUUAAAAUUAAAGAUGCAUAUGCUACGAUUUUAUUGAAUAAACAUAAGAUUUGUAAGCUUUAAUGGAAAAGGUACAAAUAAAAUGGCGGGUGCAUUCUUAAGAAUAUACAAAACUUCAUAUGUUCGUUUUCUUACCAGAUCUAUAAACAAUCAAAAUUAGUAGUUUUGGUGAUGCAAUUAGAAGGAAUGAAUGGAUUUUAACUCAACUUUGUGUUGGUUAAAAAUCAGUUUUUCUCAAAAAAACUUACAAGAUCGUUAUCAUAUAAUAUAUAAGAAUUUGUAAUCUAGAAAAUCAUACCUUAACAAUUCAAAAAGAUGAACAAUCGAAAUUACUUUAGGCUUUCAGAUCACGAUCCAUCACCACCACGUUGGUUAGAUCACGAUCUAUCCCCAAAUAAUCUUCCAAGCUAUGACUCAGGUUUGAUCUGCAUUUGACGUGUGGGCGCCUUUCUCACCACAAAAGCAACUAGCAAUAGAAAAUAUUCCUCUCAAAAUUAGAGAGAAAAAACCUUUGUCUUUGAUUUGUAUAAUGUGACUCUUUUUUUCUUAGAAAACAAGCCCUUUUAUAUCUCUAUUUUGUGGAAACCCCAGGCUCCAUAUUUAUUUAUUUAUUUAAUUCAAUAAAAUCACAUUUGAUUUAAAUUAAAAAUAAUAAAAAUCAAAGUGGUGUUACUUGUUCUUGUGUUAUAGGGGCCCACCUUGUAAAAUAACACAGAGCCCCUUACACACAAACAUAUUAAAUGGAGUCUCCAACUAAAUAAUAUAUUUAGGCUUUUAACCCAAAUAACUAGUUAUCUUGUUUAUUAAUCCAGUAGCGGUGCAGUCAAUUAAAUGAGCUAACCCGAGGAUCAUAUGGGUACAUACAAUAGUGGCUACAAUAAUUAGGCCUGUAAUUAAACUAGCCCAAUUAUUUAAGAUCUUGUAGGAACUUGCAGAGCCAUACAGCUUCUUUUGCAGCUUCGGAUGUAGCCACAUAUUCAACUUCAGUUGUGGAGUCUGCAAUACAAGAUUGUUUCACACUCCUCCAACUAAUAGCUCCACUUCCUAAUGUAAACACAUAGUCGGAAGUUGAUUUUCUAGAAUCCUUAUCUGACGUAAAGUCAUAAUCAUUAUAACCCACUAGAAUGAGUUCAUCACCAGAAUACACAAGCAUAUAAUUUUUAGUUCUUUUCAGAUACUUCAUUCUAUGCUUGACUGUAGUCUAGUGUUCAAGUCCAAGAUUAGAUUGAUAUAUGUUUACCAUCCCUAUCGCAAAAUAGAUGUUUGGCCUAGUGCAAAGCAUGGCAUACAUGAGACUUCCCACAGCUUCUGCAUAGGGAACUCAUCUCAUUAUCUCAAUCUCUUCAAAUGUUUUAGGUGAUUGAUCCUUAGAGAAUGCAAUUCCAUGUUUGAAUGGUAACAAGCCAGUCUUGGAAUUUUCUAUGCUAAAUCUAGCCAAUAUCUUGUCAAUAUAAACUGCUUGAGACAAGGCUAAAGUUUUACUCUUCCAGUCUCGUAGUAACUUGAUACCAAGAAUAUAACUUACCUCUUCCAGGUCUUUCAUAUCAAAUUAUUUUGCUAAUCAACUCUUUAUUGUAGUCAAUACUCUUAUAUCGUUUCCAAUUAGGAGAAUAUCGUCUACAUAAAGAACUAGGAAGGCUAUAGAUUUUCCCUGAAUUUUCUUAUACUCACAUGGUUCAUCAACGUUCUGAAUGAAUCCAAACGAUUUAAUCGCUUGAUCAAAUUUGAUGUUCCAUGACUGGGAUGCUUGCUUCAAUCCAUAAAUGGAUCUCUGCAACUUACAUACCAUGUGUUCUUGGCCUUUUUGUAUGAAUCCAUUUAGUUGCUGCAUGUAGAUGUCUUCUUCAAUAUGCCCGUUAAGAAAGGCAGUCUUGACAUCCAUUUUUCAAAUUUCAUAAUCUAGCUCUGCAGCAAUGGAAAGCAAAAUCCUGAUGAAUUUAAGCAUAGCAACCGGAGAAAAUGUUUCCUCAUAAUCGAUUCUCUCUUUCUGAGUAAACAAUUUGGCUACUAAUCUUGCUUUAAAUGUUUCCACCCUUUUGUCUACUCCUCUUUUUCUCUUGUAUAGCCACUUGCACCGUAUAGGUUUUACCCCAUUUGGUGCCUUUAUAAGUUCCCAGACUUUAUUGGAAUACAUAGAUUCCAUUUCUUGAUCCAUGCCCUUUUUCUAAAAUUCAAUAUCUCUAUCUAUUAGAGCUUCGUUUUAGCUAGUGGGAUCUUGUACAUGUUCAUCUGAGAUAGUCGUAUAGGUUUCUCCCAAUAACAUGUAUCUUGCAGGUAACCUAGUUACCCUCCCACUACGACGAGGUUCUAAAAGUGAUGGUUGUUUAGGGAUAAUUUUGUGGUGAUCAGCUGGUUGUUGUUGUUCUUCCUGUUAUAUAACAGGUGUUGAAAGCUGAGCAUCAACUUGAUCAUUUGACAGUUCUUUAAGUAUUACCUUACUCUUAGGUUUGAAGUUAUUCAUAUAGUCUUCCUUGAGGGAAGUGAAAUGUGUGCUCACGAUCACUUUCCUAUCUUGAGAACUAUAAAAUAAACCUCCCAUUGUUCCUUUGGGAUACCCCACAAACAUACAAACCUCAAAACGUGAAUCCAUUUUGUCUGCCUUUGGUUUUAGCACAUGUGCUGGUGAUCCCCAAAUACGGACAUGUCAUAAACUUGGUUUGCGACCUAACCAUAAUUCUAUUGGGGUUUUAGGCACUAACUUAAAUGUAACUAAGUUCAAGAGGUAAACUACAGUUUCCAGUGAUAGUCCCUAAAAAGAGAUUGGCAAUGACGAAUAAAUAAGCAUAGAUCUCACCAUAUCCAAAAGAGUUCUAUUUCUCCUUUCAGCUACCCCAUUUUGUUGUGGUGUCCCUGGGGUAGUUAACUGAGACAUAAUCUCAUUUUCAACCAGAUACUCCUUGAAAUCUCCAGAGAGAAAUUUACCACCUCGAUUAGAUCGAAGUUUCUUUCUGUUCUUAUCUACUUGCUUUUCUGUCUCAGCUUUAUACUCUUUGAAUUUUUCAAGAGCUUUAUAUUUAUGACGCAUCAGAUAAACAUAACCAUAUCUCGAGUAAUCAUUGGUUAAAGUGAUGAAGUACUCAUAACCUCCUCGAGCUUGUACACUGAUUGGUCCAUAUACAUCUGUAUGUACCAAUUCAAUUGGUACUAUUGCACGCACUCCUUUGCCCAAGAAUGGCCUUUUGGUUAUUUUUCCUUCUAAAUAGGAUUCACAGAUUGGCAAUUAUUCAUUUUCUAAUAAACCCAAGAGUCCAUCUUUGUUCAUUCUCCAUAUCAUAUUUUGGUUUAUAUGACCCAAGCGUAAAUGCUAGAGGUAACAUUGGUUGGAAGAAAUAUCUUUUUUCUUAGAUAAAUGUAUAUGCUCAUCAUUAUUGAUCACUGUGUCAUGCAUAAAAUGGAUCAUCAGACUUAAAUGAUAUAAGUUAUCUUCCAAUAUACUUGAACAAAUAAGUAUCUUAUUAUAAAAAUAAAAUAAAAACAAAGGAUCCAAAAUUUACAGUGUACCAUUGUUUUGACAAAUAAACUGCUGAAAUUAAAUUCCACUUAAUGUCUGGAACAUAAAGACAAUUAUUCAAAACUAAAGUCUCAUUAUUAAAAGAUAAUAAAAUAGAUCCAAUCUUUACUGCUGACACGAACUGUCCUGUCCCUAACUACAGCGUGACGCUUCCAUCACUUAGUUUCCUGGUUUCCUAAAACCAAUAAAGUGAAUUGCAAAUAUGAUUAGUUGCUCCUAAAUCCAACACCCAAGUGUCAACAGGAUUCUGAACUAAACAAACCUCAAUUACAAAAAGAUUUCCCAUAUCUGAUUCACAAUCUUAGGGCAAUCCUUUUUCCAGUGACUUUUCUGUCCACACUUGAAGCAUUUGCCUUUUGGCUUGCCAUCUUGCUUGGUAGACGGUUUCUUUUUCCCAGCUUUCUUCUUACCUUUGCCUUUCAGCUUAGGUCUAGAAGAAUAACCUUUUUCAGUAAUAUUAAUGCUUCCUAGAGAUUUCUCAACACAAUAGACAUCUUCAGCAAAAUUGAGUUCAUUCAUCAAUUCAGUUAAGGUCAUCUUUCUUUUGUUCAUGCUAUAAUUGACCUUAAACUCCUUGAAUGCUUUUGGCAGAGAUUCUAGCACCAUGUCAAUCUUUGCGUUAUCAUCGAUUUGUGCUCCCUGAAUCUCAGCCCCAUUCAAAUACUCCAGCAUUUUGAGGACAUGAUCACGAACUCUUGUGCCCUUCCCCAUUUUUCUAUUCACAAUACAUUUCAGCGCUGCUUGUCUCGUAGAGCGAGUACUCUGCCCAAACAUCUCUUGGAGACUAUCCAUUAUUUCAAUGGCAGUCUCAAAGUGCUGAUGUUUAGUCUAUAGAAUAUUAGAAAUCAAGGCUAAAAUAUAGCAUUUUGUCAUUUCAUUGGCCUUUUGCCAUUUCUCAUAAAGCAUCAUCUGAUUUCUGUGAGCAUCUUCCGCUGGAACUGGAGGGCAUGGCUGGGUUAAAAUAUAUUUAUAAUUUUCAGCAGUCAGGACAAUGAAUAGAUUUCUUUUCCAAUUUAUAUAGUCUCGCCAGUGAGUUUGUUUUGAUUUAGAAUAAUAGUAAGUGGGCUCAGGGAAGACAUUUUCUGAAAAAUAAAACAUCCAUGCAUAAAUAAUUUGAUAUAAAAUUUACAAUAAAUGACAAAAAUGCAUAAAACCAUAAAUGCAUUUUAAUUUAUUGUAACGACAAUCUAGUACCGCUUUGACAAACUAUCCAUUGGGGGAUUUGUUGGGUAUAAAUACUAAUGAUAUUGGUGUCAAUGUGCAAGUGUACACAACAAGUAAUAAAGUGAUGAGUAUUCAAGAUUGUCUCCACAGGGAUUGAUGUUAUCAGAUUUGCUACAGCAAUCUUAAAAGUGCAGAUUUUGUGCUAAAAUAAAAUAAAACACUUAGUGAAACUGUUAUACUAAUUAAAAUAAAAAUGUAAUAAAUAAAAUGCAACAAAGUAAAUUAUCACGUCAAUCUCAAGGAUAAAAUCAAUGGGAAUAUAAAGUAGUUGAGUGAAUAAACUCUUCUAAUGGUCUUGACUAUUUUCUAAUGGUUGGCUCGGUUGCUGCAAUAUCUGCUACAGCACUGGGCAGAAUCCUUAUGUGUCCUCAGCCGUCGCAUGUUGGAUAUUUUAUAUCUAUAUGCAACCUAACAGUGAUCAAUUGUUAUGCCCACAUAAGAUACACCAUUACACGCUUAGGUUCUAUUUACCCUACAAGGUGAAUUCAUAUGUUUAGUUCAUCACUAAUUUUAGAUUAAGCAUAGCCCUUUUGGAAUAAGUUAAACUCAAUCCAGGAAACUCAAUUUAAAACCAAGUAUUGCUCUGAUAUGUUCCACUAAGAUAGGCCCUUUUGCGGCUCUCUCCUAACUUGUAUCAUUAAAUGGGUGAUCAACCGAAAUAAUGAAUAAAAAUAAAUACUAUCAAAACAAACUGCUACAGCAAACAUGCAGCAACACAUAUAUUCAGUCAAUAAACCAUCAAUAUUGUUUAUCACUCAACCACAAAUAAAUUUAGUUUAUGCUUUGCAAAAGAAAAAUAAAGAACAAAGUUUUAGCCAUGAAACACAUUGUUAGCCUAAAUGGCUAUAAAUAUUGAUUUUGAUGAUAACAAACCACAUGUAUUUAUUAAGUAAAGAUUUACGAAUUGUGCUUUUAUAAUAAGAAAAUGAUGUUAUGGAAUUAAAGCAUUUUGGACUAAAAUGAAAGUAAUUUCAAAAUCUUUGAUAGUGUUUUAAAUUUCGGAUUUGGACCUAUUUGAAACUAUUUAAAUGUUUUUUGGUCAUUUUAUAAUUUCACAAAGUUUGGGCGAAAUCAUAAUUUCAGAAAGUUUUGGGAUUAACGAAGCAUUACUUAGAAAUUCUGAAAUUGGACCUCUUUGCAAAGUUUCAUAACGUUUUGGGCCAUACUAUAGUUUUAUAAAGUUUUGGGGUCAAACUGAAAAUUUAAAAAAAAAUUUCAUUGUAGCAGGUUACUGUAGCAUCCGGCUUACCGGUUAUAAAAACCAGAAAAUUAAAUUCGGGGCAAAAUGUAUCCAGAACGAAAACGGCUUACCGGAUUCCGAAUUCGGCAAGCCGGUUAGGCAAAAUUUUGAAUUUUGCCUUAACGGUAACAUAAAUCCGGCUUACCGGAUUCCAUAAACGGCAAACUGGAUACGCCUGGAAUGUGAGUAACGGCUAGUUUUUGAGCUCAAACUAUAAGAACUCAAAUCCAACUCAUUUUGAAGCUCUCCAACAAGCAAAAACAAAAAGCACACGAGAUAUCUUGAGCCUUCAAACUUGCAAACUACAUACAUUGAAUCAUUCAUUGUUCUUCAUCUUUGAAUAUAUACUCAUUGAGUGAGUUUCAUUGUAACUUUCAUUUCUUCAUUUCAAUUGUAAGAAUUUGAGUGUGUGAGACACUUGAGUGAAGAGAUUGGGAGAUAAUUUCUUCGUUGUAAAGGUUUAUUGACACCUCAAAGUCAAUUGUAAUCGGUUGAAGCCUCGGAAAGGCUUGGAUAGUGAAAUCCUCAAGCUUGGAUUGCUUGGAGGCGUGGACAUAGGCGGGGAUUGCCGAACCACGUAAAAAUUCGUGUGUUUGUUUCUCUUCUCCCUUACUCUUUAAUUAUUGUGCCUUUAUUAAACUUAUUGCUUUCAAUUUUUAUUAAGGCAUUAGAUUGUUUGUUGUGUGGAUUUGCUAGGAUAAUUUUUAAAUUUCCAAUUCACCCCCCCUCUUGGGUUGCACACUUAUAUUUCAUUUGGUAUCAGAGCUUGGUGCUCUUAUUUAGAUUUAACCAUCUAGAGUUAAAGAUCAAUGGCAACUCAAAAUGAUUCUACAUUUAGGGAAGGGCAGUCCAUCACUAGACCACCUUACUUUGAUGGAAAUGAUUACCCAUAUUGGAAAACUAGGAUGAGAAUUUACUUGCAAGCCUUAAAUUAUGAGAUUUGGGAAAUCGUUAAUGAUGGUCCUUUCAUGCCUUUGACUAAAAAUGAAGUAGGAGAAAAUAUUCCAAAACCUUCACGGGAUUGGAAUGAUUUCGAAAAGAGAAAAGCUUCUCUAAAUUCCAAGGCCAUGAAUGCCUUGUUUUGUGCUUUAGAUAAGAAAGAGUUUCAUAGAGUAUCUAGUUGCGAAAGUGCUAAUGAGAUUUGGCACAAGCUUGAGGUUGUCUAUGAAGGCACGAACCAAGUGAAAGAGUCUAAAAUAAGUAGGUACACUCGACAAUACGAAUUGUUCCAAAUGGAACAGAAUGAAAAUGUGUACUCUAUGUAUACUAGAUUCACGGACAUAGUGAACACUCUAGGAGCCCUAGGAAAGACUUUUUCAAAUAGCGAAAAAGUCAAGAAAAUCAUUAGGUCACUACCUAAGGAAUGGAGACCAAAAAGGACUGCCAUUGAGGAAGCCAAGGAUUUAAAUGUAUUACCUAUUGAUGAUUUAAUUGGCUCUCUUAUUUCAUAUGAAGAAGAUUUGGCAGCUGAAAAAGGGCAUGAGGAAAAGAAGAAAAACAUUGCUCUCAAGGCUUCAAAACGUGAGAGUGAUGAGGAAAGCGAAAUGGAUGAUGAGGAGCUGGCUAUGUUGGCUAGAAGAUUCAGAAAAUUUUACAAAAAGAACAAUGAGCAGAGAAAGUUCAGAGGCUACAAGAGUAAGAAGGAGAAGAAGGAGCCAAUCACUUGUUAUGAAUGCAAGAAGCCCGAACACAUACGACCAAAAUGUCCUCUUCUCAACAAAUUCAAGAAGAAGGCUAUGGUGGCCACAUGGGAGGAUAGUGAUGAGGAAACAAGUGACGAUGAUGAGCAACAAGAAAUGACAAACUUAGCUCUCAUGGCUAUUGGGGAAGAAUCAUGUGAUGAACUUGAUGAGGUGAGUGUUCUUCCUACAUAUGAUGAAUUGCAUGAUGCUUUUAAGGAUUUGCAUGAUGAGCUAAUGAAGAUUGGUAAAAAGAAUAUAUGUCUUAAAAAGAAGAUGAUAGAGCUUAAGAAUGAAAAUGAUUCAUUUAGUGCAAAGAUUACAUGCCUAGAAUUAGAAAAUAAAAUAUUGCGUGAUAGUAUUGCAUUAUUUGAGAAUUCUAGCACCUCACAUGAGCACUUAGAGUCACACAUGAAUGACUUGAAAAAUGAGAAUGAAAUGCUUAGAAAGAAGAGCAAUGAACUAAAUGAAAUUGUGCUAAAAUUCACAAAUGGGCAAAAGAUGUUGGACAAUUUGCUAAACUCACAAAAAUGUGUAUUUGACAAAAGUGGCAUAGGUUAUAAACCGACUUUGAAACAAAAAUUUUACAAGAGUUAUUUUGUGAAGAAUACAUCUAUUAACAAUAAAAUUGUAUGUCAUUAUUGCAAUCAAGAUGGCCAUACGAAAAAUAGAUGUGUAGUGAAGAGAAAUGCAUAUUAUGGUAUGAAAUGUGUUUGGGUUCCGAAAGGAACCAUUGCUAACUCUCAAGGACCGAAAAAGGUUUGGGUAUCUAAAACUUGAGAUUUUUUCUACAGGGCUCAAAGAAGAAGAAGAAUAAGUGGUACUUGGACAACGGUUGUUCAAGACACAUGACAGGGAAUUAUUCUUGGUUUUCAAGCUUUACCAAGAUCGAAAAUGGUGGAGAUGUAUCGUUUGGGGAUAAUUCAAAAGGAAAAAUCAUUGGAAUUGGAAAUGUCGGUAAUGUAUCCUCUACUCUCAUUGAGAAUGUGUGUUUGGUUGAAAACUUGAAACGCAAUUUGCUUAGUAUUAGUCAAUUAUGUGAUAAAGGAUAUAGAGUAAUCUUUGAUGAAUCGAAAUGUGUUAUUGAGAAUGCAUGUGAUGGGAAAGUCUUGUUUGUAGGAAAUAAAUGUGUUAAUGUCUAUACCAUUAAUAUAGAUUGUGCAUCUAUACAUGAAAAAUGUCUCUCCGCAUUGCAUGAUGAUGGUUGGUUAUGGCAUAGAAGAUUAGGUCAUGCAAGCAUGGAUUUGAUUUCAAAAAUCGUGAAAAAUGAUUUAGUUAAAGGUCUUCCAAAAAUCAGUUUUCAAAAAGAUAGAAUUUGUGAAGCAUGCCAAUUUGGAAAACAAAUCAAAACUUCCUUCAAAAGCAAGAAUCAUGUCUCUACUUCAAAACCACUUCAAUUGCUUCAUAUAGAUUUGUUUGGACCUUCUAGAUAUGCUAGUUUAAGUGGCAAAUAUUAUGUAUUUGUAAUUGUGGAUGAUUAUUCUAGAUACACAUGGGUAUUGUUCUUAGCUAAUAAGGAUGAUGCCAUUGAUGCAUUUAGAAUUUUCUAUAAAAAGGUUCAAAAUGAAAAAGGUUAUUCUAUUACUUGUAUUAGAAGUGAUCAUGGUGGAGAAUUUGAAAAUCAUGCAUUUGAAAAUUUUUGUAAUGACUUUGGCAUUGAACAUCAAUUUUCAUCACCUAGGACUCCACAACAAAAUGGAGUAGUAGAGAGAAAGAAUAUGUCUAUUCAAGAAAUGGCUAGGACCAUGUUGAAUGAAAACUCUUUGCCUAAGUAUUUUUGGGCCGAAGCCGUCAACACCGCUUAUUAUGUUUUAAAUCGGGUGUUGAUUAGACCUAAUCUUAAUAAAACUCCAUAUGAGCUUUGGAAAGAUAGAAAACCCAACAUUGGUUAUUUUAAAGUUUUUGGAUGCAAAUGUUUUGUUUUGAACACAAAAGAUAAUCUUGGUAAAUUUGAUCCAAAAUCUGAUGUUGGUAUCUUUCUUGGUUAUUCAAAUUCAAGCAAAACUUAUAGAGUUUAUAACAAAAGAACUUUGGUUGUGGAGGAAUCUAUGCAUAUUACAUUUGAUGAGUCUAACCCCUCCUCUACGGAGAAAGUUGUUGUUGAUGAUAAUGCAGAAGAAGAACAACAAGAAGAAGCAUCAAAUGACAACCAAGAAGACGCACCACCUGGAAUUCAAGAGGAACAUCAUGAAGAACCAAAUGUACAGCAAAAUGAAGGUACUUCUCAAACACUCCCUAAGGAGUGGAGGUAUGUUUCCUCUCACCCUAAGGAUGUAAUUCUAGGAGAUCCCUCACGAGGUGUUACCACUAGAUCAUCUCUUAGGAACACAUGUGAGCAUGCCGCAUUUAUUUCUCAAAUUGAACCAAAAUCCUUUGCGGAUGCGGAAAAUGAUGAAUCUUGGAUUAUGGCAAUGCAAGAGGAGUUGAAUCAAUUUGAGAGAAACAAUGUGUGGGAGUUAGUUCCUAAUCCGGAACAUCAAUCCAUUAUAGGUACUAAAUGGGUAUUUAGAAACAAAAUGGAUGAAUCCGGGGUGGUUGUAAGGAAUAAAGCUAGAUUAGUGGCUCAAGGUUACAACCAAGAAGAAGGAAUUGAUUUUGAUGAGACUUUUGCACCUGUAGCAAGGCUAGAAUCCAUUAGGAUGUUGUUAGCAUAUGCAUGUCAUAAGGAUUUUAUUUUGUAUCAAAUGGAUGUCAAGAGUGCUUUCUUAAAUGGAUACAUUAUGGAGGAAGUUUAUGUGAAACAACCUCCUGGUUUUGAAAAUGAAAAAUUUCUAGAUCAUGUGUAUAAGUUAUCCAAGGCUUUGUAUGGUUUAAAACAAGCACCUAGAGCUUGGUAUGAUAGGCUUAAAAACUUCUUGUUGGAUAAUGAUUUUUCGAUGGGAAAAGCGGACACAACUCUAUUUGUUAAGCAUAAGAACCAAGAUAUACUUAUUGUUCAAAUUUAUGUUGAUGAUAUUAUUUUUGGUUCUACUAAUGAGUUGUUAUGUAAAGAUUUUUCAUCAUGUAUGAGUAAAGAGUUUGAGAUGAGUAUGAUGAGAGAGUUGAAGUACUUCCUUGGACUUCAAAUCAAACAAAACGAGGAAGGAAUUUUCAUAAACCAAGCCAAGUACGUGAAAGAUUUACUCAAAAGAUUUGGCUAUGAUAAUGGAACGGCAAAAAGCACUCCUAUGAGUACUACCAUCAAGCUGGACAAAGAUGAGAAAGGUAAGGAAGUUGAUAUCAAGACAUAUUGAGGUAUGAUCGGAUCCUUACUCUACUUGACUUCUAGUAGGCCUGAUAUUAUGUUUAGUGUUUGCUUGUGUGCUAGAUUUCAAUCUUGUCCUAAAGAGUCUCACAUGCUUGCUGUCAAACGCAUUUUUCGGUAUUUAAUUGGCACUAUUAAUCUUGGCCUUUGGUAUCCUAGAGGAACUCAUAUUGAUUUAACUUGUUAUUCGGAUGUCGAUUUUGCUGGGUAUAAGGUUGAUAGAAAAAGUACUAGUGGAACAUGUCACUUCCUAGGCCAUUCUCCUGUCUCUUGGUUUAGUAAGAAACAAAACUCGGUUGCGCUUUCAACCACCGAGGCAGAAUAUAUUGCCGCAGGUAGUUGUUGUGCACAAAUUCUUUGGAUGAAACAAACCCUUAGAGACUAUGGUAUUAAGCUUGAUCAAAUUCCUAUCUUAUGUGACAAUACUAGUGCUAUAAAUCUCUCUAAGAAUCCUAUUCAACAUUCUAGGACUAAGCAUAUAGAAAUUAGGCAUCAUUUCCUUAGAGAUCAUGUUCAAAAAGGGGAUGUGGUAAUUAAAUUUGUUUCCACUGAAAAUCAACUUGCAGAUAUCUUUACAAAACCUCUUAGCGAAGAGCAUUUUAUAAAGAUAAGACAUGAGCUUGGAAUGAUGAAUGUUGAAUCUUAAUUCAUGUUUCUCUUAAUGGCUUGAUAUGUUUGUUAUCAUAUGGAUUUAUGCUUCAUGGAUUAGAUAGCAUGAUAUGCUUGUAAAUUUAUGGUUUUAUGAUUUUGUGUUUCAUGCAUUAAAUGGCUUAUUGAAAAGUUUUAAAUCUCAAAAUGAUUUAAAAUUAAUCAAUUUUUAAGGCCGGAAAUAAAAUGGUGUGUGUAGUACAAGUAUAAGAGCUAGCAAAUAUUCCCUUUCGGAAAAACAUUCUUUCCUAUUGAUCUCUCUCGGGACAAAUUCCGGACAACCGGAUUUUCAAUCCGGAAAACCAGAUUAGCUCUGGUUGGUCUCUGGACAACAUUCGGGUGACCGGAUUUUCAAUCCGGAAAACCGGAUUUGCUAAGUUAACUCACUGCCUCACAACCGGUUCACCGGUUUACAAAACCGGAAAGCCGAAUUUGCUUUGGAAACUUGCUGGAACAAACCCGGAUUUCCGGUUCAAGAAAUCCGGAAAACCGAUUUUGGAAGGAAAUUCUCGAAACCGGCCAGCCGGUUCAGGAAACCGGCAAGCCGAAAUCGAGAUAUUUGGUCUCGGGUUCAUUUUCGGCUAACCGGAUUUGCAAUCCGGCAAGCCGUUUUCGCGUGUCUUGAAUCUGUCCACGAACCAGCGCGCCGGUUAGCAAAUCCGGCAAACCGGAUUCGUGCCCUUUAUCACUAUUCAUCUUCUCCUCUCUUGUUUCGGUUUUCCGUUUCUGUUCUCUCUCAAAACCGUUUCCAUUUUCUCUCUUUCUUACUCCAAAAUCCUUCAUUUUCUAUCCUUUUCACAUCAAAUUGAAUCUCAAAAAUCAUUCCCCAUCUCAUUAAGAACACAAAACCAUCCUUGAAACUCAUUUUCAACAUCUAAAUCCUUAGAUCCCAAUUCCAACCUAGGUUUUGAGCCGAAUUUUCUCUCUCUAGAUUUCUCACUCUCAAGCCAUUUUUGCUCCAAUUUAUUUCACCAAAUCACUUUCAAUCUUCAUCAUCUUCAUUCUAUUUGGUGUUUUUAUCUUCAAAUCCAACAAAAUCACCAUGUCAAGCUCUCGGCCGGUUCGUAGAAAAGGCAAAGAACCGGUUCAACCAUCCACACGGCCACGGGAAGCAAGGGGCACCUCCAGUCAAUCCACCUUUGAGUCCAUUCAUUUUCAGAACAAGCAACACUUGAUCAAAAGGUUCCAACAAAACUUUCGGACUCGUGAGGUACUCAACAUUUUCUUUGUUUUACUGGAUGUUUUGCAUACUCUCCAGAUUAGUCAUAGAACUUUAUUUCAAUUGUUGGGAGAUGUUAGUUGGAUUGAUGCAUUGUUGAUUGAGGAGAAUGUGUAUCCCGACUUGGUGAAAGUAUUUUACUCGAAUAUGGAUUGUUCCGCAGAGAAAGAGAAUCGAGUAAUCACCACAGUUGGAGGAGUUUUAAUUGAGUUUGAUGAUUCAGACUUGGACAACAUCCUAGGAUCUUCUGAUGAUGGCUUGGACAUUUUUUCUCUUAGGAAACCUCCUGAAAUUGAUGAUUAUGUUCAUGUUGAUGCCGUUCGUAAUAUUUGUCGGCGUAAUGAUCUUUCUGUUGAAGACUCUACCAUUCAUUUCCGUACUCAAUGUCUUUGUCUUCAAACUCGUUUUUUGCUUCGUAUCAUCCAGUCCAUUGUACUUCCUAGAUCAGGACAUUUGGAUGAGGUGUCUCACAUGGAUGUCGCCAUGAUUGACUGUAUUCUUAGAGGUUGCCCGGUUGACUUGGGCUAUUCUAUCGUUCGCACCAUGUUGAGCAUUCCAGCCUUGAUUACCCGUUCUCUUCCUUAUGGUCAUUUCAUUACCCGAAUUCUUAAAUUCUUUGAAGUGCCGAUUCUAGAACCAUCUUGUAGGCCGUCCAAGGGUAUUGGGGAUGAGGUUAUUGUUGGGUUAGGCUUUGAGUGGAAGGAUGGCACUUGGGUCAAAUACAGCGAUAACAAGUUUACCUUUCUAACCCCAAGUGAUGAUCGGCCACUUAAUGCUGUGAUUCCAGCAGAUCAGCUUCCAGUUUUCUCACUCUCAUUUCGAGGGCACCGUAGGCGCCGAGUUUCUUCCACGGUUGCUUCAGCUCUUAGUGCAUCUGCAUCUGUUUCAUCACCUCCACGGCCUCCUAACGCUGGAGAUGUUACUCUUCAGCAGCUUAUGGAUGAGGUGCGGACACUUUCGGUGCGGCAGACUGAGCUUCAGCAGGAGCAGCAGCAGCAGCUCAUUCAUGGACAGCGCCUCCUCUUUGAGCACUUCGGCAUUCCAUAUCCGUUUCCACCUCCUUCACCUCCAUCCUCACCACCUGAGUAGUAUCUUAUACUUGUACUUGGACACACCUACAUUUCAUUUACUGCAUUAUGUGUUCUUUUAUUUUCGACUCUAUGGAUCGUUAUUAUGCUUUUCGGUUUAUGUAUUUGUUUUGGAUGAUAUGGAUUUGUUGUGACUAUUUAUGUUGGAUGUUAUGGAUUUGUUUUUGAGUGAUUAUUAUGGAUUAUCUGGAUUUUCUUAUGCUUAUGGAUAUUUUUUUUUACUAAUGUGCUUAUGUUGCGAUUUUGAUGAUUGAUAGGGGGAGCCUUUUAUUCUUUUUGAUGAUGAAGGGGGAGAAUGAUUUAAUAUGUGUUAUGAAAAUAUGCAUGUAUCUAGGGGGAGCAUGUAUGCAAGGGGAGUUUUUGUUAAACCAUUUUCAAAUCAUUUUUUAACUUGCAUUGAUUAAGGGGGAGCUUUUUCAUAACAAGAUUAAAGUUUUGAAUGUGUUUUGUCAUCAUCAAAAAGGGGGAGAUUGUUAGCCUAAAUGGCCAUAAAUAUUGAUUUUGAUGAUAACAAACCACAUGUAUUUAUUAAGUAAAGAUUUAUGAAUUGUGCUUUUAUAAUAAGAAAAUGAUGUUAUGGAAUUAAAGCAUUUUGGACUAAAAUGAAAGUAAUUUCAAAAUCUUUGAUAGUGUUUUAAAUUUCGGAUUUGGACCUAUUUAAAACUAUUUAAAUGUUUUUGGGUCAUUUUAUAAUUUCACAAAGUUUGGGCGAAAUCAUAAUUUCAAAAAGUUUUGGGAUUAACGAAGCAUUAGUUAGAAAUUCUGAAAUUGGACCUAUUUGCAAAGUUUCAUAACGUUUUGGGUCAUACUAUAGUUUUAUAAAGUUUUGGGGUCAAACUGAAAAUUUAAGAAAAAUUUCACUUAGCAGGUUACUGUAGCAUCCGGCUUACCGGUUAUAAAAAUCGGAAAAUCGAAUUCGGGGCAGAAUGUAUCCAGAACUAAAACGGCUUACCGGAUUUCGAAUCCGGCAAGCCGGUUAGGCAAAAUUCAAUUUUGCCUUAACGAUAACAUAAAUCCAGCUUACCGGAUUCCAUAAACGGCAAACCAGAUACGCCUGGAAUGUGAGUAACGGCUAGUUUUUUAGCUCAAACUAUAAGAACUCAAAUCCAACUCAUUUUGAAGCUCUCCAACAAGCAAAAACAAAAAGCACACGAGAUAUCUUGAGCCUUCAAACUUGCAAACUACAUACAUUGAAUCAUUCAUUGUUCUUCAUCUUUGAAUAUCUACUCAUUGAGUGAGUUUCAUUGUAACUUUCAUUUCUUCAUUUCAAUUGUAAGAAUUUGAGUGUGUGAGACACUUGAGUGAAGAGAUUGGGAGAUAAUUUCUUCGUUGUGAAGGUUUAUUGACACCUCGAAGUCAAUUGUAAUCUGUUGAAGCCUCGGAAAGGCUUGGAUAGUGAAAUCCUCAAGCUUGGAUUGCUUGGAGGCGUGGACGUAGGCGGGGAUUGCCGAACCACGUAAAAAUCCGUGUGUUUGUUUCUCUUCUCCCUUACUCUUUAAUUAUUGUGCCUUUAUUAAACUUAUUGCUUUCAAUUUUUAUUAAGGCAUUAGAUUGUUUGUUGUGUGGAUUUGCUAGGAUAAUUUUUAAAUUUCCAAUUCACCCCCCCUCUUGGGUUGCACACUUAUAUUUCACACAUCCCCAUGAAUAAAUAGAAAACACGAAAAUAAGAGAAGGAUGAGAAGGAUUAAGCUCUCAAUUGAUCUCUACAAUUUUUCCUCUUGUGUAGCCUUCAAUCUCUCUCUUGAAUCUUGUUUUUCUUUUGUUUCUUUGUGUUUUUCUCCUUGGGUGACGGCCCUCCCCCAUCCUUAUGAUGUGUGCUUCUUUUAUAGUUAAAAAUUAGGGUAAACGGAAGCCUAGGGCGUGCAUAAGUCAGAUUAGGAAACUGCAGAUCGCAAUUCUACAAGUAUCCCGCAUGGAAAUUUCGCUGUCGUUGUUCCAGGAUUGCUACAGCAAUGGCUACAACAACGGCUACAGCAACUGCACUGUUCCAUAUUUGUUUCAAUUCUUUUAUAGCCUUGUUCUUCCUCCUUUUUGCCAGCCUAUUGCAUCAGCAUUCCUUCUAUGAAUUAUAAGCUUCUGGAAACCUACAAUUAUGCACACAAUUUGAGCACGAAUUACUUUAAAUCAAGCAAAACUUAUUAAAACUAAACUAAAAUGAAUGUUUAUGCAAAAUGUAACAAAAAUGCAAUAAAAACACAUCAUUUACUCUCUAAGUAAUAUUAAUUUAAGUCUAAAAGUGCUAUGAUAACUCUCAUUUUAUAGAGUUAUCACACCCCCAAACUUAAACUAUUACUUGUCCUCAAGUAAUGACAACAACGCUAACACUUCAAUCACGCAAUCAUGCAACAAAUAACUUAGCUCUGUCAUCAAAUUUGCAAGAAUUCUUCCACCCUCAGAUCACACUCUGAAUCACGCAAAAUAGCCUUAGCCGUUUAGUCCUAGACUUAGGCUUUAUUAUGUCCAAAGUGUGUGUGUGCCACUUUGAUCAAAUUCCAGAGGUGCUACAACAUUACAGAGACAUUGCAUAUAAUUCAAAGGUAGAACACAAAUAUAUUCACAUAUGGGGGAGCAGAAAUCACAAAUAUACUCAAACUGUGCUACAACAAUAAUAAAAAUUUUUUUUCAGUUAAACCCUUCAAUGCAACAUUGAGCUUUCAUGUGAAUGCCUAUCACUUGUAAUGACGACACCCAAAUUACUCAUUCAAAGUACAUGUCAGAGUUGCUACAGCAACGCAUUCAGGAUGUUAUAUCUAGGUCAUACCUUUGGAUACCUUUGACUCAAGGCUGAACAUGGGGCUCAUGAACAAGCCAGGUUACUCAAUAUCCUAGGUAGCGGACCUCUUUAUCAGCAUUUUUUUUUUUGCUUUUCUUCUUCUUUUUUUUCUCUUUUUUUUUUAUAAUUGCUGCAGCACUGCUCGUAGCUCGUGUUGCCUUUGGACUCAAGUUUGCAUAUGGGGUGCAUACUCAACCCUGGUUACUCAACAACUUAAACCAUUGGAGCUGAAUUUAUUUCAUAACAGGCACAAUCCAACAAAGAUUUUCCCCCAAACUUGAGAUAUUUUCUACUCUUUUUUUUGUUUUCCUGGCUCUGCUACCGCAUUCUCAUAAAACUCAACCAAAGUCUAAGUGUUGGGACAGAAGUUCAACCUCCAUCUAUAAUUAUCUCUACUUGGCUUUCUCAUAAAUACUGAAUAACACUCAAUUUAUCUUCAUUAGGUUUUCAAAUCCAUACACAAAUAUGAGAUAACAGAGCUUCACACAACACAAGCAUAAACACAUGCACUCAGAAACACAACCCCCCCAAACUUAAGUGGUGUUGUGUCCUCACAAGCACACGAAACAAAACCACAUGAACCGGACAUGCAUACACUAAAUAAAAGGACAUGCAGAAUGAAUUAGAAAAUAAAAACUAAAUGAAAGAAAAAUUUUACAGAAAGAAGUAAAAUAAACUAGCGGGUAAGGGUACUCCCCUGUUGCUGGAAGCACUGCUACAACAUAGGCUGUAAAGGGUCACUUUUCCUUUGAUAUAUUUCUCAAACGCUCCUUAUUAUAAAAUCUUAUCAAUCCAUUUGCUGCUGCAAAAGCAAGAAAUGCCUAUGUUGUUUGAGAAUCUUCUGUUAUGUCAUGCUGUAAGUGAUGCUGCAGCAAUUCCCUCCUGCUCUUUUUGCCAACAUAUUUUUUUUUUUACUUGCUGCAAUGUAACAUAAAGACAUAAAAAAUUAGAUGCACACUUAAAAUAAAAAAAAAGACAAAUUAAAUAAUUUAAAAGCUAAAUUCAAUGCCAUAAAAACUUGAAACAACUUCCCUUAUUGGGUUGCCUCCCAAUUAGCGCUUGAUUUUAGGUUUUUCAGCCUGACCUUUCUUCUUUUCUCAAUCUGGAUCCUUCAAGAACCGAUCCUUCUUUAGGUUGUUCACAUCAUCUCCCAUAUAGUGCUUCACUCUCGGCCCAUUAACCUUGAAUUCUUGUUGUCUGGAGUGAGUUCCCUUUGCUGGAUUUGCUCAUCAAUUCUGAAAGGUUGCUUCUCCCCUAACCAUGCUAUGUUAGCUGCUCCAUGAUCUUCAUCAUCAAGUUCUUCAAAUGUUACAACAUUGAUUUCUUCCUUACUGCAGCAACUGUGUAAUCUCUCUGCUAUAACAAAGUCCACAACACUGAUAAAAUUACAAUCUUCAAUCUCAUCAGGACUUUUCAUGGCAUCCAGCACAUUGAAUGUAACUUGCUGUUCAUUCACCCUCAUGGUUAAUUCUCUUUUUGAACAUCAAUUAAAGUCUUUCCCGUGGUUAAGAAAGGUAUUCUUAGAAUGAUUGGCACUUCUUUGUCUGCCUCAAAGUCUAGCACAAUGAAAUCUAUCGGAAAAAUAAAUUUAUCCACCUUCACCAAUACAUCUUCAAUCUUCCCUUCUGGAUAGGCAUGAGAUCUGUCAACAAAUUGUAAAGACAUUGUUGUUAGUCUACAUUCACCAACUCCCAAUUGCUUAAACACUGAUAAAGGCAUGAGAUUGAUGUUAGCCCCCAAAUCACAAUGUGCCUUGCCACUGUAUUUAGUGCCUAUGGAGCAUGGAAUUGUGAAGCUUUCUGGAUCCUUCAUCUUCUGUUGUAUCUUACUCUGAAGCAUUCGGCUGCACUCUUGUGUUAGAGCAACUAUCUCAAAUUCUUCAAGUCUUCUUUUCUUUGUCAAGAUAUCCUUAAAUUUUUUUGCAUAAUUUGGUAUUUGCUCUAGAGCUUCCACAAAAGGGAUAUUGAUAUGUAGCUGUUUCAGCACUCCCAAAAUUUUGCUGAACUGCUUGUCUUGUUUUUACUUUUGAAACCUUUGAGGAAAGAGUGGUGGAUGUCUAAAUUGUUGUGCUGCCGCAGGUUGUGCAUACUGCUUCUCUUUUGCUCUACUCAGGGCUGUUGUUGUUGCUGCUGUAGCUUCCUCACCACCAGGUGCUGGAUCAUAACUUUCUGCAGAUACUGUAGCAGAACUGUAUUGAUUUGCAUUCUGAAAAGCGAAAGACUGUGACUCAUUUUCUACUUGAGUGUCUUCUUGGCCUUGGGUGGACUCAAUUCUUCUUUUUGGUACACCAACGGGACUAUAAACAUCCUUUUCAGAUCUCAAGUUAAUCACUUUGCAGUGCUCUUUCCCUUCUCUUCUUAGGUCCUCUGUAUUACUGGGUAAACUACCUUGAGGUCUGUUGCUCAAUGCUGUAGCAAGUUGUCCAAUUUGAUUUUCCAAGUUUCUCAAAGAUACAGUAUGACGUUGGACAACUGCUUCAUUCUUCACAAUAUAAUCCAUAAUCAAACCUUUAAGGGAGCUAAGUUGAUCAUUGUUGAUACUUCUUUGCUCUUGAUUUUGCUGAUAAAAUCCAAGUGGUUGAGCAAGUCUGUUCUGUCCACUGAGUGCUGCAGUGGUCUGGUUCUGAUAACUCCAUGAAAAGUUUGGGUGCUGUCUCUAUCCAGGGUUAUGAGUGUUUGAAUAUGGAUUGUCCUGGUUCUGUCUAUUGAAGCUGCCCAUAUAGUUAACCGAAGCUGGAUUACCAGGACAAUUGUCAAAUACAUGCCCUUCUCUACAAUAAACGCAAGACAUAUCAGAUAUUUGGUUAACAGUUGCUGGAGCAGUAGUCAUAGCCUUUACCAUCUUUGUUAAUGAAGUUACUUGGGCUGACAAUGCUGUCAAGGCAUCUACGUUAUAAACUUAUGUUGUUCCUCUUGCUGCAACUUGUCUGGUUGAUGGCCACUGAUAGUUAUUGUUGGUUAUCCUCUCCAAAAUGUCAUAAGCCUCAUUGUAAGACUUAGAUAACAAGGCCCCAUUUGCUGAAGCGUCCACCAUCAAUCUAGUGCUUUGGUUGAGACCACUAUAGAAAGUUUCCAACUGUACGCAACAAGGAAUACCAUGAUGAGGACAUCUCCUGAGUAACUCCUUAAAUCUCUCCCAUGCAUCACACAAGCUCUCAUCUUCAAAUUGAUGGAAAGAUGUGAUCUCGUUCCUCAACUUUGCAUUCUUGGUUGGCGGGAAGUAUUUCAUCAAAAAUUUGUCAGCCAAAUCAUUCCAUGUAGUGAUAGAAUCUGGUGGUAGAGAAUUCAACCAUGCUCUUACUUGAUCUCUCAAAGAAAACGGGAAAAGUCUGAGUCUCAAUGCUUCUUGUGAUGCUCCAGCAAUCUUGAAAGCAUCACUCACUUCCAGAAAUAGCUUAAGGUGUAGAUGAGGAUCUUUAGAUAGCAAACCAUUAAAUUGCCCCACUGUUUAAAGCAUCUGAAACAUCACGGGUUUGAGUUCAAAAUUGUCAGCUUGAACGUCGGGUCUAACUACUCCCGGAUGUAUGGCUUGGGGAGUCAACACUGCGUAGUCUCGAAUGGCUCUAUCUCUAUCGUUCGCCAUGUGAAUAAUGUUGUUGUUCCCUGGUUGCCUUUGAACACAUUGUCCAUUCAAACCAUCAUGUACAUUGACAGGUUGUAUCCCCUCUCUACGGUUUAAGUUUCUCAAAUCUUACAAAUCAUCCAUUGCUACAGUAGCUUGUAAUUCCCGAUACUCUCUUCUCAAUCUCCUUGCAGUUCUUUCAAUUUCUGGAUCAAACUGGAAGUCAACAUAUUUAUAUUUGCGCAUGCAAGGGUUGCUAGAUCACCUAUGUUAAUAAAAUAAACAAAUUAAAAUAAAAUAAAAAAUUAGCACCGUUAAAACUAAUUUUAUAAAUCACAUUGAACAAUCGAUCCCCAGCAACGGCGCCCAAAACUUGUUGGGUAUAAAUACUAAUGAUAUUGGUGUCAAUGUGCAAGUGUACACAGCAAAUAAUAAAGUGAUGAGUAUUCAAGAUCGUCUCCACAGGGAUUGAUGUUAUCAGAUUUGCUACAGCAAUCUUAAUAGUGCAGAUUUUGUGCUAAAAUAAAAUAAAACACUUAGUGAAACUGUUAUACUAAUUAAAAUAAAAACGUAAUAAAUAAAAUGCAACAAAGUAAAUUAUCACGUCAAUCUCAAUGAUAAAAUCAAUGGGAAUAUAAAGUAGUUGAGUUAAUAAACUCUCCUAAUGGUCUUGAUUAUUUUCUAAUGGUUGGCUCGGUUGCUGCAGUAUCUGCUAUAGCACUGGGCAGAAUCCUUAUGUAUCAUCAGCCGUCGUAUGUUGGAUAUCUUAUAUCUAUAUGCAACCUAACAGUGAUCAGUUGUUAUGCUCACAUAAGAUAUAUCAUUACACGCUUAGGUACUAUUUACCCUACAAGGUGAAUUCCUAUGUCUAGUUCAUCACUAAUUUUAGAUUAAGCAUGGCCCUUUUGGAAUAAGUUAAACUCAAUCCAAGAAACUCAAUCUAAAACCAAGUAUUGCUCUGAUAUGUUCCACUAUGAUAGGCCUUUUUGCGGCUCUCUCCUAACUUGUAUCAUUAAAUGGGUGAUCAACCGAAAUAAUGAAUAAAAAUAAAUACUAUCAAAACAAACUGCUACAGCAAACAUGCAGCAACACAUAUAUUUAGUCAAUAAAUCAUCAAGAUUAUUUAUCACUCAACCACAAAUAAAUUUAGUUUAUGAUUUGCAAAAGAAAAAUAAAGAACAAAGUUUUAGCCAUGAAACACAUCCCCAUGAAUAAAUAGAAAACACGAAAACAAGAGAAUGAUAAGAAGGAUUGAGCUCCCAAUUGAUCUCUGCAAUUUUUCCUUUUGUGUAGCCUUCAAUCUCUCUCUUGAAUCUUGUUUUUCUUUUGUUUCUUUGUGUUUUUCUCCUUGGGUGACGGCCCUCCCCCAUCCUUAUGAUGUGUGCUUCUUUUAUAGUUGAAAAUUAGGAUAAACGGAAGCCUAAGGCGCGCAUAAGUCAGAUUAAGAAACUGCAGAUCACAAUUCUGUAAGUAUCCCGCACGAAAUAUUCUGUGUCGUUGUUCCAGGAUUGCUACAGCAACAGCUACAGCAACUUCAUUGUUCCAGAUUUAUUUCAAUUCUUUUAUAGCCAUGUUCUUCCUCCUUUUUGCUAGCCUAUUGCAUCAGUAUUCCUUCCAUGAAUUAUAAGCUUCUGGAAACCUACAAUUAUGCACACAAUUUGAGCACGAAUUACUUUAAAUCAAGCAAAACUUAUUAAGACUAAACUAAAAUGAAUGUUUAUGCAAAAUAUAACAAAAAUGCAAUAAAAACAUAUCAUUUACUCUCUAAGUAAUAUUAAUUUAAGUCUAAAAGUUCUAUGAUAACUCUCAUUUCAUAAAGUUAUCAGAAUUCAUGUCUACACUUACUAAACCCAAUUAUCCAUUGGAUUAUUUACUUUCAUUUUGAGACAUGAUAAAUAAUUUUCAUUAUCUUUUUGGGGCUAAAUUUGUUAACAGAGUUUCGUUGGGAAGGCUAAUAAUAAAUAUUUAGUUGAGUGUAUAACCAUUGUUUCAAUCUACGUAUUUUUUAUAUCAAUAGUCACCAUUGGGGUGAUCAAUUGAUUAAAAAAUAUUUCAAUUUUAUCUUUGAAGAAGUUCAUCAAAUAAAAUGUCUAAUAUAUAUACCCCCCGAAGGGAGCAUCGCCGUAUCAUGAAGUUAAGGUAUAUAUAUAAUUUUAUUAUUAAACUAACAAUAAAGCCCGUGGGAAAAAUUAUCUUGAUUUUUCCCUCUCCCACUUAAUAUUUUAAAAUUGGUUUUUCCAUUUUAAAAUAUACAUUAAUUAUAUAUUGUUAAUUGCAUGCUUCGUAUAAUAUUAUUUAGAUGAUAUCCAAUAUUAUUAAGCAUAUGCAAAUUUCAAACAAUAUAAUGAAAUUCAUAAUUAAUGAAUGACAUGUAUCAUUAUGCAUAAAGUGACACUACCUAUUUUAUAUGACAUGUUAUCAUGGCAUGAUAUCAUCCAAAACAUAAGAUAUAGAAAAUUAAUUAAAUAAUCUUAAUUCAUGACUUUUCUAAAAUGAAAAAAUACAUUAACCCUAAACCUAAUCUUCAUUGGGCUUCUUGUCAAUGUCCAUCUUUCAUAGCCUUGUAUUUGUUAAUGGACUAAGAUAAAUUAGACUUUUAAAUUUAUUAUUGGUCCAAUUUUAAUUUAGAAAGAAAAUAAAUAAAUAAUUUUUUUAAAUAAGACUUUUAAAUCAAAAAAUAAAUUUAAUGUGAUAAAUUUUAUCUAUGUAUUUUAAUCUAUUAAGCCUAAUUUCAAUUGGGCCUAAAACUAAGGCUCAUUGGGCAUAUAACUGUUUUUAGACUUAAAUACAUAAAUAAAAAAUAUUUCUGUCAAAAAAAAAACUACAAAACUAUAGGGAUCUCAAUAAUAAAAACCAUGAAACCCUAAAAUCCAUAUAUUUCUUUCCCUUUCUUCUCCAGCCGCCAUCAAUGCAAAGCUCAGCCGCUGUUCACCAUAGACCAGCCACUGUUCAGAGACGCCACCCAUCUCCGUCGCCGAGUUUACUGCCGCCGUCACACCGAAAACCAACCGAACCCGCGUUUCAAUGUUUUAAUUAUUAUUUUGUUAGUUAAAUUACAUUUUUCUUUAUUUAGAUGUCGUUAAUUCAUGUUUAUGGAAUCAAAAUAACUAAUAAGUUUUAAAAUUUUACUCUUUUUUUUUUUUUAACAGCCUUUCUUUUCCCAAGUCUUCAACUCGAGGAACCUCGCUCCAGCUAAAGGACCCUCAUGAAGAACCUCCCAGGAACUCAAAGCAACCCCUUUCUAUCUUCCUUUUGUGUGAUCUAGUGUGCGAGGCGUGUCACGCUCUUACUGGGGGGUGGUAGGCCCUACAGCAGAUUUCUCCAAUGAAAGCUUACCGCACGUGCCGUCGUAUCAUGACCUAGCCGACGGUGCACGCUAAAUCAAGCUCCAGUUUCUACAUUGUAAUCUACUUUCCAUCAAAGCUAAAGAUGAGCUGGAAAAAAAUGUUGCUGCAAUAUGGAAGUGGAUGGACACUUUUAACAUUUUGAAAUGAAAAAAUACUUGCGUCGUCUUUAGUAAAAAAUGAAAAAAUAUUAUUAUUCUUGUACCAAAAUAUUGCAAUUUUGAUGUUUAUCUGUUUUAUUUUUUAUUACUUUGUAUUUACAGGGAAUGACGCACCAUAUCGAAUUUGGAGAAGGAAUUGUGUGGAACAAUCCAAUGGUUAAAAAAGGAAAGGCUCAAAAUUUUAUUUGGAAAAAUCAAAAGGAUCACGGCAUGUCACAUGUGUGAUUGACUGGAACACCACAAAUAUUACAAAAAAUUCAAACUAACUUUUAGAGUCCCUCACCACAAGGGCAAAGAAAGUUGACAACGUGUUGACCAGGGUAGAAGACUUAGAAAGUUAACAACGGGAGUUCAAGAAAUAGGGUUUGUUUCACGCACUUUUAUUCUCAUAAAUUGAAGUGAAUCCGAUCUCAAAACAAUUAUUAGAAAAUUUUCUUUCCUGUUUUAUGAAUGGCGAUACUUCCAUGCUUUAGCAUCUUUUGCUCUUUGAUCUUGUCGUUGAGCGUGAAGGUUUCAUUAGCAGCUGAUACAGUGACUCCAGCAUCCUUCAUCCGUGAUGGUGAGAAGUUAGUUUCAUUUUCUCAAAGGUUUGAGCUAGGCUUCUUCUCCCCUGGAAAAUCAAAGAGCAGGUACCUGGGAAUAUGGUUCCGGCAGGUCCCUGAUACAGUUGUGUGGGUUGCAAAUAGAGAUAGGCCUAUCUCCGAUCAUAACGCAGUAUUAACCAUUAGCAACAAGGGAAAUCUUGUUCUUCUCAACCAAACAAAUGGCACUAUCUGGUCUACAAACGUGUUUAGCGAAGUAAAAAAUCCAGUGGCACAACUCAGAGAUGAUGGAAACCUUGUUAUAAGGGAUAACUCCAGCGGUAAUACUACUGAAAGCUACUUGUGGCAGAGCUUCGAUUACCCAACAGACACUCUGUUGCAAGGCAUGAAGAUGGGCUGGGACUUAAAGAAUCGUCUGGAACGAUAUUUAUCAUCAUGGCAAAGUGAUGACGAUCCAUCUCCUGGGAAAUUCACUAGCAGACUUGAAAUUCAGGUGCUUACUAAAAUGUGUAUUUUCAAUGGAUCAGUAAAAUUUACCUGUUCCGGACAAUGGAAUGAUCAAGCUGGUUUUGUAUCUGCUAUUUCAUAUACAAACUUUCUUUAUAAACAAUUUUUGGUGGAAAAUCAAGACGAAAUUAGUUACUGGUAUGAGCCCUACAACCGUCCAAGCAUAAUGACUUUAAAACUCAACCCCUCAGGUCUACUCACACGUCAAAUAUGGAACGAGAACAGCAAUGAUUGGGACCUGGUGUUCUCAUUUCCAGAUGAAUAUUGUGGUAAAUAUGGGUACUGUGGUGCUAAUACUAUUUGCAGCCCCGACCAGAAACCUAUAUGUGAGUGCUUGGAGGGAUUCAAACUCAAAUCAAAAGUCAACCAGACAGGGCCUAUAAAAUGCGAGAGAAGUCAUUCUUCAGAAUGCAUAGGGGGACACCAGUUUAAAAGGCUUGAUAACAUUAGAGCGCCAGACUUCAUAGAGGUUUUUCUCAACAAGAGUAUGAAUCUGCAGCAAUGCGCGGCUGAAUGCUUGAAAAACUGCACUUGUAGAGCUUAUGCUAAUUCCAAUGUAACAGAAGGCAGCGGCUGUUUAAUGUGGUUUGGGGACCUGCUUGAUGCCAGUAGGCCAAGAAGAAACUUCACCGGACAGUCUGUCUACCUACGAGUACCCGCUUCAGAACCAGGCACAAUUUUUGCUUUCCUGAAAUUGAUGUUGUAAAAAUUUUUCAAGUUGAAUCAAAAUGUAUUUAAGCCAACAUGUUUGAGGAAUUAAAUGUUAGAGAAACAGAUGAACAAAACUAAAACUAGGGGUGAUUUAAGUAAUUUAAUUUAUUUGGCUCAGCUACCUAGGAUUUUAUUUACUUUCUAUUGAAUUUCUUUGACAACAUAUAUGUGUCUGGAUGUAGGAAAAAGGAAGCUACUCUGGAUACUUGUAAUACUUGUUCUGCCACUGGUACUUCUUCCUUCCUUUUACAUAUUUUGUCGACGGAGGAGAAACUGCAAAGAGAAAGGUAAUUUUUUUCAUAUCACUCACUGGUAUGUUGUAUGAUAUGGCAUGUGAUAGAAGAAGUAUACUCAGUUUUAAAAGUUGUCGUCUUACAGAAACAGAGAAUAUGGAAACAAACCAGGAUCUGCUGGCAUUUGACAUAAAUAUGGGCAUUACAACAAGAACAAAUGAAUUCAGUGAAGCAAAUGGAGACGGCAAAGAUAAGGGCAGGGAUUCUUGGUUGCCAUUAUUCAGCUUGGCCAGCGUGGCUGCUGCUACUGAAAACUUUUCUAUGCAAUGUAAGCUUGGAGAAGGUGGUUUUGGCUCUGUUUACAAGGUAGAAUUGUUGAUACCUGAAAUGUCCUUAGUGAAGUACUGCUGGUGUAAAACAUUAACAAUAUUUAGAAUGCAGGGUCGAUUACUUAAUGGACAAGAAGUUGCAGUUAAAAGGCUCUCAAGUCAGUCAGGGCAAGGACUCAAAGAGUUUAAAAAUGAGAUAAUGCUUAUAGCAAAACUUCAACACAGGAACCUUGUUAGACUUUUGGGUUGCUGUGUAGAGCAUGGCGAAAAGAUUUUGAUCCUCGAGUACAUGCCUAACAAAAGCUUGGAUGUUUUCCUUUUUGGUAUGUGAUUUAUAUUCCCAAGAAUUUACAUUUUCAUUACUUUGCAAUGCUAUGUCAGAUUUUAUCAUCAGCAUUUUUUUUAAACUUGUAUCAUUUUGGUAUUACAACAGAUCCAACCAAAAAGCACCUCUUAGGUUGGCAAGCACGUGUUAGAAUUAUUCAAGGAAUUGCUCAAGGGUUAUUAUAUCUUCAUCAGUAUUCUAGAUUUAGAAUUAUUCACAGAGAUCUUAAAGCUAGUAAUGUUCUCUUAGACAGGGACAUAAACCCCAAAAUCUCAGAUUUUGGCCUAGCAAGAAUGUUUGGUGGUGAUGAAUUGCAGGGAAAUACUAAACAGAUUGUUGGAACCUAGUAAGUAAAUUUCUAUUGCCGAAAAAUGUUGUUUGCUUGUCGCGUUUUCUUAUAUUAUUUAAUAUUUGUCAAAACAAUGAAAUUUCAGUGGUUACAUGUCACCUGAGUAUGCCCUGGAUGGUCUCUUCUCUAUAAAAUCAGAUGUGUUUAGCUUUGGAAUUUUGAUGUUGGAAACGUUGAGUGGCAAGAAAAACACAGGCGUCUACAAUGCUGAUUCCUUUAAUCUUCUCGGCUAUGUAAGUAACAAGUCGUUUCACUUUUAUUUAAUCUUUAGUGAAUGAAUUUCGGAAGUUAAGAAUUGCCCCUGUCAAUUAAACUAAUAUGAUCUUGACUUCCUUUAGGCUUGGGAUCUAUGGAAAGAUGAUAAGUUUCAUGAACUAAUAGAUCCAGUAAUAUUGCAAGAUGAAAUAUCGUUGCCAAUGCUGGUGAGAUACAUUAAUGUAGCUCUUCUAUGUGUUCAAGAAAAUGCAGCGGACAGACCAACCAUGUCAGAUAUUGUCUCAAUAAUUAACAAUGAACAUCUUGAAUUACCUUCACCCAAGGAACCUGCUUUUACCAAAGGUAUAAAUGUGAAGAAUUCAUCUCAUUCAAAUAGUGGGGUGUCUGAGCUUUGUUCAGUGAAUGAUGUAACUGUUUCACUGGUUUAUCCUCGAUAGACAUCAAUCUUCCACAACUGUUUAAUGUGCUAUAAUUUGUAUAUUUAUAGCUAAAUGUUUUUUAAGUUGAUGAUUCUAAACUACCUGCAUUGUUUAAUGGAAAUGUCACGUCAUAUUAAAAUUUAAAAUUAAUAAAUUAAUAAUAUUGGGACCAUGAAAAAUCUUUUAAUUUAGUGAAUAUUAAUAUAUCAAUACAUUAAUAAUUAUUAUUUUAUAAAAAUAAUAUCACGUUAAUUUUUAUGGAGAAUAGAGGUAGUAUAAUUAAGGAAUUUUGGUAGCUUUUGUGUUUUUAUUUGAAAUUUGAAUGAGUUUGAAUGCUAUUGAAGUUUGAAUAAGUUUUAAAUACCUGUAUUUUGAAUGAUAUGUUAAUUUUUAUUUUUAUUUUUUUGAUGUUUGAUUGUAAGUCAUAAAUUAUUUGUUUUAUAAACUCAACAAAUCUUAAAUUUAGUAUUUUUACAUUUAUACUCUUAAAAGAGUUAAUGAAAAUGCAACAAAGAUUAAUGAAAAUUAUGUCGGGACAAUAAAGAAAAUCAUAAAGAUAUGAUAUGUAUUUAGUUUCAAAUUUGUUAAUUAUUAAUUUAUGUAUUAAUUGGGUCCUAUAGAAAAAUAAGAUUUUUUAAAAAUUUUAUUAUCAAAUUGUUAAUUUAUCACAUUGACCUCAAGUUAGGAUAGACAAAAUUUAUUAUUUAAUGAAAGUUAACAAAAUAUUAACUUAAGAUCUCAUUAACUUUGUACCCUAAUUGCCCUGCUCUUUUUUUUAGAUUUGAAGCCAAAUUGUCCAUAGUUUAAUACAGUUAACAAUCAUUCUUUACGCUAUGUCAGUUUUCCAAAGAAACAUUUUGGAUUUUGCCCUAUAUAUAUAUAUAUAUAUAGAGAGAGAGAGAGAGAGAGAGAGAGAGAGAGAGAGAGAGAGAGAGAGAGAGAGAGAGAGAGAGAGAGAGAGAGAGAGUUGUGAAAAAUCCAAUAGGGAUGGCAAAAAUCUCCACUGGGACGGGAACCCUUAAGGAUUUUUCUAAUUUGGAGAGGGUAUGAGAAUGAUUUUAUACCCAAUUUCUUAUUCAGGGAAAGGACAUGAAUGAUUUUUCACCUAAUUUAUUUUUGAGACAUGGACGGGGAUGAGCAAGAAUUAGGCAUGGAAAUAAAAUCUGGAUCCAGCCCGCAUCCGCAAGGAUCUGAAAGAUUCGGAUCCGAAAAAAUACGAAUCUAUAUAUUAAAAAAUAGAUAUUUUAGAAAUUUGAGAUCCGCAUAGAUCUGGACUUGCAUCAGGAAAACCGAAUAUCUGGAUAUGGUAAAUUUUAUUUUAAAUUAAAAAAAUUAAAUUAAAAAUUAAAAAUUAAAUUUAUUUGAGGAUUUAUGAUGAUGUUGUAUAUUAUUCAUGUUGAAUUACUAAUUGUUGAAUUAUGAUUGAAUUUUAUUUGAUAUUAUUAGGUAAAUUAUUGAAUUUUAACUUAAAUUAAAAAUUAAAUUAAAAAUAUAAACUAAAAAUUGAAAAUUAAAUUUUAUUUGUGAAUAUAAGAUAUUGUUGUAUGUUAUUCUUGUUGAAUUAUUAAUUGUUGACUUAUAAUUGAAUUUUAUUUGAUAUUAUUAGGUAAAUUAUUGAAUUUUUAAAUUAUAUAUUAAAUUAUUGAAUUUUGAUUUUCGCGGAUCCGAUAUCUGGAAUAUUAACACGCAUCCGUUGCGGAUAUUACCCGCAUCCAGAUCCGCAUUUUUUUUAUGGACCUAGAUAUGGAUCUAGAUAGAGAAAUGUAAAUGUGUAUCCAGAUCCGGAUGCACCCACAUCCGAAUUUGGAUUCAGAUUUUGCCAACCUUAGCUAGAAUGCCCAUCCCCUCCUCAAUUCCCCAUUUCCCUAUUUUAAUUUUUAAUUUUAAUUUUAAUUUUUUAAAAUAUUAAUGAAUAAAUAAUAAAAUUUAAUUCAUAAAAUAUUAAUAUAUUAGUAUAAAUAACAAAUAUUAAAAUAUUUAUACAAAUAUUAAUUUGUACCUAUGUUUAUUAAAAUAUUGUAACGGAAUGUGUUUAAGCAAUAGACGAGGUGUCAUUAUUUUACUUUUGCCGUCCCAUAUUCUGCUUCCGCUGUCUCACUAAGGUGACGUUUAGUUUUUAACUUAAUGACUUAAAGUGACUUAACUUAAUUAUUUAAGUUAAUUAGAGGUGUUUGUUUUUAUAACUUAAUGAGACUUUUUAGAUAAUUUUGACUUAAUAAAAUAAGCCAAUUUUUUUGGCUUUUUACUUAAUGGAGAAAUCUGAAUUAAGUCAAUUACUUGCUAAUCUAAAAAAUAUCCCUGUUUUAUAAUUUAUUUUUCAUGUCUAUCCCAAAACUCACCCAUAGACAUUUACCCCACAUAAAAAUUUCCCUAUUUUUUCUUUCUUAUAUUAUAUAUGAUAAAAUUUAAAAUUUAUGGUAUUUUAUAUAUUCACUUGAAUAUAGUUUUACUUAUAAAUGUUAAAAUAUUGUGGUAUUUAAUUUAUUAUUUAUUUGACAUUCAAAUUUAAUAAGGAUACAAAUGUAAAAGUACAUAUUUUCAGCUUUUUAAGUUGAAAAAAACAAACAACUUAAUACUUAUUUUCUGAGAUUCAAACAAAAAAAUAAACAUAUUAUUUAGAUUCAGACAUUCAGAUCUAUUCAGAAUUUAGAUUAAUUCAGGUCUAUUCAGAUUUCAGAUAAAAAAACAAACGCCACCUAAGUCAUAAAACAAUUUCAGUGAAUAUAAGGGCCCUAAUUAAAAUUUUACCUUUAAGAAACCUUUCAGCCUCUAACAAAGCAAAGUAUGGACUGUAAUGGAAACUUCCUCGAGUUGACUCAUACAACAAAGGUGGCUCUAGAUCGCUUUAAAUCCAUCUCAAACACCAACACUUUGGAGAAGACUAUGGUAUGGCCAACUUGUUUGUCGUUUGCAAUAAAGAAACAUAAUUAAUUUUUAACAGCCUUUCGAAAUGGCAUGUGACUGCAAUUGAAGAAAGAUAUCCAUCACUUUCAGUGAUUAAAAUUUAGCAGUUGUAGAUUGGUAAGCCCUAUUUGCAAUUGAGAUUGGACAAUUGUAACUUAAAAGGUACGGCUCUAAAGUAUUAGUUAAACAUUAAUUAGGAUAUAACUCAGCGGUAGAGUGACACCUUGACGUGGUGGAAGUCAUCAGUUCGAGCCAGAUUAUCCCUAAACCCAAUAGGAGUUGUGAGUUUUUCUAUUUUGACUUGCCACCACCAUGAUCAAAUAAGAAUGGGAAUGGAUAAGAGGCUUGUGGGAUUGACGUGAAGGGGUAGGGCUGGCUAUAUUUCUAGGAGCGAACUCCAGGCGAAUAUGAAACGCAUGGAUACAAGUUAUGCCUUGGAAUGAAAGACAAUUCCGAAUCAGCUUUGUUUACGAACAAGAAAGCUAAUAGUAGUAACUCAGUACCAAACAAGCCGUAGUACCAUUGUGUACCCGAAGUAUUGAAGGAAGAGCAAUUACCUAAACCUGAAUGGAAAAAAGUGAAAUAUGCCAAGAAAGCACUAUGCCAUCUCUCGAAUUUAUUGUUCAAAUCCAUGAAAAUGGGUUAGAAAUGGGCUAUUUAUAGCCAAAUCAAGCAAUAAGCACUUGAGCAGUGGGUACUUGAGUCCACAUAUGUGUGUGAUUACAAGAUCAAGUUGUGUGUGCAGGUAAAGAGAGGUGUACGUGAUUGGCGUGUGUGUGCAUACAAAUGAAUCACAUGAGAUGUGCAUGUGGUGGAAAUCCAUUCAGCUUUCGCAGUACUCCCCUUAUUCCUUAGAUAUCCAUCACUUCAUACGAAUUGCAAUUGACCAAAAAUUCAAUGGGACAAAAUCCAAGCAAAAAAAAUAAAAUUACAAUUUCAUAAAGGAAAAUUUACAACCGUCCACCUGUUUGUUUUGUCUUUUUCAAAAAUACACAAACACUUUUUUUUUUUCAGCGCGCCACCUGAAGUUAGUUUUUGGUUGCAUUCGUCCACUUCCGUCUAAUUUCCGUUAGCGAAUUUAACGGAAUGACCUUUUUACCCCUCAAAAUUACAAUUUAACCCAAAAAAAUAGAAAUUGGAGAUAAAUUGGAUGGAUUUAAUUUUUUUCAAAGGUGGAUGCUAGAAAUUGGAGGAAAAUAAUGUUUGUUACUAAAUUUAGAAAAAUUUGUAUUUAUUUUUUUGAAAGAGAAAAAAUAAAUACAAAUUUUCUAAAUUUAGCAAGCAACAAACACUAUUUUCCUCCAAUUUCUAGCAUCCACCUUUGAAAAAAAUUAAAUCCAUCCAAUUUAUCUCCAAUUUUCAUUUAUUUUGUGUUAAAUUGUAAUUUUGAGGGGUAAAACUGUCAUUUCGUUAUCAUUUCGUUAAAUCCACUAACGGAAAUUAGACGAAAGUGGACGAAUGCAACAAAAAGUAAACUUCAGGUGGCGCGCUGAAAAAAAAAAUGUUUGUGUAUUUUUGAAAAAGACAAAACAAAUAGGUGGACGAUUAUAAAUUUCCCUUUAAUAAAUCAUAAAGUAAGGUUGGACGCGGUUCAAAAUUGCCUCAUUAAAAGUCUUUACUAAUAAAACUCAAUAGAAAAACUUGAUCAAAGAAAAAAAAAAGAAUACAACGCAUGUGUUUCAUUUUAACUUUAAAAACUCUUCUAUUAUCUGAUGAGCGCUCCCCCUGAUGAUAACAUAUAUCAACUCAAUAAUUUGUUCAAAUGUUACAUAGUCAAUAGCUUAUUUUCAAUUGUUGAUGCAGGCAAAUCUUUCAUAAAUUAUGUUGAUGCAGAAAUUUGGUCGUCUGUAAGGCUGACUAGGUUGUCUCGUCAACGCUUAUGCUAACUCUGGUUGGUGCACGACACUUCUCGUUCCUUCCCCAAUUAAGUGAAUCCAAUAACUUCAAUCAACCUCUCUUCUUUCUAGUAACCUGCACUCAUAGAAACAAAUCAGGGGUGCCAGUGGUUUUUCCUGCAAAAAUCCUCCGGUACUUAAGUCAAUCUGCGAGGUUUCGAGAAAAAUGUUGGAUUUUAGAUCAAUGCAAGAUAAUGAUUGUUGAGUGAAAGAAAAGUUUUUAGAAGGUUUUUAUGGAAAUGAAUUCUAAAUUCAAAAUGAUAGAGUUUCCCUCGGUUUUUUGUUUUUUGUCCCCAUCUUCUGUCUUUUUCUCAAGUUUUAUAGGCAGUCGCUCCUUGCGUCUAGAACAUUCUCCCACGUCCUCCAUACUCGGGCGAUCAUGGACCCCCAUAGACUGCGAGAAUCGUGUGUUGAGUGUUAGAAAAUGUAUAUUUAUAAAGGAGAAAAUCGUCAUUUUACAUUUCAAUUCUUACUAACACCAUUACUUUUAUGUAUUUAAGCUUCUUGUGAUUUAAUUACGUGUGUUUUAUUUUAAUUAAGUAUUUUAUGUAUUUUAGGGGCAUCAUGGUCAUUUCACAAUGAACGAGAAAUCAGAUGGCAAAACGGACAUCACUUUUGAACUCAGGACAGUCGAAAACCUUAGGAGGAGCAUAAAAGGAAAAUGCCUAUGUUCACAUGUACGAUAUUGUCCAUGUUACUGUUCACGACAAUGUUCACACAUACGGAACGAUGACGUGGCAUUGACCGAUGAUGUGGCAUUGACUGAUGAGAUGUCACGAUUUCAUUGGAGAAAAUUCUUAUGAACUGUUGAUCGGUGACGUGGAAGCAUGUUAGUGGACCAAACAUUGCGCGUACGCUACAUGCAUAUACACAGGAUUAUUUUCAACCAAACCGUGUCACUGUUCAAGCCAGUUGACUGUUCAAAUCGCGUGGUUAAACCGUGUCACUGUUCAAACUGCGUGGUCAAACCGCGUACUGUUGACUGAUGACGUGGCGCAAUCCUGAGCAUCCAAACUGUUUCUAAUUUGAUGGCCAUGAUUUACUCAAUGUAUCUAUAAAAAGGGGGCCUCCCCCCUAAUUUGGCAUCUCUGAAUCUAUUUUUGGGCUCUAUUUUCUGUAAUUCCUUCUCUAUCUUGUAUUUUCUACGUAUUUUAAUAAAUUUCUAUUUUGCCCCUAGUUUAAUUAUGAGUAGCUAAUUUUCUUUCAAGUUUGGGUUGAAGGUGAAGUCUCAACAUGUGUCAUGGGCUUUAUUUAGUAAAUUUAUUUUCUCUUCCCCUUUAGUUUUUGUGGAUGUUUUGACUUCUCGUGGACAAAUAAUAAUAAUCUUGUCUAGAUACCGCCCUGGUUUCACCGGCUCCCUAGUACAAGGUUAUUAUUAUUUGGCACGAUAAGCCCUUAGCACCAUAUUGAUUAGAGUGUGGUUCAUGAGGUGUGGAUACCCCCCUCAUGAUUUAAUUGACACUAAUAAGGAAUAUUUAGCCCAUGGUGCAUGUUAAUGCGGAUCCAGAUACCCAAUCGCUUCAUUUCAAUAGAUUUCUCAUCAAUUUAUUCUCGCUAUUUUAAUUUAAAUUUUAGAAUAUUUCAAAUCAUUUUCACUACAAAUCCAAUCACCAAUUUAGAAAAAUUAAUUAUACACAUAAUUAAAAUUCACCUCCUCGUGGGAUCGACACUCGUCACCAUUAAUCUAUUCUACAAUAGAUUCGUGCACUUACGAGUUCAAUAAAAUUUGCACAACACCGUGCGUAGGUUAUCGUGCCUACCCCCAAACGGUUUGGAUGUGGCGAAACUGUUGCGUUGAUGCGGGAUCGUGCCUGCUUUUUAAGUAACAGUUCUCUGGUCGGCCUUCAGCUGUACCCCUGAGAGUGUCUGGCACCAGGAUAUCUGCUCAUGAUUUAUUAAGUCGAGGAGAUUCCUCCUCAGCCAGAUAAUGAGGACAUGUGUGGCUAGUGCUCUUUUAAUCACCAAACACCAGUCCCCCUAGUUUCUAGUGUUGCGAGUGAAACGAGCUAAAACUAGAAAUUAGGAGUCGAAUCUGGUCAUACUGUGGGUUUGGGUAUUGAUAACUCUAUGAAAUGAGAGUUAUUAUGGCAAUUCUAGACUUAAAUCAAGAUCACUUAGAGAGUAAAUGAUGUGUUUUUAUUGCAUUUUUGUUACGUUUUACAUAAACAUUCAUUUUAGUUUAGUCUUAAUAAGUUUUGCUUGAUUUAAAGUAAUUCGUGCUCAAAUCAUGUACAUAAUUGUAGGUGUCCAGAAGCCUAUAAUUCAUGGAAGGGAUGCUGAUGCAGUAGGCUGGCAAAAAGGAAGAAGAAUAUGGCCACAAAAGAAGAGAAACAAAAUCUGAAGCAGUGGAGAGCUGUAGUCGUUGCUGGAGCAACCAUUGCUGUAGCAAUCCUAGAACAACGAUAGAGAAAACUUAGCGCGAGAUAUCUGCAGAAUUGUGAUCUGCAGUUUCCUAAUCUGACUCAUGCGCGCCCUAGGCUUUUGUUUACCCUAGUUUUCAAUUAUAAAAAGGGGCGCGCAUCACAUAAAACGGCGGCAAGGAAUUAACAUGGGAAAAAUUGAGAGAAAAAGAAUAAAACAAUCAGAAUUCAAGGGAACCAAUUCUGCAUCAGUGAAGAAUCCAACAGAGUUAUUUGGAUUCAAUCUUCAUCGUUCUCUGCUUGUUCUUUUCUUUACUCUUUGAUUGAACUGAUGUAUUUCAUGACCAAUAUUUUUCUAUUUGUUUUUCUUUUUCAAAGUAUGAACUAAAUUUGAUUGUAGUUGAGUGACAAAUAAUCUAAAUGGGUUUUUGAUUGUUCUUAUGAGUUGCUAUACGAUUGUUGUGGCAUUUUACUCUAGUAGCUUUUAUUAUAAUCGUUAUUUCAGUUGACCACCCAUUUAAUAGUUCAAGUUAAGAUAAAGCCGCAAAAGGGCAUGUGUUAGUGGAUAUUAUUAGAGUAAUACUUGAUCUUAAUUUAAGUUUCCUGGAUUAAGUUUUUCUUGAAUCCCAUAAGGGCUAUACUUGAAGUUAAGAUUUGUGAAGAACUAGACAUAGGCAUUCACCUUGUAGGGUAGAGAGAGUAGAUGUUCAUAAUGCCAUACCUUAGGUAGAAUAACAACUGAUCAUUGUUAGGAUCCUUAAGGGCAUGAGAAGCCCAACACGCAACAGCUGAGGAUGCAAAAUAAUUUUGCACAGUGAUGUAGGAAUUGCUGUAGCAACUGGUGCUAAUUUGAUGAAAAACAGUCAACCCAUGAAAAGAGUUUGAUCAUUCAGCUGCGAUAGUGACACUAUCAACACUAAACCAUCCCAGGCACCGCUCUCUAAACCCACCUCUGGUUGUUGUUGCGUUGGUCUUGUAAGGUGCUUUCUUGUUCGAUUAUUUGGAAUUUUUUUUUACAAAAAAUUUCCUCCAUGUCGAAACGAAAAGGAAAAAUAAUUGAGAUUGAAAGUGAUGAGGAAAUAGAUUCUUACCCCUUUUCUGUUAAAAGAAACUCCCCUCGGUCCCCAGAUUUCCUCCAGUGAUGUAGGCCCCUAUAAUAGUAAAAACACUAUGAGACAACCACAAUUAGAAAUUACCCCACCACCUUCUGGCCACGAACCCAAUGGGGGUAACGAUAAGCAAACAUCGGGCUCUAGCGAAAGUCGUAGCACCAGCGGGGCGAAAAGUCUCGAGGAAGAGAAUGAUAAUGAGAAGAGUAGCCCGGAGCCGAGCCGAGCAACUAAAAAAAUGAACCUUGGUCAUAGGGUAGAAGUUGGUUCUUAUCCUAUUAACUUUCUGAGGUGUAGCACUACACAAAAUGAUUUGUUCAAACUGAGGAACCUUUAUUGUAUUCCUGACGACAUUCAUCUCGUCAUCCCCGAAAAAGGUGAUGUCCCCCGUUGGCCUCCUAGGGGCUAUGUGACCUUGCACUUGGAGUGGUUUAAACUAGGAGUUAGAUUGCCCCUUCAACUCUAUUUUGCCAAGGUGUUAAGUGACCUGCAUUUGGCCCUUGGUCAACUAAACCUAAAUGGAUGGAGGGUACUCUUAGGUUUGUUCGUGUUGUGGGAUAGGUGCGGAGUCGAAGAACCCACCACUGAGGAAAUAAAAAAUUUAUAUUAGCUGAGGAACAUCCAAAAAGAUGCAGAUUGGUACUACUUCAUGUCAAGCUCUACGAAAAGGAAACCCCUCACAGACUUUUCUUCCUCAUGUAAAAAUUGAAAGAGUAAAUUCUUUUUUGCUAAGAGAAACUGGGGUCCCGUGAUUCAGUCUCCUGGUGGUGGUAUUCACGUCCCCACGCGUUUUUGCACCCCAGAUUAUUUGUUUCUCUUCAUACCCCAUGCCUUUGGUCGUCCUUCACCUUUCCUCUUACCUUUGACUGUAUUUUUCAGAUUCUUGGGGCCUAAUUUAUAACAUCGAGGAGGAAUUGUUGCUCUAAGUCCAGACUGCUCUGGUCAACGCUUGUUCGUGCAAAGACCUUUUGACGUCAACGAGUUUCGUCGAGUCCCAUUUUGUUGACGUAGCUCCUAGAUGGAUAACAAGAUCCUCAGCACCAUGGCAAGAAAACGUGAUCGGGGUUUGGGUGACUCUAGCAACGCCCCCACCCCAUAGAAGAAAAGCAACGUCACCCCGACCAAGACACCUCCCCCAGCUCUGCCUCCCCCUCCAACUGGAAAGGUUGGAGGCGAAAACUCUCAUGAGAAGAGUCCCGAGGGUGCCGCCCCUUCUAUGGAUCAAACUUCAUCGCCUUCGCCCUGGGACCAAAGCGAUUACUUGGGCAUAUACCAGAGGGAGUAAUCCAAAGUGGUGGGGUCGAAGUUGAUUAAAGAGUUGGAGGGUAUGACUCUUACCGAGCUAUGAAGGUCCCUUUAGAAGAUCGCUUUUCAGCUUGCUACAGCAGCCUUUUGCUAUAAGUUUAAGACUUCGCGCCAUGAGAAGAAGCGACAAGCGGAGGUCCAAGACCUGAAGAAAAAGGUGGAGUCAGCUGAUCGUUCAAAGAAUAAGAUGCUCGAGCUGUACAAGUAGGUUUUUGACCUCGAAGAGAAAGUUGCUCUUGUUGAAUCCAAGUCCACUUAGCUUGAUAGCGAGCUGGCAGACUUAAAAUCUAAUCUCGACGUUGCUCAAAGCGAGCGAGACACUCAGAAAACAACGUAUGAAGAAUAAAUCAAGUCUUUGGAAUCGCUGAUAGCUGAGUGGAAAGAUAAGGCCAGCGACGUGGAAGAUCGGAUGGAUGCGGAGUACAACUAUGGGCUUGCCUUUAGCUAGAAAUGUAUUAUGUCUGUCCUUAAGAAGGAAUAUCCGGAGCUAAAUAUGGACAAGUUAGAGGCAGGUGUGAACGAAUACAUGGCCGAACAGAGUCAGUGCGACAAGGGCCAAGAAGGGACUCAUUCGGGUGUUGAAGAGUAGAAAAAGAGGUGGGGGACAAGGCACCAAACACAAAUGUGGGGGUGGUCCCUGCUCCGUCUGGGAUCACUAAUCCCUCCUCGGCUAAAGCUAUUGAUUCCUCCACUGCUGAGGUAGUUAAGCCUCCUUCUCAAGACCCAUGAAUUUCUCUUUAUGUUUAAAUCGCAGACUUUUUACUUGGUUGUAUACCUUGGAUCAUUAAUGAACUUUUAGCUUCUUCUUUCUAUUCUAAUACUUUGCUGCUCUGUCUUUUAAAUGUUCACCUGCUUGAUCUGCUCAUGAAUGCUAAAACUUUAUUGGCCCUGUUGUUUGUUUAGUGGGUUUUGUAUGCUCAUCUUCGCUCGAAGGUGCAUAUAUUUUAUAAAUCUUGUCUGCACGUCUUCACAUAGUAAUGCAGAUGUUGGCAAACUUUUGCUUUAGAGUAAUUUUUGCAAAUUUUUCCUGCUCAUCCUCAUGCAACUGAACAGGUUUUCGUAAACUUUUGCCUUCAUGCAAUUUUUGUGAAUUUUACUUGCUCGUCCUCAUGCGACAGAGCAUAUUUUGGUAAACUUUUGCCUUAGGGUAAUUUUUGCGAAUUUUGCCUGCUCGUCCUCAUGCAACAGAGCAGGUUUUGGCAAACCUUUGCCUUCGUCUCGCCUUGGGUAGACUAUGAGACUAUUGAGACUUUGUUUGCCUUCGAACUGCUUUGGUAAAGUGUCUUUAAAUGGAAUUCAUUAUCUCAUAAUUAGCGAAUGCUUGAGUAAUUACAGAAAAUAGAACAUAUAAGCAUGUGGUAACUUCUUAUUACAUCUAGCGGAAACAACUAAACUGGAAAAUUCUACGAAAAUGGCUUGCCUACUAGAAGUAUUUCUUCAAAUGCUCUGCAUUCCACGAUCUCUUCACUUCCCGUUCGUCUGGGUAAGCCAGGUUGUAAGCUCCUAGAUGAGUUGCUCGUAUUACCUUAUAUGGGCCUUCCCAGUUAGGGCCAAAAGCAUCUUGGUUAGGAUCUCUCGUACUUUGAUUUACUUUCUUGAGCACCCAAUCUCCUGUUCGGAAUCGCCUUACGCACACAUUCUGAUUAUAGUAGCGCAUAAUCCUCUACUGAUACUGAAUCACCUUCUAUGAGGCUUUUUCUCCUCUAACAGAUCCAGAUUCAUACACAUCUGCUCAUCGUUCUACUUCUCAUUGAAAUAUUAUGUUCGAUGCGUCCCAACUCCAAUUUUUGCUAGCACUACAGCCUCAUGACCGAAGGCUAAAGUAAAUGGGGAUUCUCUGGUUGCAGUUUUGUGAGUUGUCCGAUAAGUCCAUAGUACACCCAACAGCUCAUCAACCCACACCCCAUUCUUCUCCUCCAACCUGAUUUUCAGGAGCUUCUUUAUGACUUUUUUUAUUGUCUCCACCUGCCCAUUUGAUUGGAGAUGUGCUGGAGAGCAUAACUUCAGCUCAGCACCCAAAUUUUGGCAGAAUUCUCUGAAGUUGUGGUUGUUAAAUUGUCUCCCAUUAUCCGUUAUGAGUAUGUAAGGGAUUUCAUAUCUGCAUAUGAUAUUUUUCUAGAUGAACCCGGUUGUUUUCUUCAGUGUAAUCUAGCUUAAAUCCUCCAUUUCUACCCACUUUGUGAAGUAAUCUAUGGCUACAAUAGCAUGCGUAGCAGCUCCUCGUCCUUUGGGCAAGAGACCAAUCAGGUCGAUCCCCCACUGUGCAAAAGGCCACGGAGAGGACAUAACAACGAGUUUCUCUCAAGGCAGAGUAGGAAUAUCUGAGAAACUUUGGCAGAUUCUAUAAUUUUUAGUCAUUUCUCUCGCAUCCGGGUGCAUGGUCAGCCAAAUAUAUUCCUGCCUUAACGCUUUAAAUGCCAAAGUUCUUGCUCCAGAAUGGUUUUCACAUAUUCAUUAGUGUAUCUCUCAUACCACAUAGUUUGCCUCCUCAUCAUCCAAGCAUUGCAGAAGGGGUAAGGUGAACCCUUGUCGAUAGAGUAUCCCAUCGAGCAACAUAUAUCUAGCCACUUGACAUUUCAAUUUUCUCGUUUGCUUCUUAUCCACCGGUAGGCUUCCAUCACGAAUAUAUGAAAUGAUUGGAUCUAUCCAGGAUGCUCGAGCAUCCACCCCUAUUACUUCCGCUUAUUGCCCGAUGCUUGGUGAAGUUUUGACCUCUAUUGGAACCGACUUGGGCAGUUUUGGGUCCGCAGUUGCAGCCAUUCUAGCCAACAUGUCUGCUCGGUAAUUUUCUAUCCUGGCAAUCUGCUUUAUCUUCACCUCUUGGAACACUCCGACCAUUUGCUUAGCCUUCUUCAAGUAAAACUCCAUAUUCUCGCCUCUCGCUUGGAAAUGUUCAUUAAGCUGAUUACAAACCAGCUGGGAAUCUGCUUGGAUUUUGACUCUUUCUGCCCGUAACGAAUGCGCUAGCUUAAGCCUAAUGAUAAAGGCUUCGUACUCCGCCUAGUUAUUCGUCUCCAGAAAUUCAAAUUUCACAGCAUAAGAAACUUCAACCCCAUCUGGACUGCGUAUCACUAUUCCCGCUCCAGGCCCAUGCUUACUGCACGACCCGUCAACCUUUAUCAACCAAAAACCUAUCGGCUCUGUAUCUCCAGCUGAUUGCUCUUCGUGAGUCGUUUCUCUUGACUUUGUGCAUUCUGCCACAAAGUCGGCCAAGCCUUGUGCUUUGGUAGCCCCUCAGGGUCGAUAAGUUAUGUCAAACUCACUCAUUUCCACCGACCAUUUGACUAAGCGGCCAGAUGCAUCCGGUUUCAAGAGUAUUUGUCGAAGAGGUUGGUCAGUUAUCACGAUUACUGGGUGUGCCUGACCGCGGUUAUUAGAGCCAGUGGCCAUUUCUCCAUCGUCGGGUAUCUGGUCUCUGCGCCCACUAAGGCCUUGCUAGUAUAAUACAUUGGAUGUUGCGUUCCUUCUUCUUCUCUCACCAACAUUGAACAGGUAACAUAUUUCAAAACAGCUAAGUACAGGUGCAAUAUGUCACCCUCUCUUGGUGUUUACAGUAACGGGGCUUGGGCGAGAUAUUCCUUCAACUACCCGAAUGCCUCCUCACAUUCUGCCGUCCACUCCAUUUUUUUGCCCUUUUCCAUAAUCUGGAAAAAGGAGUGGCAUUUAUCUGUUACCCUCGAGAUGAAUCGGUUCAGGGCUACUAGUUUUCCCGUAAGGCUCUACACCUCCUUAAUUUCCUGAGGAGCUCUCAUCUAUGUUAUUGCCCAUAUCUUCUUCGGGUUGGCUUCAAUUCCUCGUUGGCUCACCAUGAAUCCCAAGAACUUUCCCGAGCACACCCCGAAUGCACACUUCUCCGGAUUAAGUUUCAUAAUAUAUCUCUUCAGUAACUCAAAGGUUUCCUCUAAGUGCAGUGUAUGUUCUGUUAGUUCUUCAGGCUUUGUAAUCAUGUCAUCCACGUACAUCUACAUAGUACGUCUGAUCAGAGGCUUAAAGAUUCUAUUCACCAAUCUUUGAUAUGUGGCCCCUGUAAUUUUUAGACCGAAUGGCAUUACCUUGUAACAAAACAAACCCAUGUUAGUAAUAAAUGUGGUGCUCUCCUCAUCCUCCUCGUCCAUAGGUAUUUGGUCGUAUCCAGAGAAUGCAUCCAUGAAGCUGAGCAGGCCGUCGCCAGCCGUCGAGUCAACUAACUGGUCUAUCUUUAGCUAAGGAAAGCUAUCUUUCAAACACGCUUUGUUGAGGUCCGUGAAGUCUACGCACAUUCUCCACUUUCUAUUUGUUUUCUUCACAAGCACUACAUUGAAAAUCCACUCCGGAUACAUGGCUUCCCUGAUAAACUCGUAACAGUUUCUCCACCUCAAUAUUUAUGGCCUCAUACCUUUUCUGGUUGAAGCAUCCCUUCUUUUAUUUCACCGGCUUGGCCCCUUUUUGAAUUGCUAGCUUAUGACAAGCAAUCUUGGGAUCAAUUCCCGACAUAUCUUCGUGUGACCAGGCGAACACAUUAGUAUGGGAUCUUAAACAUUGUAUUAGCUCAUCCUUUAAGCCCUGAUUUAAACUGGAUCCAAUCUUGACGGUCUUGCUCGGAUCAUCAUGCUUUAUUAUCACUUUUUUCUAAGUUUUCAACUGGUUCUUGCCGACCCUUCUUAAAAUCUCCCUGGUUAUUGAGCGCGGUGACUUGUAAAGUCUCCUUCGUAGCUAUGGCAUAGCAGCUCUUAGCCAUCCUCUGGUCAUCCUUUACUACGCCUUCUACUCCAUUCGCUCUAUACUUUAAUGCCAAGUAGUGGGUGGACACCACACACUGGCUUAUCCUCAUAAAUGGUCGCCCCAAUAUCAUCUGGUAAAAACUAUUUUCCUCAACAACAACGAAGUCGAGCAUAAUGACUUUUUCGGAGGGUCUCAUCCCUAUAGCAACUGGCAGCUCGACAAUCCUCAUUGGAGUCAAUUGUCCACCUUUAAAUCCCUUCAGGGAUGUAUUCGUGUGUUCCAACUUUAGAUCCGUAAUUCACAUCUUAUCCAGGGUUGACUUAAAGAGUAUGUCGAUGGAACUGCCCGUGUCCACCAGUAUUCGCUAGAAUUCUUUUCCCGCCACACUCGCCUUGAUUACUAGGGCAUCCUCAUGGGGGUAUAAGACGCCCUCUUCAUCAUCGUCCGUCUACAUGAUGGGAACUUACCUCACCCUCGCCCUCUUUGCUGCAGGCAAAUUGAAAAAAACUUAUUUGCUAGUCAAAGCAUACCUCCCAUAAUUCUUUCGUGCUCUGUUCGAGUUACCAACAAGUGUCGGUCCCCCAACGAUUACUGUAACGGCGAGCUACUCACACUCUAUAUCUCUUACACUUUAUGCUCCCACUACGUAUUGUCAAUCUGCGACGGGAAACGAACCGUUGACAUACUCAUCGAGGUAUCGAUUCUUCACAAGGUCUUCCACUUAGUUUUUAAAAUCACAACACUGGCUAAUUGUGUGCCCAUGGGUGCCAUGAAACUUGCAGAAUCUAUUUUUAUCCCGCUUGUGGGCUGGUUUGUCAACUGGGGUAGGGGGUACAGGAUGCCUCACCCUUCAAUCCUCUCGUAUAAUUCUUCUAGAGAGACCUUUAACGAAGUAUAUUGCUUGUAUACUGGACUCUGAUCAAUCAGUUGAACUGCUUGGCUAUCAUAAAAACUGUCAUGGGCUGGCAUUGAGGGUGGUUGGUUUGGUCGGCUGGCCCUGGGGUUCCGCGCAUGGAACAUUCUUGAGGUAUUAUAAUGAGGAUGGGUAGCCAUCUGGCGAAAUCCCUUGGCUGUUAUGGAAAUAGAGCGCGUUGAGGCUGAGCUCUGCCGUGCUAGAAUUGCGACGGCCUAUGAGUUAUAUGAUGUGGGUAAGGCCGAGCAGAUGUUACUCCACCUGUUGAUGAUCCCCCACUACGUUUUCCUGACCCGCUCCCCCUUAUGCUCUUUUCUCAUUCCACCUCAGAUCCUCUGGCUGCUCGCUUUUUAUUCUUGCUGCCUUCUCCUCCUCAAUUUCAACAUCCCUUUUUGCCUGCUCAUACCCCAUUGAAUAAUUCUGAAUGGUGGGGUUCCUCAAAUGUACCACAACCGACCUAUCUUCACUCCCUCUUUUAACCAUUUCAAAGCCUGUGGAUGAUUGAAGGCCCCCAAGUCAAGUACGGUCCGGUGAUACAUUUUUAGAAAAUCCCUGAGGGAUUCAUUUUCCUCUUGUUUCAUCCCCAUCAAUUCCAUCAUAUCGUCCUCUAGAGCUACUGCUCCACGGAAUUGCUCGGCCAAUUCUUGGCACAUUUGCUCGAAACUCUUUAUGUUUCCACGCGGCAACUUAUGGUACCAGUCCCGAGCUCGUCCCUCUAAUGUGCACCAGUGGGUCGCUUUUCCUGGAAUAUUUGAGGUCAGAAAAAUGAAAAUCUCUUGGUAUCAUAGUGGCCAUGAUCUCCAUCGAGAGUAGAUAUUCGUCAUCCAACAUUAUUCUCCAGCUGAGGGGCUUUCUUCUGCCUUGCAUUUGGUCUAUUACCUGUGCCAAUCGCCGCACCUCUCCCUCCAUCUCUAAGGCUCGACCAAGAUCACAUGCAACCGGGUUCUUGUUCAAUGUUAUGCAGCCACUGUCUGAGCUCGCUUUCCUCGGCGUUCGUCCGUUGGCUACCAUUUCCCAAAACUCGCCCACUGUGGGGUUGGUCUCCUCCCUCGUUCCUGCGUUCUCUUGAAGUCUGACCUUCACUUCUGUAGUUAUGCACUCUGUCAAGCUGUCCCCCUAAUGAAAGAAUCUCCUCAUUUCUAUCCCUUCGAUGGCUGGGCUCCGCAGCGACCUCAUCUCUUAUCAAAUUGACCUCAUAAUCCCUUCUUCGCUCAUUUCUCAGCUCAUGUAAUAUAGCGAUGAGGGUCUCCAUCUACUUUUCCAUCCGCUCCAUUCAUUCUUGCAUCACUCUGGUCAUUUGUAAGGCUGACCAGGUUGUCUCGUCAACGCUUAUGCUAACUCUGGUUGAUGCACGACACUUCUCAUUCCUUCCCCAAUUAAGUGAAUCCAGUAACUUAAAUCAACCUCUCUCCUUCCCAAUAACCUGCACUCACAAAAAGAGAUCAAGGGUGCCGGUGGUUUUUCCGACGAAAACCCUCCGAUGCUUAAGUCAGUAUGUGGGGUUUCAGAAAAAAAACGUUAGAUUUUAUAUCAAUGCAAGAUAAUGAUUGUUGAGUGAAAGAAAAGUUUUUAGAAGGUUUUUAUGGAAAUGAAUUCUGAAUUCAAAAUGAUAAAGUUUCCCCUUGUUUUCUGUUUCUUCGUCCACAUCUUCUAUCUUUUUCCCGAGUUUUAUAGGCAGCUGCUCCUUGCGUUUAGAACAUUCUCCCACGUCCUCCAUACUCGGGCAAUCAUGGACCCCCAAACGGUUUGGACGGGGUGAAACUGUUGCGUUGAUGUAGGAUCGUGCCCGUUUUUUAAGUAACAGUUCUCCAGUUGGCCUUCAACUGUACCCCAUAGUGUGUCUGGCACCAGGAUAUCCGCUCAUGAUUUAUUAAGUCGAUGAGAUUCCUCCUCAACCAGAUAAUGAGAACAUGCGUGGCUGGUGCUCUUUUAAUCACCCAAACAAAUUAUCCUGCAAAAUUAUCAUUAAAAAUAUUUCCCUUCAACAAACAUAUCUUACAUGAUUAGUUAUAUCACCUGCAAAAACAAUAAUAUCUAGAAUUUUCAUUAAUUUAUAGCAAUAACGAUAUAUGUCAAAUCAGUAUCUUCAAAUUGACAGAUAAAUUCCUGCAAAUAGAUUUGUAUAUUACAAAGCAUUAAUCAGAUAUGAUACUUAAUAUCACAAUAGGAUCAAAAGAGUAAAAUAGGGUAUUCAAAGGAAGUUUAUCCAUUCUAAAAAUCAUUUUUUCAAAAUUUAUGGAUAAAGAUACCAAUGAAAGUCCGCUCGAUUUGCAACCCGAUACAUUAUUUAGCUUGCCUAAACUAUUUAUUUCAUUUUAAGCCAUAUCAAGGUCUUGUGCCACAUGUAGAGCAUUUGCCUCUAUAGGACGCAGUGUCACUGUAGGGGUACAAGUCUCAUCAAUGACCUUUUGCUCUGAAGGAGCAAUUUAUGCAUAAAUUGUCCCAGGAUAUUUUGCUUUAAGGGAACAACAACACGAGUAUUAAUAAUUAGAUCCCGAAGGAGCAAUUUCAUGCAUAUACUUCACAGGAUAUUUAUUUUGCUCUAUAGAAGCAAUAACUUAAGCAUUAAUGUAAUCAGAUCCUGAAUGUGUAAUUUCAUGCAUCUACUAUCAUAGGAUCCUGAUCAAUAAUCUUUCCUUUCAAGGAAUAAAAAUCCAAUAAAUCAACGUGUGGUAAACAAUUCAUCAGCUGCAAUCCUAGCUAAUAGAUUGUUCAACAGGAACAAACACCUGGCUGGGUUCCUUUUAUAGCUGCCGUACAUGACUUAGUUUCUCUGGAUGCAACUGUAGGAGCAUCAUGAAAGUUGACAACUAAAAUCAUUAGGCAACUUUUUCUCGCUCCUAAUGGAGGAAAAUUUUAUCUUAAUAGAUGAUAAUAAAUUCUGGAAAAUCUUAUUAUAUAAUAUAUUACUCUAUGUCAAACUUAAUAAAAAUAGAUAUAAAUAUAAAAACUUAGAGAAAUUAAUAACUAGUUUUAAUUGCCAUGAAUGUCUCUACCAUGGUCAAUGAAUAAACCUAAAACAUCCGGAUGUGUGCUAUCACCAGGAUCAACAUAAUUUGUCUCAACGGUCUUCCCUUUUCUUUUUAGGGAUGCUUGACACCAGUCAACAAAAUGUCUGGUGGAUGAUAAGAUCUCCAAAAAUGGCCUUCUGUCCCACACCUGUCACAUAUCUCUUUCUGUUCUUUUUCUUGGGCUUGUCCUUCAUCAUCAUUCUUUCACUUUUGAUAAGUUCUAUUGUAACCAUCACGAGGUUGAUAGUAAUUGUGACUAUAACUAUGAUCACGGUGAAAAAAAUAAAAUAAAAUAAAAUAAACUCAUUUUUUAUUAUCACUAUGACUAUGUAAAAUUGGAUUCACUUCAGGUAGUAGCUUCGUAUCAAUUCAAACAAUGGCUUCGUAAGAGCAUAAUCUGUUAUUGAGGUCCACGACUUCUAGAUGAAUUACUGAGGCACAUAGCUUUUAGUUGAAUUACUGACACAUGGCUUCUAGCUGAAUUACCAAGGCAGAAUCCAAGAUAAAUUAUUUUUAUCAAAAAUAUUGAGGGCCUUCAAUUCAGGCUUCAUUGGAUUUGCCAUCUUCAAUUAUUCUUUAAAGGCUUCAAAAUCUCAAUAUAUGGCUUCAGUACGUGCAAGAAUGUUCAAAUUUAUGGCUUCAUAUGAACGAGUUUUAGUAUUAAAGCUUUAAGGCUUCAAUCUGAAUUUUGUACGUUUCAAUUUUGAUUCUGCACGCUUCAGUCUUGAUUUACGCUUUAGUCUUGUACGCUUCGGUCUUUAAUUUUAAUAUCGGUAACAGAAAAUAAACAAAAAUACUAAUUAGUAAAUGAAAUAAUAAAAUGAGACAAUAUAAUACUUCCUGUAAUAUAGCGAUCUAGUAUUGAUAACGUGUUGUAAUAUUGUUGGGUACAAGGAGCAUUGAAGGAAGAACAAUUAACUAAAGCGGAAGAGAACAAAGUGAAAUAAGCCAAGUAGCACCAUGCAAUCUCACGAAUUUAUCUUUCAAAUCGAAGUCGUGAGAAUGGGUUACAAAUGGGCUAUUUAUAGCCGGAUCAAGCAGUUUGCACUUGAGCCAUAGAUGUGUGUGAUUACAAGAUCAAGCAAAGUGAGGUGUAUCUGAUUGGCGUUUGUGGGCAUACAAAUCAAUCCCAUGCGAUAUGCAUGCGGUAGAAAUCCACAUAGCUUUCACAACAGGAGCAAUAUUUGCUUAAAUUUUGGAAGUCAUUGGUCAAGAGUCCUGCUAAGUGUUCAUAUUAAAUCAUGGUUCGCCUAAUGCGGAUCUAGAAAAAUGAUUUAUUGGGGGUUAAAUUAAAUAAUAACAAGAUGUGAAAUCUGAAAUUUGAAUUUAUAAAUUUUUUUCUAAUACAUUUACAAUUGUUCUCUACGCAGUUUCAUAUUUUGAAAAUAUUGUGCAAUAGACUCAUUACCAAUACUAUUAAAUACAUCUUUUUUACAAAAAGAAUCAAAUUAUCAUUCAUCCAUUCAUCUCCCAUUUCAUUCUGAAGUUCAUUUUUUACGAAUUUCAUUACUGAAAAUGUUCUCUCUACUGUAGUUGUGGAAAUUGGAGGAACUAAUGCUAAUGUCACCAACAAAUACACUAGCGGAUACACCUUAUCUUUUAUCAAGGUGAUCGAUUCCCUUCAAUCUUGCAAACUCAAUACUAGCAUGCAUAUACAUUAAGUAAGUUUGAAGUUGAGUUUUAAGCACCAUAAACUCUAUUGAAGAAAAUCCUUUGGAUAAAAUUGAGCAAGACGUACUGGCUUGCCUUUAUUAAAAGCAGCAAAUAAAUCAUUUGGACUUGGACAUGCUAAACAAAGAAGCAAUUCCAUAUUAACCUCAUUGAAACAAUUAUUUAACUCCUAAAGCUGCAAAUCUAAAACAACAAAAAAUAGCUCAACUUGAAAAUAAUGCAAGUUUGAGAUCUCUCAAUCCUUACAUUGUAAUCAAUCCCACAAUAAAAACACAUCAUUCAUGUUAGGGACAUCAAUAUCAUGCUUCAAACAAAAAGAAGAAAUCUCAUAAAGCAAUGAAUCCCACACAUCUCUCAUCAUUUGCAAGUUUUUCAUACAUAUUUCAACCAAUUUUAUGGCAUUUAGAAUAUCUUGAUCCUUUCUUUGAAGUGCUUGUGACAACGCAUUUGAAAGUGCCAGUAUAUCUCUCAUCAAAUAUAGACUAAGCACGAAAUCAAAAGAUUAAAUAAACUAUACCAGACAAUUUGCUUAAAAUCUCUGUUCACUAGAGUUUGACUUAUCUUUUCCAAUUAUCUCAAGCAUACUCAUUAUGUAUGGAAACAAAGAGAUUAUAUGAAGUAACGUACCAUAAUGCGAGCCCCAACGUGUAUCACCAAAACGUUUCAAUGUAGUCUCAUGAUUUUGGCCUUGCCCACUUGGUACUUCAUCAUUUUCAAGUGCUUCACCAAGUAAAAGUAAUUGCUUCUCUUGAAGAAUAUCUCAACGUUUACAUGAAGCCCCAACAACAUCGACAACAUUAGCAACUACAUUGAAGAACCAAUUAAUUGGAUCGUAUUUCUUUGCCACAGACACAAUAGCUAACUAUAAUUGAUAAGAAAAAUAAUGUAUACAAUAAUUGCACUCAUUCUCAUUAACAAUAAGUGUUUUAAGACCAUUGAACUCGCCUUACAUGUUGGUAGCCCCAUCAUAACCUUACUUGCACAACCUAGCAUACUUAAUCCAUGCUUAGAAAAUAAUUGGUUAAUAGCUUCCUUGAGCGAGAUAAUAGUGGUACUAGUAACAUGCUUAAGACCUAUAAAACGC